rnacentral:lncRNA from 1 species
GAGUUGGGGGUGUACUUAGAGAUGAGUUGGUACUCUUAUCACAUGGACAAGUAGUCCUAAGGGGCAAAGGUUGCCCUAGAGAACAAAAUCAAGUGUCAGAGUAACACUUGUGAAAAUAGUCCUUGUGAAUAGGAUGUGAAUGCAAGAAGUGUAUUCCAGUGAGCAAGUGCCUCACAAGUAGGACCUUACGGGUCUGUGGAUUAACCAAGUCCAAAACUGCUGGAUGACUCAAGUAGAGUCAAGGAAUGGUCCUAAAGGACUGAUGGAAGCAUUUGGACUGAGGUGUGUAGUACCCCACGAAGGAUGGGGGGGAUCAUAGGAUCCAAGGAUGAGAACAGAGGGUAUUUCAUCGAUGGCAAAAUGUGCUAUGCUAAAGUCGUGGGAAGGGUGUUCCCAAAAGAAAACAACUUUGAAACAAAGUUGUGUAUGAUGUAAGCGACUAAAUUUUCCAUUCUACUUUAGUCACUUAACCACACUUCCAACCACUUGGAGGAGUCUCAUUCACCACCUCCAUAAGUCCAAUCCAGGACUUGGGACUUGCUAGCCCCGAGAAUGGCAUCCAUGCCACUCAACAUUUGCACUUGGUCCAAGUGCUCCACGUGUCCGAUCCCAUGACCGACACUCAAAGGUACCACCGACAUAGCAGCCCGUUACGCUAAGGCCAUGCCCAAUCACCUUUGCCACACUGGUAGUCCAAUACCACUUGCAUCACAGUCUUGGCUCCCCAAGACUAGGCAAACCAUCCGUGAGUGGUCAUCUCAGAUCCACUCCUUAGCAUCCUUAGGAUGCCCACCGACAAGGGGAAUAGCCUUCCCCAAUAUCCCUCUGUCAGUCCCCACUAAGUCCCUUUCUGCCCCUGGCCGUGUUUGCCAACACUGCCACUGGACCGAGACCCACAGGCCCGACCACUAAGUCCCACGGUCCUCUGGGACUUCCUCACCACACGACUGUGUCCUUGGUCACUACCCCAGAGGACUGCUCCUCUUCCUUUCCACAGUCUGGGCCUUUGGGACAACAUUUCGGAACACCGUGGCCUUACGCGAGCCACCUGGGUACUCUCCCCGCCUUUCGCCUUUAGGUGCUCUAGCCAUGGGCUUAGAGCGGGUUCCGUUGAGCCACACCAGGUAUCCAAGUAGGUAGUGCCACCCACACUUGGAUUGGGAGCAUCGGCCAGUCGAUCUCCCGGGGGAACUAGAGCCGGCUCUUGAACACUUCACCAAGCUACCCCGCUUGUCGGUCUGUGUUCACUCUAGUCUUGGACUUCCCAGUGGGCAGCUCAUCACCCAACACUGGGUCCGGCCUUCCUGGGCCAAACUGGCCUUUCCUGGCCAAACUGGCUCCACUGCAGUCCUCCCCCUACUAUACUUUUGGGGCUCACCAAACCCCCCAGGGUCUGGGAGACGAACGCUUUGGGCUUUCACCCUCUCAGGCUCCGGACUCGGACUCGGACUCGGACUCGGACUCGGACUCCGACUCGGACUCGGAUUCGGACUCGGGCUCGGGCUCGGUCUCGGCCUCGGCCUCGGUCUCGGUCUCGGUCCCGAUCUCGGUCUCGGUCUCGGUCUCGGUCCCGGUCUCGGUCCCGGUCUCGGUCUCGACUUCGGACUCCAUCUCGGACUCCAUCUCGGACUCCAUCUCGGACUCCAUCUCGGACUCCAUCUCGGGUCCAUCUCGGGUCCAUCUCGGACUCCAUCUCGGACUCCAUCUCGGGUCCAUCUCGGACUCCAUCUCGGACUCCAUUUUGGGUCCAUCUCGGGUCCACCUCGGACUCCAUCUCGGACUCCAUCUCGGACUCCAUCUCGGGUCCAUCUCGGACUCCACUUCAGACUCCAACUCGGGUCCAUCUCGGGUCCACCUCGGACUCCAUCUCGGACUCCAUCUCGGACUCCACUUCGGACUCCAACUCGAGUCCAUCUCGGACUCCACUUCGGACUCCAACUCGAGUCCAUCUCGGACUCCACUUCGGACUCCAACUCGAGUCCAUUUCGGACACUCCCACGUGUCAUGUGUUGGUCCUUUUGGGUCCCUUUUUGGAGCCUUGCCUUUUGCUCACUUUGUGCUCGUUCCUCGAGCACUUCGUUGGGAGUUCCACUCCCGCUCUUGACUUUUCAAGUCGGAGCUUUUGGUCCAAACGUGUUACGCUCUUUUGGCUCUCGCUUCGGCCACUACCAUGUGGCGCCCUUCCGGCUCCACUUUGGGGCCUAGGGAUUUUGUGUCUCACAACUCCACCACCCAUAGACGAAGUUCGAUGUCCUCAUCGAACGGUAAACCCUUUCAUAAAGUAACACCCACACGUGUUACUAUUUCCAUCCUUGGCACCUAGCCAAUCUUUGUCUAUGGUUUGACAUCAAAGGCUCACCAUGCCUUGUCCAUCCUUUAAGGAGUGUAGUCUCUCCAACUUAGAGACUGAUGGGACCACAUGUAAUGGUUCUCUCCUUUUAUUGGUUUAGUUCUCGCUAAACCUCUUAGAGACCCUUCUCUAAGUCAAUCCCACUACUCCUUCUCGAGUAGUCUCAAUUUCCAUCGAUAUAACCUUUGCACUUUGGAACUUUGAAUUUUGACUUCUUGGAGUCAAUUUCCUAGGUGUCUCCAACACCUUGCAUUGCACAGAUUGUGCGACUUCACUUCCCUAUCCUAGGAAGUUCAUUACUUGAGGGCACCAUCAUCCUCUCUUCUAUUUCGUGCCACCUUGGGCACUAAGUUCCAUUUAUCACACUUUGUGCUAGGGUUGUCCAUCGCCCUAUCAUUUGGCUACCUUACCGCUCCCUCCCUUGGAGCUUCCACUUUCGCCAAAUCGGAGCAAUUCGGAAUCCCUCCUUGGAAACACACUUCCUUUCCCGCAACUUAUUAGCGUCCAACACAUUAGUGUUCCUCGCCUAACUUUGUCACUUGGAUUCCUUCCAAGGGAUUCCACGGCCCUAUCUUGGCCACUCAUCUUUUGCUCCUAUCCGUUGAUUGUUGCACCAAGCAACAUCGAAUCUCUACCUCCCUCCUUGAGGUAUUGUUUCGGUUCCAUAGCAAAGACUCUUCUUUGCCAAGUCCGGAGGAUGUUCACCCCUAGUACGUCUCUUUAGCAUCUUCUGCUAUGGGCUCUAUCCACGGCCCAACUUCGUGACCCUCCCAUGGGUCUUUUAUAAAGACUACUUUCCUCGGACUCACUAUGCCAUCGCACGGACAUAGUUUAUUUCCCUUAGGUGCUCUUCCCACUUGGUUAUCACGACCAAGCCACACCACCUUAAACAGUUCAAUUUCAACAUUUGAACCAGGAACUUCAUUCCUUAGCCAACCAAGGACCUUGUCCUUUUCUGGCCAUAAGAUCACCUAGUGAUCUCACCUUGGCACAUUAACAGAGUUGCCAAGAGGUACUUGGUUUUCUAGACCUCCAAGUUGUUGACUAUAACCCCGGGGGCAUCCCCCACACUUGGCGGUGCACCCAAGCUAGCCCUUACGGCCAAGGGUUCAUAGCAACUGAGAUUAGGUGUCCCCAUCUCACUCACCACGACCUUGGUGCCACUUGCACCAAAGUGUUCAAGUUAGAUAUGCUGAGCUUUCACACUAAGCAAUCUAACCGUGCAUCACGACUCCGAGGCAUCCCUCGCUUGGCGGUGUGCCCAAACCAGUCUCCCCACUGAGAGUCCAUGACCACCGAAAUAUGAGUGUCCUCAUAUUCCAAACCAUCACCACGCCCUAGUGAUUUGGGACUCGAACCCAAGCACUAGAGGGUCGGGACUCGAACCCAACCUCCGUAUAUGCAUCUACGGACGGCAUCACACUAGAUGCCUGGCGUGACUCCCCACGCCGGUGCACCAACUUAUUUUUUAAAGCGCGCUACAGAUCACAGCUUAGGAACCUAGUUCCUCCACACUGCCAAGUCCUCUCCCUUGACAGGUCUGUGAUCAUGCAUGGACUCCUCCAUGCUCGGCCCCAUGGCCCACCCUUUUUGGAGUUAUCACCUUCAACUAGGGUAUUUGUUCCCCCGACGUUCCAAUCUCACUUGGCAAGUCCUCCGACCAUUGUAACAUGGUUCCUGCAUAAGCGUGAAAGUCCUUGACCAUUAACUUUCGUUCAAAGCCCUCUCUUUGAACACUCGGGAACUACUUCCCUAACCUUGAUAACCUUGCCUCAUGGCAAGCUUCAAGACCACGCUUCUGCUGCGCCACCCUGAUUUCACGCGUUCCAUGAACCAUUUACACUUGGCCUUUCUAGGUACUACGCUACCUAGAAUCGUCUUUGGGAACCUUGAAGGAACUCUGUCCCUCAGCUUGCUAAGGCCUCCCCUUUCGCAAGCUUUAUAGUUGCCAUAUAGUCUAACAUGGACAAUUCCAUAUUUUAGACUCUCCAUGGCAUCACGGUUGCUAGCAACAACAUCCUCGAGCACCCUCUUGAUUCUCCACUCCCAACUUUCAUAACCACUGUUGGAUAUGCCCUUUGAUUUCUAUGGUUCAAUUCCAUCCCAAUACUACUUGCUUUUGGCUUCACACCUUUCCUUCGGUCAUUCUCCUCCAGACCAGGAGGAUAGCUUUGCACUUUCUAUCAUGCUUUAGCAAGUAUUCUUAGGGAUGGACCUACCCAAUAGCCUAGGGAGUGGUUCCUCAAUCCGGGUAUGCUCACCUUAUAAUCCCACACACUGGGAUUACAUUGUUGCUUAUGGGCCUUUACAUGCCCAUCAUUAGCCUUGCCAAAAUUCCAUUUUUGGCUUUGUCCAAUUCGGGUAGACAGUCCUCUCCUGUCUCCGCAACCUUGGACAUUUGGAUAGCACCUUCUAUCCAUCAUUCGCUAGGGACUUAGUCCCUUGGGCUUUAUCCAUUGCCCUCGCGACAUCAAACACCACCUUCUGGUGUUCUAGAGUGUCCGGAUGUCCCAAUGAUGGCUUUCUUGACAAUGAGUAUUUCCUUUUAUGACAUUGACUUACUAUAUCGCAACACAAGCAACUUAUCCCCCGUAAGGGUAUAUCCAACUUCCUUAUGCUAUUAAGAAGUCUUGGGUAGCUACCUUCUACCCGUUUAACCAGUUAUUUUGCACCUCUUGCUUAGUUGCCUCAUAGUUGUCAAGUCCUACAACUCAUUGCUUGGUGCUUUCACACCUCCAUCAUUAUCUGGGUCACCACACUCCAACUGCAUGCUCUGCAACUUAGGCUAUGCUAUUCCCAUUUCCAUUGGGAUUCCUUUGGCAAGGGGUUCUCAUGAACCCACCAACAUAGCCUCAAAGUAUCACACCUUGGCACAUUUGGUGUCUCCACACCAUUGGCUCCACGAGCCUACCUCUAUGACAUUUCCCCUUCGUGUCUAAGUCUUUACCAAGACCAACACCGCUCUUUCUCAUGCCAACCAUCCGUUAGCACUGCACCAUAGAGGUCACACACAACUUUAUGUCAAAGUUGUUUUCUUCUGGGAACACCUUUCCCAUAACUUUAGCAUGGCACAUUUUGCCAUUGAUGAGAUACCCUCUGUUCUCAUCCUUGGAUCCUAUGAUUCCCCCCCAUCCUUUAUGGGGUACAACACACCUCAGUCCAAAUGCUUCCAUCAGUCCUUUUAGGACCAUCCGUUGACUCUACUUGAGUCAUCCAGCAGUUUUGGACUUGGUUAAUCCAUAGACCCGUAAGGUCCUACUUGUGAGGUACUAGCUCACUGGAAUACACUUCUUGCAUUCCUGUCCUACUCAAAAGGACUAUUUUCACAAGUGUUACUCCGACACUUGAUUUUGUUCUCUAGGGGUAACCUUUGCCCCUUAGGACUACUUGUCCAUGUGAUGAGAACACCAACUCAUCCACUUAAUACACCCCCAACUCCUGGGGUUGUUCCAGCAUUUAUUAGAGGUAGCCCCGGCUACCUUUUCAAGGACUUGAGUCCUCUUCCAUAUUUGACCUCCCACGGUCAUUACUUCUGGUCUCACAUUCAUGAGCACCAACCUCAACUAUAUGAGGAAAAUCUUGUGACUCCUUUAUUGCUUUGGAGUCUUUAUCUUUCCCGUGAUCCCAAUUGUAGUUGUUUACCACAACUACAUUAGCCAGUUUGCUAAGUCAAACGCUCAUCUGGAUCACAUCCUCAACUCCUUUGAGGAAAACCAUAUAUUGUUCCCAAGAUCCCAAAGUCGUUCCAUUAUUGGCCCUUUUCUAUCUACCACCUCGUCUACAAGUUCACACACGAACUAUAAUGGAGAGCCAUGUCUUCCCGACUUGCUACUCCUCAAGGAUAGGCCCACUCCUCGGACCUUUCGAUGCCAACACUAGUGGUGAUAUACUUGAGCACCAAUAAAAGUCGGACUAAGGAACAGCUCCGAUACCAAGUUGUAAGCGACUAAAUUUUCCAUUCUACUUUAGUCACUUAACCACACUUCCAACCACUUGGAGGAGUCUCAUUCACCACCUCCAUAAGUCCAAUCCAGGACUUGGGACUUGCUAGCCCCGAGAAUGGCAUCCAUGCCACUCAACAUUUGCACUUGGUCCAAGUGCUCCACGUGUCCGAUCCCAUGACCGACACUCAAAGGUACCACCGACAUAGCAGCCCGUUACGCUAAGGCCAUGCCCAAUCACCUUUGCCACACUGGUAGUCCAAUACCACUUGCAUCACAGUCUUGGCUCCCCAAGACUAGGCAAACCAUCCGUGAGUGGUCAUCUCAGAUCCACUCCUUAGCAUCCUUAGGAUGCCCACCGACAAGGGGAAUAGCCUUCCCCAAUAUCCCUCUGUCAGUCCCCACUAAGUCCCUUUCUGCCCCUGGCCGUGUUUGCCAACACUGCCACUGGACCGAGACCCACAGGCCCGACCACUAAGUCCCACGGUCCUCUGGGACUUCCUCACCACACGACUGUGUCCUUGGUCACUACCCCAGAGGACUGCUCCUCUUCCUUUCCACAGUCUGGGCCUUUGGGACAACAUUUCGGAACACCGUGGCCUUACGCGAGCCACCUGGGUACUCUCCUCGCCUUCUGCCCUUGGGUGCUCUAGCCAUGGGCUUAGAGCGGGUUCCGUUGAGCCACACCAGGUAUCCAAGUAGGUAGUGCCACCCACACUUGGAUUGGGAGCAUCGGCCAGUCGAUCUCCCGGGGGAACUAGAGCCGGCUCUUGAACACUUCACCAAGCUACCCCGCUUGUCGGUCUGUGUUCACUCUAGUCUUGGACUUCCCAGUGGGCAGCUCAUCACCCAACACUGGGUCCGGCCUUCCUGGGCCAAACUGGCCUUUCCUGGCCAAACUGGCUCCACUGCAGUCCUCCCCCUACUAUACUUUUGGGGCUCACCAAACCCCCCAGGGUCUGGGAGACGAACGCUUUGGGCUUUCACCCUCUCAGGCUCCGGACUCGGACUCGGACUCGGACUCGGACUCGGACUCCGACUCGGACUCGGAUUCGGACUCGGGCUCGGGCUCGGUCUCGGCCUCGGCCUCGGUCUCGGUCUCGGUCCCGAUCUCGGUCUCGGUCUCGGUCUCGGUCCCGGUCUCGGUCCCGGUCUCGGUCUCGACUUCGGACUCCAUCUCGGACUCCAUCUCGGACUCCAUCUCGGACUCCAUCUCGGACUCCAUCUCGGGUCCAUCUCGGGUCCAUCUCGGACUCCAUCUCGGACUCCAUCUCGGGUCCAUCUCGGACUCCAUCUCGGACUCCAUUUUGGGUCCAUCUCGGGUCCACCUCGGACUCCAUCUCGGACUCCAUCUCGGACUCCAUCUCGGGUCCAUCUCGGACUCCACUUCAGACUCCAACUCGGGUCCAUCUCGGGUCCACCUCGGACUCCAUCUCGGACUCCAUCUCGGACUCCACUUCGGACUCCAACUCGAGUCCAUCUCGGACUCCACUUCGGACUCCAACUCGAGUCCAUCUCGGACUCCACUUCGGACUCCAACUCGAGUCCAUUUCGGACACUCCCACGUGUCAUGUGUUGGUCCUUUUGGGUCCCUUUUUGGAGCCUUGCCUUUUGCUCACUUUGUGCUCGUUCCUCGAGCACUUCGUUGGGAGUUCCACUCCCGCUCUUGACUUUUCAAGUCGGAGCUUUUGGUCCAAACGUGUUACGCUCUUUUGGCUCUCGCUUCGGCCACUACCAUGUGGCGCCCUUCCGGCUCCACUUUGGGGCCUAGGGAUUUUGUGUCUCACAUAUGACCUCUAUGGUGCAGUACUAACGGAUGGUUGGCACAAGAAAGAGUGGUAUUGGUCUUGGCAAAGACUUAGACACAAAGAAGAAGUGUCAUAGAGGUAGGCUCCUGGAGCCGAUGGUGUGGAGACACCAAAUGUGCCAAGGUGUGAUACCUUGAGGCUAUGUUGGUGGGUUCAUAAGAACCCCUUGCCAAAGGAAUCCCAAUGGAAAUGGGAAUGGCAUAUCCUAAGUUGCAGAGCAUGCAGUUGGAGUGUGGUGACCCAGAUAAUGAUGGAGGUGUGGAAGCACCAGCAAUGAGUUGUAGGACUUGACAACUAUGAGGCAACUAGGCAAGAGGUGCAAAAUAACUGGUUAAACGGGUAGAAGGUAGCUACCCAAGACUUCUUAAUAGCAUAGGGAAGUUGGAUAUACCCUUACGGGGGAUAAGUUGCUUGUGUUGCGAUAUAGUAAGUCAAUGUCAUAAAAGGAAAUACUCAUUGUCAAGAAAGCCAUCAUUGGGACACCCGAACACUCUAGAACACCAGAAGGUGGUGUUUGAUGUCGCGAGGGCAAUGGAUAAAGCCCAAGGGACUAAGUCCCUAGCGAAUGAUGGAUAGAAGGUGCUAUCCCAAAUGUCCAAGGUGGCAGAGACAAGAGAAGACUGUCUACUCGAACUGGACAAAGCCAAAAAUAGAAUUUUGGCAAGGCUAGCGAUGGGCAUGUAAAGGCUCAUAAGCAACAACGUAAUCUCGGUGUGUGGGAUUAUAGGGUGAGCAUACCUGGAUUGAGGAACCACUCCCUAGGCUAUCGGGUAGGUUCAUCCCUAAGAAUACUUGCUAAGGCAUGAUAGAAAGUGCAAAGCUAUCCUCCUAGUCUGGAGGAGAAUGACCAAAGGAAAGGUGUGAAGCCAAAAGCAAGAAGUAAAGGGGUAGAACCGAACCAUAGGAAUCGAAGGGCAUAACCAAGGUUGGUUAUGCCAGCUGGGAGUGGAGAAUCAAGUGGGGGCUUGAGGGUGUUGCCGUUAGCAACCGUGAUGCCAUGGAGAGUCUAAAAUAUGGAAUUGUCCAUGUUAAACUAUAUGGUAAUUGGAAAGCUUGCAAAAAGGGAGGCCUUAGCAAGUUAAAGGACAGAGUUCCUUCAAGGUUCCCAAAGAUGAUUCUAGGUAACUUAGUACUUAGAGAGGCCAAGUGUAAAUGGUUCAUGAAACGUGCGAAAUCAGAGUGGCGCAGCAGAAGCGUGGUCUUGAAGCUUGCCAUGAGGCAAGGCUAUCAAGGUUAGGGAAGUAGUUCCCGAGUGUUCAAAGAGAGGGCUUUUAAUGAAAGUCGAUGAUCAAGGGCUUUCACGCUUGUGCAGGAACCAUGUUACAGUGGUCAGAGGGCUUGCCAAAGUGAGAUUGGCAAGUCAGGGGAACAAAUACCCUAGUUGAAGGUGAUAACUUCAAAAGGGGUGGGCCAUGGGGCCAAGCAUGGAGGAGUCAAUGCAUGAUCACCAACUUGUCAAGUGAGAGGACUUGGCAGUGUGGAGGAACUAGGUUCCUAAGCUGUGAUCUGUAGCGCGCUUUGAGUAUAAGUUGGUGCACCGGCGUGGGGAGUCACGCCAGGCAUCUUGUGUGAUGCCGUCCGUAGAUGCAUAUACGGAGGUUGGGUUCGAGUCCCGACCCUCUAGUGCUUGGGUUCGAGUCCCAAAUCACUAGGGCGUGGUGAUGGUUUGGAAUAUGAGGACACUCAUAUUUCGGUGGUCAUGGACUCUCAGUGGGGAGACUGGUUUGGGCACACCGCCAAGCAAGGGAUGCCUCGGAGUCGUGAUGCAUGGUUAGAUUGCUUAGUGUGAAAGCUCGGCAUAUCUAACUUGAACACUUUGGUGCAAGUGGCACCAAGGACGUGGUGAGUGAGAUGGGGACACCUAAUCUCAGUUGCUAUGGACCCUUGGCCGGAAGGGCUAGCUUGGGCGCACCGCCAAGUGUGGGGGUCGUAGUUAACAAGUUAAAGGUCUGGAAGACCUAGUAUCUAUUGGCAAACUUGUUAAGGUGCCGAGGUGAAAUCACUAGGUGAUCUUGUGGCUAAAUAAGGACAAGGUCCUUGUUUGGGUUAAGGAAUAAGGUUCCUAGUUCAAAGUGUUGAUUUGAACUAUUGAUGAUGGUGUGGCUUGGUCAAGGUGACCAAGUGGGAAAAGCACCUUAGGGAAAUGAGCUAUGUCAUUGCGAUGGCAUAGUGUGUCCAAGGAAAGUAGUCUCUAAAGAGACCCAUGAGAGGGUCACAAAGUUGGGCCGAGGAUAGAGCCCACAGCAAAAGAUGCUAAAAGAGACUUACUAGGGGUGAACACCCUAGUCUUGGCAAAGCAAAGCCUUUGCUAUGGGAUCAAAAGAACACCGCAAGGAGGGAGGUAGAGAUUCGAUGUUGCUUGGUGCAACAAUUAAUUGAUAGGAGCAAAAGAUGAGUGGCCAAGAUAGGGCCGUGGAAUUCCUUGGAAGGAAUCCAAGUGACAAAGUUAGGCGAGGAACACUAAUGUGUUGGACGCUAACAAAUUGCGGGAAAGGAAGUGUGUUUCCAAGGAUGGAUUCCGAAUUGCUCCGAUUUGGCGAAAGUGGAAGCUCUAAGGGAGGGAGCGGUAAGGUAGCCAAAUGAUAGGGCGAUGGACAACCCUAGCACAAAGUGUGAUAAAUGGAACUUAGUGCCCAAGGUGGCACGAAAUAGAAGAGAGGAUGAUGGUGCCCUCAAGUAAUGAACUUCCUAGGAUAGGGAAGUGGAGUUGCACAAUUUGUGCAAUGCAAGGUGUUGGAGACACCUAGGAAAUUGACUUCCAAAAGUCAAAAGAGUAGAAGAUCCAAGGUGCAAACAUUUAAUAGAUGGAAAUUGAGACUACUCGAGAAAGAGUAGUGGGAUUGACUUAGAGAAGGGUCUCUAAGAGGUUUAGCAAGAACUAAACCAAUAAAAGGAGAGAACCACUACAUGUGGUCCAAUCAGUCUCUAAGUUGGAGAGACUACCCUCCUUAGAGGAUAGGCAAGGCAUGGUGAGCCUUUGGUGUCAAAACCAUUGACGCAUAUGCAAAAGGCAUGGUGAGCCUUCAAUGUCAAACCAUUGACAAAUAUUGGCUAGGUGCCAAGGAUGGAAAUGGUAACACAUGCGAGUGUGACUUUACAAAAUGGUUUACCGUUCGAUGAGGACAUCGAACUUUGUCUAUGGGUGGUGGAGUUGUGAGACACAAAAUCCCUAGGCCCCAAAGUGGAGCCGGAAAGGGUGCCAUGUGGUAGUGGCUGAAGUGAGAGCCAAACGAGCGUAACACGUUUGGACCAAAAGCUCCGACUUGAAAAGUCAAGAGCGGGAGUGGAACUCCCAACGAAGUGCUCGAGGAACGAGCACGAAGCGAGCAAAAAGCGAGGCUCCAAAAAGGGACCCAAAAGGACCAACACAUGACACGUGGAAGUGUCCGAGAUGGACUCGAGUUGGAGUCCGAAGUGGAGUCCGAGAUGGACUCGAGUUGGAGUCCGAAGUGGAGUCCGAGAUGGACUCGAGUUGGAGUCCAAAGUGGAGUCCGAGAUGGACUCGAGUUGGAGUCCGAAAUGGAGUCCGAGAUGGACUCGAGUUGGAGUCCGAAGUGGAGUCCGAGAUGGAGUCCGAGGUGGACCCGAGAUGGAGCCAAAAUGGAGUCCGAGAUGGAGUCCGAGAUGGAGUCCGAGGUGGACCCGAGAUGGACCCGAAAUGGAGUCCGAGAUGGAGUCCGAGGUGGACCCGAGAUGGACCCGAGAUGGAGUCCGAGAUGGAGUCCGAGGUGGACCCGAGAUGGACCCGAAAUGGAGUCCGAGAUGGAGUCCGAGAUGGAGUCCGAGGUGGACCCGAGACGGACCCGAAAUGGAGUCCGAGAUGGACCCGAGAUGGAGUCCGAGAUGGACCCGAAAUGGAGUCCGAGAUGGACUCGAGAUGGAGUCUGAGAUGGACCCGAGAUGGAGUCCAAAGUCGAGACCGAGACCGGGACCGAGACCGAGACCGAGACCGAGACCGAGACCGAGACCGAGAUCGGGACCGAGAACGAGACCGAGGCCGAGGCCGAGGCCGAGGCCGAGACCGAGCCCGAGCCCGAGUCCGAGUCCGAGUCCGAGUCCGAGUCCGAGUCCGAGUCCGAGUCUGAGUCCAAGUUCGAGUUUGAGAGGGUGAAAGCCCAAAGCGUUCGUCUCCCAGACCCUGGGGGGUUUGGUGAGCUCCAAAAGUAUAGUAGGGGGAGGACUGCAAUGGAGCCAGUUUGGCCAGGAAAGGCCAGUUUGGCCCAGGAAGGCCAGACCCAGUGUUGGGUGAUGAGCUGCCCACUGGGAAGUCCAAGACUAGAGUGAACACAGACCGACAAGCGGGGUAGCUUGGUGAAGUGUUCAAGAGCCGGCUUUAGUUCCCCCGGGAGAUCGACUGGCCGAUGCUCCCAGUCCAAGUGUGGGUGGCACUACCUACUUGGAUACCUGGUGUGGCUCAACGGAACCCGCUCUAAGCCCAUGGCUAGAGCACCCAAGGGCAGAAGGCGAGGAGAGUACCCAGGUGGCUCGCGUAAGGCCACGGUGUUCCGAAAUGUUGUCCCAAAGGCCCAGACUGUGGAAAGGAAGAAGAGCAGUCCUCUGGGGUAGCGACCAAGGACACAGUCGUGUGGUGAGGAAGUCCCAAAGGACCGUGAGACUUAGUGGUCGGGCCUGUGGGUCUCGAUCCAGUGGCAGUGUUGGCAAACACGGCCAGGGGUAGAAAGGGACUUAGUGGGGACUGACAGAGGGAUAUUGGGGAAGGCUAUUCCCCUUGUCGGUGGGCAUCCUAAGGAUGCUAAGGAGUGGAUCUGAGAUGACCACUCACGGAUGGUUUGCCUAGUCUUGGAGAGCCAAGACGGUGAUGCAAGUGGUAUUGGACCACCAGUGUGGCAAAGGUGAUUGGGCAUGGCCUUAGCGUAACGGGCUGCUAUGUCGGUGGUACCUUUGAGUGUCGGUCAUGGGAUCGGACACGUGGAGCACUUGGACCAAGUGCAAGUGUUGAGUGGCAUGGAUGCCAUUCUCGGGGCUAGCAAGUCCCAAGUCCUGGAUUGGACUUAUGGAGGUUGUGAAUGAGACUCCUCCAAGUGGUCAGAGGUGUGGUUAAGUGACUAAAGUAGAAUGGAAAAUUUAGUCGCUUACAUUCAGCUGUAGACUCUGGUACAACUGGCUCAACAGUGGCAUGGGGUGGUUUCGAUGGCGUGUGAUCACACGCCAUUUCAGCUGGUGCCUCCGUUGGCAAAGUGGACAUGACCAAACAGGGAGCAGGGGCGGUGUAGGGAGGUUCCAAUGGCGCGUAGUCAGACGAUUGGGCACACGUUGAGUCCGUUGGAAAUGAGGAUACGACCGGCUCGGCGGCUGGGGCGGCCUCAUGCGGGUCCAAUGGUGCCUAGUCACCGUCAGUUGGAUACGUGGACAAGAUUGACUCAGUGGUAUGGGCAGCAUCAAGUGGAGCGUGGUCAGCUUGCUUGGCGUUGAUAUGGAUAGUAGCCUCCACCAGCUCUGAUGACUCUUGCAGGCAAGUAGAGUCCACUGGCGGAUCCAUAUGCAUGUCCAAAUAUCUCCCUUCGAUUGAGAUGGUAUCCUCCCUACUGGCUACUAAAAACAAACUCAUUAGCACAUUGAAUCGACUAUACUGUAUUUACCAUCAACUGCUAUUGAGGAACUAGGACCAAUAUCACUUGGGCACACUGCUGAUUCUGAAGGAUUGGACAUACGUUUCGACCCUUGCUUGGCACUAUCCUUCCUCGACACUAAAGGCUAGAGUUUGUAUCUUAAUUCAACUGAAUAAUCUCUACUUACCAUUUGCUCUGCAACCUACAUGGACAAUGUUAGAAAUGGUAAAAGGUUAGGAAUGGAUGUACUAUUAUUUACCUGAUGGUUUGUCUUGUAUGACCUUCCUCCGCUGCUCUUUAGCCACCUCAGGCUGGCCAUCGUUGUCAUCAUCGUCGUCGUCGUUAUUGUGAUCGUCACCAUUGUAAGGACCAUCCAAGUCCUCUUCGUCCUCCUCUUCUUCGUCCUCCUCUUCUUUGUCCUCCUCUUUGUCCUUCUGCUCUUCCUGCUCAUUAUCUUUCUCUGGCUCCUCAUCCCCCUCCUGCAUUUCUUCCAUAGGCUGCUUAGGCUGGAUGGCUUGUUCUUCCAGGACCAUCUUGGGAAAAUCAUCUGGCCGAGUCUUCAUCUCAAAAUACAAGACAUCCAUAGCCUGUUUUAGUGCGUGACCUAGGACCGUAUCCUCACCCGACUGUCUUAACAUGGUUUCUGCACGUUCUUGCACCCUUCGAAGACGACGAGAUGAGAAAAACGUGGCCCUGACUUGAAAAGCAUCCCUCAUCCAUUGUACCUCUCCAUUGAGAUUGGGGAAGGGGAGUCCGCCAUAGGAAUCUGAGUCAGGAGGUGGUGACUGGCUGCUUUCACUCAGCCCUUGAUUUGCAAUGAAUGGCAUGAGCACACACGCCAUAACCGCAAGGCAUUACCUAUCAUCUUUUCGUUGCCCUUCUUCCUUUUCGAAUCAAACGCCUCUGAUCCCGACGACUGUCCAAUGUGCUUUCGCUUUUUAUGACCACUGUCAGUUUGAGCUUGGCUGGUGCUUGCCUGUUUUGCCUUUGAAGAAGUGUCUCCUGCAAGGAAUGGCAUGAGACCAUACGCCAUUGCAAAUAUAAUUUGUACCUCCUUUUUUCCUAUUGCUUGUCUGUUUGUCCUUCUUCGACGCACCACCAGUGCACUUUUCAGUCCUCGUGUCUGAAUAUUCACAACGAUCUAUAAUCAAAAUGGCGUGAGGCCUUACGUGACCUUACCUUGUGCAGGUUGUGAGCUCGGCCCAACAUGGGUAUCUUCAACAGUAGCUGUUAACGCCGUUUCAGCAUCUGGGGGUGGCCACGCUCCUGCAUACAGAGCUUGUGAGAUAACAUAUAAACUUAAAGUGCAUACUUACCAGGUUCGCAGAGAAGAUACUGUUUUUCUUUGGCAACUGUAAUUAUUUGCUCCAUUGAAGUCACCUCUUGAAUGGAGUUUGUCACCGCAACACACGGGACACCCUUGAGUAGUGCGGCUCGAAAGAAUAGUCUGCCGCAGUUGUACUCGACAACGCAUUUGCCCUUGGAGUCGGAAGCAGGUGACCCACCCGCUAUUGCGUUGAAGACCCAGCUGAGCAUUUCCCAUGCUACACCUGGAGCUUUCUCUGGAUUCGAAAGCUCCAUAGCCGUCUUCAGUUCCUUAGGCACGGGUAAAUUGACCUCCCUCAGAUCAAUUCGAUCGGCCUUGUCGAACGAAGCUGGGAAGUCACUCCAGUCCCACUCUGCUACAGGACCAAUAACAAGGGCGAGUGUGAAGAUACAGACAUUCGUCGGUAUCUUCUUCUUAGCCAUUAUCCCAUGGAUCUCCCGCAUCUCCUUGCCUUUCAACCGAGCCUUCACCUCGUUCAAGGCCUUCCAGAACUUAUCAUAGGAUUCGGAGUUGUAGAUCAUAUAGUGGACUGAAGAUUCCACCUCCGCAAGUCCCACCAUUAAGUCAAUGAUGGAGUUGACUUCGUCUGCAUGAGUGAUCUCCUCGUUUGUGAAGUCCAUCACACAAAAGAUGUUCUUGACCUACUCAUCUCCGCGGGAAACGAUGCUCCUCCACCUUUGAUCCUCAUCCGAAUUCAUGUAUACCCGGUAAGGUUCUCGAUAGGCCUCUGCUGCGGGGUCGAGCUGUUUCUAAAGCCGGCGGUCGACAUCCCUCUUAAUGAAAUUUGGAUACUGAUCCAACUUCUUAGCUUUACUUUUCGUGGCAUCCCACAGCAGAUCGAUGAACUUGGGGGCCCCCUUCAUGUACUCGUUGAUGUCUUCAUUUGACAACUCCAGCUCUUCCAUCAUCUCUUGCGUGGUGUCGAUGCUCACCUCUCCACGGCCACUUGCUCGAAGAUCCAAUCCUUCAAUAGCGCACGAGCUCUCAGAGUCGUGCACAAGUCCUCGUAUGUCACAAUAUGGCCAGGAGUCAUUUUGGUCUUGUUGAAGACUACCUCACCACGUAGAAGAGCAUUAGCCACUGUCAGAAGGUCGUCGUCGUCUAGAGACCGCGAGAAACGCAAGGCAUUGAGCUUCAAAUCAUUGGGCUUCCGGCCGUCCUCCACACCCAUUGAGUUUAGCAACUCCCCGUCAUGGUACCUCCUCAGCACAUCUACCCAUUUGUCAAAAACAACUUUUGUCGCGAGUAGAAUGUUAUGGAUGCUAAGUGUGUCAUUGACCCCCAGUGUUUUCGAAAGAAGACUCGAGAAUUCCUGCAAUGGAAAUGGCGUGAGGCCACAUGCUAUGCCACAUGCAACGAGGCUUACCUGCCAGGCGCUAGUUGCUAGUGUACGUCCUUGUCCUAGUUUUUGUGGCUUCUUCAGUUGAACCCAGAGCUUCCAUGUUCGUGCCAAUGUCUCGUGCAGACCCGAUUUGUAGCACAUUUCUUGCUUGACAUUCUACGCGUGGGAGAUGUAUAUGAUAGAUCGGAGGGGCGAGUUGCCUUUUAUCAGGUGGACAACUCUUGUCUUGAAGACUUUCUUCACCUCCUCGCCCACCAUAAUAUCCACAACUAUCUCUUGCAUCGCCAAGCUAGAAUGCUACCCGGAGACGGCAUAGAACCGGAUGCUCUGAUCAUCCAACACCUUCCUAUUGAUCAAGUCUGGAAACCUCGUCUCGCCCUUCAUUGUUUGGUAGUAGGGGAUCACGUCUGCGAUGUCGGGUGUUACUGGACUUGCCAGCAUCUUCUGCUUCAGUUUCUCCACCCACUCAUCAGAUACUAGCCUGUGGUUGUAUUUGCUUUGGAUGUCGAUACGGCUCACGUCGAUUGUAUAUACUUUGUUGGAAUAGUAACAAGUACUAUUAUCUGUGACGAUUUUUGCUACCUCUUCUUGCUCUUUCUGCUCUUUGCGGCUCUUCUUUUUGGUGGGUGUAGUGUUCGAACCCGAGGCAAUGGCAUCACCGAGUAGCUUCUUUUUUGGAGCAGGAGAGUCGGACGUCGGCUUGAGAUUGACCACCCUUUUCUGCUUCGGGGUAGUUUCCAGAUCGACCCCCUUCCCCUUCGCUUCGCGAACUGGAGGCACUCUCAAUGGCUCAAUGUUGGAAUAUAGUUUUUGAACAUCACCGUAGGUGAGGUCCGUGGAUUCCAUGUGAUCUUCAUAGACCCGCAGCGUCUUUGAAAUUGUGGGCCUCCUGGACAACCUCUCCCUAGCUCCCUCUAGGAAUUCCUCAUAGCCGCUGCCCCCCUCCGGGAAGCCGCUAGGAUGUGCAAGGUGGAUCUUGAAGGCGGACACUGUCUCUACCACAAGUGCCAGUCCAUAUUCUUGCAUGGAACUGCAUGGAGUGUCUGUCACUUGGAUGAGGAUCCCCAUGCAUUCUUUUCUCCCACCAUCUGUGUUGUAUAGCUUCAGAUCCUCGCCUUCCAUCCCGAAAGUCCAACUGGUGAGCUCCUCCCCCUUCUCUGCAUCCACAUUGACAGUGGCUGGAAGAAGAACGCAAUUCCUCGCCUGUUCAGAAAUGCACAACAAUUAGAGUUGACAGAUGAAAAGCUAGGAGCUGGAAAUAACGUGAGUCCACACACCAUUCACCACUGCAUUAGAUGUCUUGAGGCUGCAUCCUAAGAUGGCGUGAGGCUACACGCCAUCUGUAACCGGACUGCACUCGAGAGCCCAAUCGGUGCAUGCCAAUGUUGCUACUAAAUGGCAUGUGGCCUCAUGCCAUUUUCUACUUGGCCUAAAAGACUUACCAUUUGAAGCCGAAUGGAGGCAUGACAAUCGAGGCCGGACUCACUGGCGAAUGUGCACUGUGUGUGCAGCGGAUCGUAGCAGCAAGGCUACUCUGCCACUUAUAGUUGGAGAGUGGCGCUAAAAUCUCCCGGGACGCCAAGUGGGCUGCGUGUGGGUGGCGGAGUGGGCGGCAGAGUUGGCAGCGAAGUUACAAACUGGAUGUGUCUUGAAGUGGACGCCGAUGCACACGAGCGCGAUGCGAGCGCGAGUGGACGCCGAUGCACACGAGAAACCUGUAGAGAAGGUAGAUGAGCGCGAAUGUGAGCGUGAUCGCGAGUGGGAGCGCGAUGCGAGCGCGAGUACGAAGCAAAAUGCAAAACCUAACCUCACACGCGCGAAAUGUCACGACGGUUGGUAAUCCCGCAACGUCAUCAUUCCUCGGACUUGGGCGCCACCAUUAAUUUCUGGAUCGCCGCGCGCAUGCAUGCACGUGAAAUCCAAAAGAAAUCCGCAACAUCAUCAUUCCUUGGACUGCAUGCACGCGAAAUCCAAAAGAAAGAUCAUGAUUGGGAUAUCAUUUAAUACCCUCGCUAUAUUUAUACCAUGCAUGAUUGGAUAUUCCAAAGCAUCUUGUAUUUCCAAAAAUGCCAGAUGUUCAGCUAAAUAAAGAAUGGUAUACAAUGUCCUUCUUGAUGACCCUGCAAAGAAGCAUCUCGAUCGGACACCACAUGAGACCACAUGAGCCUUACAAUGUUUCAGGGGCAUUUGCCAUAGAUCCGACUGUUAUUUUGCUCCAAGAUUCUACAGUUUGGUGUGCAUUGACCUUUCCAUCGACACUGCAAAGGGACAUCACAAUCAGAUGCGGGAUCACAAGAAACCAACUUCACUAACUCUGGUUUCACCAAGAUCUACGUAAGGAGUUAUGAAAUGAAAGGACCCUCUUUAUUGAAAUGUGUUUAUGGUCCUAGGGGCAUUGUGACAUAUCAAAGGAUUUUGCAUCAAGUUCUGUAUUUGCAUGUUUAUCAAGCUACUGAAUUGCUAAACCCUAAACCCUAAACCCUAAACAUGUGGCAAAUGCUGCGUGAAGAAAGAUGCCCUUUCUGGGCAAAUGCUGUAAGAGGCAGAUGCCGAGCAGAUGUAUCUCAAGCUAGCGAAGGGGACAAACGAAAGCUAGCUAUAAACAUGACGGGAUGCAAAUAGAUUACUAGGCUGGUCCUGCAAAAAUCAAAAACCAUAAUUGAAAACAUUGAAAAUGCAAAAAGAAAGGUUUAUAAUAUUUUUGAAUUUUAAGCAACCAAAGGAAUGUAAGUAGGGCAUGUGUUUGUAAGUUUAAAAAUGCCUCAACCACUUAAACUCCCAAGUAAAUAAAGCUGUUUCUAUUUUUGGUACAGGUAAACUUUAUAGCGUGUGGGCUCAUGCAAUUUUGAACCCAAAAAUGCACCAAAAAAUGCUCGACUAGCAUUAUUCUUUGAAUGGCAUGUGGCCUUAUAUUGCCAUAAAUGGACGUACACACACAGCAUAAUUAUUCCUUUACACGGCGAAUAAUCUUGGCGCGGAUCGCUGACAUGGCAUGGCAAAGUUCGAAUCACUGACAUGGCACAGCCGUACACACACAACAUAAUUAUUCCUUUACACGGCGAAUAAUCUUGGCACGGAUCGCUGACAUGGCAUGGCAAAGUUCGAAUCACUAACAUGGCACAGCUGGAUCGAGGCAAGGACAUGAUGUGACAAAGUUCAACGUCCGACAGCAAAGUCUAGAAGCUACUCAGUUUGAAAUUUGUCAGAGGAAUCAUAAGAUCUAGUUUGUCAGAGGAUUUGAUGUGACGUUCAAGCGUGUGUUAUUUUUGAAUUCUCGAACUCAUUCCUAGGUCUAUCAUUUUUGUGCGCCGUGUUCUUGGUUCCGCUGAGCGCAGUGAGCGCUGCUUGUGUAAGCGGCGUUGUGAGCUGUGGUUUAUGCGUCUACGAGCGGUUGCGGCAUUGCGAGCGCCAUUGCGAGCGGCAGUUUAUGCGAGUGGCAGUUUGUGCGAGCGGCGCUACGAGCAGUUGCGGUGUUGCGAGCGGCACUACGAGUAGUUGCGGUGUUGCGAGCGGCACUGUCUUUGGUGUGGCUACCGCUUCCUCUUGAUAUUCGGCACUUGUGCUUCCUGGUAUGUUCACCAUGGAAUGGCUUAGGACCACAUUUAGAAAUGGCAUGAGGCCACAUGCUAUCUUGGGCCCUUGCAAUUUCAUGGCUAGCGUAUUGUCAUGUAUGUUUUUACUUGCCUGCAGCUGUGUGUAUAUCAAGAUGGCAUGAGGGCUCAUGCCAAUUUUGUGAAUGCGAAAUUUCACGUGGGUGUCAAUAGCAUAUUUGAUUAAUGGCAUGUGGCCUCAUGCUAUUGAGGUUGUUUGGUAUGUUAUGAUUUAGGCCAUUCUCCAAUCAUUUUUUGUAUGGUCUUAACUUCUUUUCUGCACUUUCAGAAUGGCCUCCGCAAGUGCGACGCAUGUUCCCUCCGUGGAUCUUAAGAACCAUGCUUGGAUUCAGGCAAAGGUGUUUCUAAACAACCCCGAGGGGGAGGUGGUAGCUGAGGGCUUAGCCACAAUUGUCGAUCCAAGAGAUGCGGUUGCUAAUCAAAAAUUGGGCUGGGAUGAUAUUGGAGUUGCGAUUUUAGAGGUUGUUGACACAGAAGAAAACAGUCUGACUAUUGGAAGCAUUGUGCGGUGGAAAUUGAGGCACUUAGUGUUUGAGAAUGUGAAGGAUUCACAAUCAAACACCAUUACAACUUAUGACAGAACAUCUCUUCAUGGGAAAAGAAAGUACACGUUCCUAAAGUGCAGCCAAAGGGAUCUGAGCAACGAACCGAAAAGGCAGAAAAUGGCGAUGGAGGUUCGAAUGGUCUCGACAGUUGCUUGUUGCAAGAGGAGGUGCUGUCAACAUGCUGAUUGGGAUGCUAUUGAAGAGGAGAGAGCAAGAUACAAGACAUUGUCCUGGAAGGUAGCUCGCAAUUUUGUGUAUGAGGCAUUACGGUCAUCUGUUGAUGCUUCAGAACAUUAGGUGGGGGGCAUGGUCUUCCAGAGGGGUUUGGUCUGCAUGAAGGCAUGGAGAAUCAUUUAUGGAGUCCCUCGAACCACAUUCUAUAGAAUCAAAACUGAGUUCGAGGAACAAAGGGUUCAACAGGCAGUCCAUGGGAACGACGGUACUCACAAAACCAGGGGUCAUGUUGUAUAUGGAGAGGCAAUCUUCAAGAGGUUUGUCGAGACAUGUAGCGAGCAGCAACCAUAUAAAACCCGCCUCUUGGAAGAUGGAACUCAAGACACCCAACGAGUUCUCCCUUCCAUGUAUACCAAGGGGGCCAUAUUGGAAGAUGUGAAUCGGGAACUCCAGAGUAAUGGCUACAGGAAGCUGAGCCAAUCUAGAUUUAGUAGAUUGUGGAGCAACAGGUUCAGGGAUGUGAGUAUAGGAAAGUACUUCAGCUUUUCAAAGUGUUACGAGUGCACUGCUAUCAAAAUGGCUUUGUCGAAGAAUUCUUGCAGCGCUCAAGAGCGAGAGACGUUGGUUAGAAGGCGGCUCGACCACAACAUCGAGCAGAGAAGCUGCAGAACUGCAUAUUAUCAUAACAGGAUUCUCUCCAUGGAGAGACCUGACUCUUACCUCUGCAUCAUCCAUGACAAAAUGGACCAGAAAAAGACGUGUUUACCUUGACUCAAUCCUGCCCCCAAGGCAAUCUCUUCAUCCAUGCAGCUGCCUGUGUCUCUGUUUGGCAUAAUCGCUCAUGGGCAUGGUGCCCAGAACUAUGGGAACUUCUUUGUACCUCUAUGGGGUGGCGGGGGUGCAAACAUGAUGAUUGCGUCCCUAGCAAAACACUUAAGGUCUCUGCAAAGUGCGUAGACUGAGCUGAACGGCCAACCCUUGCAUAAGGCCCUUGUCGAUCGAACCCCAUACAGGGUUCAGCUGGAGGAGGAGCAAAGGCUUGCAGUAUCGCGUGGGGCCCCAUGCCAUCCCAGUGAAUAUGUUGGCCGUCAGAUUGUAGGGUUAUCACGUGAGGCCUCAUGCCAUUCCGACGAGGCUGGUUGCCCGGUGAAUGCACAGCCUCAUCCAAACGAAGCAGAAUCUCAAGGAAGUUCUUGCGGCCAAUGUGGCCUUCCACCCCAUCUUCUGCUCCAAACAGACAAUGCUGGCAGUGAGAACAAAAACAUGUACGUCUUCGCAUACUUGGCGAUGCUUGUUGCCAAAGGCAUAUUUGAAACGGUUACACUUGGCUUUCUCAUGGUUGGGCACACUCAUGAAGACGUCGAUGCCAUGUUCAGUCACCUAGCAGAGUCCCUCCGGCGAUCCAAUGUCCUCACCCUCCCACAACUCUACGAUGAAUUCCAAAAUUGCAUCAAAGGCACUGUUGAAGCUGCACUUGUGACAGAGGUUCCAAAAUUUAAGGGGUUUGUAAAAGGCUACAUCAGAGACGGAUCCGAAACGCUGAUUGGCCACUCCAAGCCUCUUCAGUUUCAUUUCAACAUGCGUGACGGUGCUCCAGUGAUGAGGUACAAGAUGAGAGAAUGUGACACAGUGUGGCUGCUAGUGGACGGCAUUGAACUCUUCAAGAGAGAUCCCAUAACUGGGGAACCUAUGAUUCCUCAGGGUUCCCCACGGCCGAUGCACCCGGAUGGACUCAAAGACCAGGAAAGUAUAGUGGCCGGGAUUAGACAGCAUAUUGCCUUCUGGAAGAGGGGGUUGGUGUUUGGUGGAGAAUUCUAUUUUCAGAGGUGCAAGCCUUUGCUCGAAUACUGGGAGAAGAUUAUAUCUGCUAUCCAAAAUGGGCCGGUUGUAUAUGAAGAAUUGGAAGAGUCCUUUUGGCCAGAACCCAGAGCACCAGAUAGUAGCGGAACAAUGUCCUCUGGAAAUGCAGUGACAGAUAAAGAUGUUGAGGAUCACUAUUGUGGGCCGAGGAACAAGAAGCCGGAUUCAGCAUUCAAUCCAGUACAGGUCUGCAAAGGAAUGGUCGUGCUUGUCAGACCCAGUAAUAAAAAACAAAUGAUAUGGGUGGGGCACUGCAUCACUGAUGUAGAGGAGGACGCGAAAACUAACUCCUUCAAUGUAACUAUGGAGUGGUUCAAGCCAAGUUCCGGAUAUACGAAGGAUUGCCUAGAAAAGAGAUGGGUGUUGAAUCCAAGGGAUCCCAGCAUGAGCAUAUCGGUGGAUAAUGUUGUGCAUGGUUGGAUGCGGAAGUAGAGUGCCACCAUCACCUUGCUAGACCAUACAAGAGAUGCAGCAAGAGCAUUCAUAACCCGGGUUCAAGGUGAGAUUCAUUAAUAUUCCUUUACUAAGUUUCUAAUGUAUUUUAUUUCAAGGUGAACAAUCCGAAUCUGAAUCAGAGGAGGCGUGAUGGCAUGUGGCCCUUUGCACUAGUAUAUCUUAAUACCGGUCUGAGAAAUAGAAUGGCAUGUGCCCUCAGGCCUUUUACUAAAUCACCUUUGAAAGAAAUGCAAGCCUCUAUGUCGUAAAAAAAAGGUACUAGAGAAAUUCCUUAAUAAUAUGAAUGUUAUUUAGUUUCAUGAAAAUACACUAAGGGUCAAAUGAGUUAAAUGACUUCUCCAGACUAGCAAUGCCUCUUGCUACACCUUCACAAUUAGAUUCGUUAGAAAAAGAUAACAUUGAAUAAUAUCUAAAUGUUCUCACCAUUAAGUUAUAUGUCUGGCUAAUAGGAAUGAUGUUCAUCUUGGAAAGCUCACCACACGCUCAAUGAACAAACAAAUAGUGUGUGCGCGCAUGCCAUCGCUCUUCUUUAGCUUCAGAUUCGUCUUGUUCACCUUGACAAUGAGAUUUAUUAUACAACCAGAUGGACUCAGUCUGGACACAAAGUCACCGCGCUAGUCACUAUGCCCCAGAUAUGUCUAGCCCCUGGACAAAAAACAUAUAAUUUCACAUCAUUUUCAAAUACUUGAAAAUUUGUCCCAAUUAAUCCCAUUUUACUGAAUAAAUCCCACUUUAACAAAAUAGAGCAUCAAUGAGGAUAUUGAUUUUCCUUAAGGGGGGAGAGUGUCAUAAAUGUGACUUUGGGUAUCGAAAGAUACUUAUCAGGCAAUCCUUACAAACACUCUCGCUUUACAAUGGUAGGAGGUCAGUAUUGUUAGUUCCCUUUAUUAGCCUCUUUUAGCAUCUAUACUUAGCUAGAUGAAUGUAAAGGAGGAACUUCUAUAUGUUUUUUGCUGAGCAUUCUCGGCUUGGCUUUUAGUUCUCUUUUACUUUGUCUUAUACUAGCUUGGCAAGAACCCUUGCAUAUUGAGUCUAGUCUCUUAAUAUUGCUAUAUGAUAGCUUAUUGUAUCCGCUAGACACCUUUGCUAUCAUGCCCCAUGUAUUAAUUUUAUACCAGAUCCAUAUGAUAUUUAUGGUAAGUGUCUAAAUCUGCUCAAGAAGCAUAUCUACAAAGUGUAGAGAGUGUUUUAAACCCCAUGGUGUUAUUUCCAUAUCCUAAUUCACAAUUUAGUGCUAUUUCAUAUUUAGUAAGUUUUCAUUAGUGUCCCAACUAGGGUGAAAACCUAAAUCAUGUGUUCCUCAAGGAAGGGUAGAGGGCAGCAGUGUAAUGCACGUGGUUUUCAUCUUUUAUUCUAUGAUGAUUUAUUAUAGGAUAACUAUGAAGUGGAACCUAGACCCUCAAUGUGCCAUGUGCCACGUGUUCAAAGGCAAUAGAGUAGAACUCAAGUUUUAGAGGUUUGGGUCACUGAAUGAAAAGACGGAGCCAAACUCCCAAACAUAAAACCUAGGAGUGAAGGAAGAAAAGCAUGGAAUGACUUUUGAGCGUACAGCCUAAGGAGUGAAGGGAUAGGGGCAUGAAGUGACUUGGAACAAUUUUAAAGCAUCUAACAUCCCAAUGCUAGGAUUAACAUUUUGUCACUAGCCAAUGCAAAACACAAUGAGACAAGAACUCCUUACCAAACUAAGUUUGCUUAGUUAAUAGCAUAUAGGAAUUUCUUCCUUAUGCUCAUCUAGUUUAAGUACAUAACUCCAUUAGCAUAAAAGGGACUAAUAAAGAAUCCAGUAAUAUCAACCUCUUGUUUUGUGAUAUAUAAUGCAUGUGCUUUUCACCCUUAGCCACCCUUAGUACUAAGAGUUAGUCUCUAGGACAAGCUUAAAACAUACCAAAUAUUCUAAAUAUUAAUAAUCCAAAUUAUUAAAUGCUAAAUAUUAAUAAUCCAAGACUCUACAUUGCGAAUUUAGAGAUCGGACCAACACCAUUGUGUUCAAGAUAAUCUCUACAUUUUGUAGAUAUACCAAAUUAGCAAGUCUAGACACUUUCCAUAAAUUGUAAUUGGGACUAGAUAGGACUAACAUAAAGGGGAUGAUAGCGAGGGUGUUUGGCAGACACGAUAAACUAUCAUCUAACAAUAUUAAGGGACUAAUCUCAAUAUGCAAGUUCUUAUCAUGCCAGUACAAGACAGAGCAGAAGAGAACUAAGAGCUAGGCCAAGUAUACUUAGUAAGAAACUGUAAGUGACUAAUUUUUCCAUUUUACUUUAGUCAUUUAAUCACACCUCCAACCACUUGAAAGAGGCUCACUCAGAACCUCCAUAAGUCUUAUUUUGGACUUAGGGACUUGCUAGCCCUGUGAAUGGCAUCUAUGCCAUUCAGCCUUUGCACUUGGUCCAAGUGCUCCACAUGUCCAAUCCCAUGACUGACACCCAAAGGUACCAUUGACAUAUCGGUCCAUUAUGUUAAAGCCAUGCCUAUUCACCUUUGUCACAUUAGUAAUCCAAGACCAUCUACAUCAUAAUCUUGUCUCUCAAACACUGGGCCAUCUAUCCAUGAGUGGUCAUCCCUUGACCACACCUUAGCACCCUUAGGAUGCCUCGAGACAUAAAAAACACCCUUACCCAAUGUCCCUUCUUCCAUCCCCACUAAAUCCCUCUCUAUCCACAGAUAUACUCGCCAACACUACCACCCCAAAGGCCUAACCAUUACAUCCCACUAACCUUUAGGAUUUCCUCACCAUGUGACCGUAUCCUUGGUCAUUAUAGCAGAGGAUUAUUCCUCUUCCUUUCCAUAGUUUGGGACUUUGAGAUGACAUUUUGAAACACUAUAGCCCUACACAAAUCUCAUGGGUACUCUCCCCACCUUUUGCCUUUAGGUAUCUUGUUUAUUUGUCUAUAUUCACUUUAGCCUUGGACUCCUCAAUAGAUAUAUCAUCACCCAACACGUGGAUAUAUGUAAGCUCUUGAAUUUGAACUUCCCGGGAGGUCAUCUAACCUAGUACUAUUCAAACCCAAGGACACUUUACCCCAAUUAUCCCAAGACCCUUAACCGAUUAGAAAAGGGGGUGCACUCUUGUUCAUGGGCCCUCGUGAGCAGAAGCUGAGAGUUGCAGCUCUCUCGAGAGCCCCGCUCUCUUGACACCCUACCUCUCGGGUCGAGCCCAGCGGAAGCAAACUGGACCUACUAGAUGUCAAUCAGCAUAUAGUGUGAUUCCCCUAGCCAACCAACAGAGUCGGACCCGAAACCUCUUUGAUACUAAAUGUAAGCUCCUGAAUUUGAACUUCCCGAGAGGUCACCCAACCCAGUACUAUUCAAACCCAAGGACGUUUAACCUCAAUAUCCCAAAACCCUUAACCGAUUGGAAAAGGGGGUGCACUCUUGUUCAUGGCCCUUGCCCUCUAUAUUUGAACCCCUAUGGAUCGUCUCUCAAGUCGUUCCCUUUGGUUGCUUAUAGUAUAACUUUCCUUGGUCACACUAGCCUUUUCUAGCUAAACUAACUCCACUAGAGUCCUCCCCCUACUAUACUUUUGAAGCUCACCAAACCCCCUAGGGUAUGGGAGGUGAACGCUUUGGGCUUUCACCCUCAGACUUAGACUUAGACUCAAACUCAGACUCGGUCUCAGUCUCUUUCUUGGCCUUGACCUCGGACUCUAUCUCAAGUCCAUCUCGGACUCGACAUCAGACUCCUGUAAGCUCCUAAGUUUGGACUUCUCGGGAGGUCACCCAGCCUAGUACUAUUCAAACCCGAGGACGCUUAACCCCAAAUAUCCCAAGACCCUUAACCGAUUGGAAAAGGAAGUGCACUCUUGUUCAUGGGCCCUUUCCCUCUAUAUUUAAACCCUAUGGACCGUCUCUCAAGUCGUUCUCUUUGGUUGCUUACAACUCCAUCUCGAACACUAUCUUGGGUCUAUCUUGGACUCCAUCUUGGGUCCAUCUCAGACUCUAUCUUGAGUCCAUCUCAAACUUCAUCUUGGGUCCAUCUCAAACUUGUUUGGACUAAAAGUUUUGACUUGGACAGUCAAGAGUGGGUGUGGAAUUCCUAAUGAAGUGCUUGAGGAAUGAGCAUGAAGCAAACAGUAAGUGAGUUUUUAGAAAAGGGACACAAGAAGACCAAUACAUAGCAUGUGGAAGUGUCGAGACAAAAUCUAAAAUGAAGUAUGAGAAGGAUUUUGAGAUGGACCUAAGAUGGAGUCCAAUAUAAACUUGUUAUGCUUGUUUGGCUGCCGCUUCAGCCAUUACCACGUGACACCCUUUCAGCUCCACUUUGGGGCUUAGGGAUUUGUGUCUCAUAGAAACACAUAGAAGUUCUUACCUUAUAUUCAUUUGACUAAGCUCAGUUUACUAAUACUUGAACAAAAGGGACUAAUAAAAGGUGUACUAAUAUUGAUCUUCUAUUGUCGUGGCAGUAAGGAAAGAAUAUCUGAAAGGACUAACCGAUAGGUAGUUUUUGAUACCCGCAGUCACAUUCACGACACUCUCCACCCCUUAGGGAAGAUCGACAUCCUCGUUAAUGCAUACUCUAGUCUAAAUCACUGCCAAGGAAACAACUUUAGAAAAAGUUUAUAGUAUUCACACUUUGUGAGAAAUGCACAAACUUAAAUGAGUUAGGGUAACCUUUUCAUUUAAUGCAAAUGUGCUACAACUCAGACACCUCCCAACCAUCGCUGAUAAGGAAAUGACCAACAAAGUUAGCCACCCUAGCUACUCUGGGUGUCACCUAGUUUACAAAAAUGUGAUAUACCCUUGCCUGCAAAGACAUAAAGAGAGAAGCUAAAGGCCCCAACCCUCAUGAGUAAAGAAACUAAAUCUAUUGGUAAAGUUUAGAUAGACUAUUGUAAAGGUAGUUAAAGUUGUUUACACUGUCACACUCUUUUAACAAAAUAAAAAAUAUUGACAAAGAGGUAGAUAAUGUGACCAGUUGAUAGUAACUACCCCAUGACUAAAGAUUUCACCAUGCAUACAAAAUGCCAAAGCUAAUCUACUUAUAUUGGCCCAAAGUCAAAGAUCAAUAAAUGGACAAUAUCAAAGUCAAAGACAAUGAUAUCUUAGAGAUUAAAUUAUCAGUGAAUAAAUCUUAGGUUAUAAUACAAAAGUAUUCCAAGUGAGUUACCAUAUGAUAAACUAGUAUUAUAGGAUAGGAACCAUCAAGAUCAUUAAAGGUUAAGGUUAUAGAAGUAACCAUCUAAUAAAAUUUAAUAGUAAAUAUAUCAUUAAAAAAAUGCAAUGAUAAAACUUAACUAUCAAAGAUUGUAGAUAGUAUGCCAAACAACUUAUGAAAGACAACUAAAAGAACAUAAAAUAUGAUCAAUUGCCAAAUAAAAUACUUGCAAAUGUAUCACGUGAAGGAAAUAAAAUUGAAUCUAUUAGAAGCAAUUGUAACAACAAUCAAUAGAACAGAAUAAAUAUUGCAAAGUAAAUAAACACUUAUUCAUGCCAACUAUCACACUAGCUAAUUUGAAUAGAUUCCAAUCAAUAAUACCAAGGAACCAGAGUUGCUCAAGCAAGUGUUAGUAACAUCCUAUUGAUAUUUUAAACCCAAAAGACCAAUCCAAAGCAAACCACAAAGAAUAUGUGAAAAACCAUAAUCCAUCAAAGAGAACAACUAACUAUAAAAAAAAAUCAUCAAUCAUUCUAUCAAUAAAGAGAUGCAUAAUCAUCAUCAAAGAAAUAAUCUACCAUUCUACAAAAUGGCAAAUCAUUCAAUACCAACAAUAAUCAAGAAAAACCUUUAACAAAGAUAAUCAAUUAUCCUAGAUGAUAGUUAAUCAUCACCAAUGAUUGUCAGAUGUAAAAUACUAACUUUAAUAUUAGCCUAAAAUGAAAUUAAUAAUAAAACUAAUGAGCCAAAUGCCUUCCCCAACAAUUUCUAAUAAAUAGACAAUGAACAUAAAACUCAAAGAACCAAAAGUUUUUAAAAGUUUAUAGCCAAGUCUUGCCUAAUAAUGAUCAUAAGUUUUAUAUAAACUAACAUUAGUGUCAAAAAGAAAUCACAGUACAACUCACAAUAUCCUCUUCAACACAUUCAAAAGUUAAACUUUAUAAUGCAAAAGCUAAUGAAAUGCAUAUCCACAUCAAUCCAAAAGCCAAACAUAAUGAAACUAUGCUCAACAAAUGAUCAUCAAAUUAUCCUUCAUGAAUUCAUCCUCUACAAUACGAUAUAACUCACUUCAUAACAAGCAUAAAAAGAAUUAUCAAUAAUUGAUAUAUCCUCAACUCAAAUUCAAUAAGGAACCAACAAUUUAAUAUCGAUCACUAACUCUUUCUUUGGUAAAGCUAAUAUAAUGCACAAUUAAAUCACUUUUCAAUGAAAAGCCAAAGCUCAACCCUUAUAAAACAAUCUCAUCUAGAACACAACUAACUCAAUUUGCUAUUUAUCUCGUUUGAAUGUCAAUAUAGUUGCUAAUUAGCAAAUGUAGAAUGUCAAUAACACAAAGCUAAAGCCAAAUUAUUAACAUUAUCACAUUGAUGCCUUGUUGUUAACAUUAUUGAUGUUGAGGUUUGUGUGAAAUGAGAUGUCUCUCUAUAGAAUUCAUAUUAAGUUUCAUUAGUCUCACUUCAAUGCCAUUAACACCAUAACAAAGCUAAAAAAAAGUAAGAGUCAAUCACCACUCAAACUCUUUAAUAACUAAACUAACCAAAGUCAAAAAUACCUUAGUCAAUAUCCAAGACUAAUUCUUCAAUAAUACUCAGUUAUAGAUAACAUAUUAUCAAGGAAUGAAUUACCAUAUCCAAGAUUUAAUAUAAUCCAACCCCACAAACUAAACACAACCAAAUAAUAUUGACAAAAAUGGAGUCAAUAUACCAACAUGGAAAAUCAUGAAAGCCCACGUGAUAAUCCUUUGCAACACUAUCCAAUAAAACAAGUUUAUCACUACUAAAUCAUCAUCAAGCAAAUCAAGUAUUACCAAUCCUUAUCAAAGUCUACAAACAAUCAUUAGUUACAAAGCAACUAAUAAUCAUUUGUCAACUUGCCUUUACAAGACCCAGACAUUAAACUUAUGUCAUCGUGUUAUAUAUUUGUCCAACAUGAAAGUAACACUCUAGGUACCAUAAAGGUUCAUAGACAAGCAUGGACUAAAUUUCCAACUCAACCACAAUAAGAUCAUUGACACGUUUAUCUAGUAGCUCUAAGCAUGCCUUGAAGAGGUUAGGUAUACAUGAUCAUCACUAAGUUGAAACUAAAGUAUAAACCAUAAGAUGGACUCAUAUGGUACAUAACCUCCUCACAGACAAAGCUAUAAUAUAGGUACCAAUACUUCAACUUCAAACAACUAAGUUGGAAUCAUUAACCUCAACCAAUGCCCAAGACUACCAAGACCAAGUUAGGAUCAGUAACAAUUCAUUACUCUCAUAGAGUAUAAUGAAAUGCAAAGUGCAAUCUACCACCAAACAUAAGGUUACAGAAGAAAGGCACAAAGGUCACCUUUCUAGAAAAGUGUAGUGACCACUGUUUUACACGAACUCCAAACUCUAUCCAACUCAAUGGUAUAGCCCCAAAAGUUAACAUCCCUUUUAAGUCACAUUAUACAAACUACCUACUAAGGUUUAAGCCAACCAAAGUCAACUCUAACCUUUUCAUUAGUUUGUAUUGGUUUUUGAAAACAAAAUGGUUUUUGAGCAAAAUAAUCAAUAAAUUAGCCAUUAGAAAGUCUAAGAAAAUUGUGGAAAAAUUUCCAACCUAAAUAAAGAAUGACUCUUAGUCUAAAAAUGCAAACUCUUAAAACUCAAUCAACUUCCUCUUAUCUACAACUUCACAUAAAUUCACCUUAAUAUAAAUUCUUAUGACUCAAUAGUAUGUGUAAACAUUGAACAUCAUGCCCAUUUUAUUUGACAUCGAACAUUGACAUCUGUAAAAUGUAAAAGGAACAUCCAAGACUCAAUUAUAAAGACCAUAUCUUUGGAUAUCCACAUUGCAUUAUCACUUUUCUUCAAUCAUUUUCAAACUUUAAUAUAAAGACAAAACACUAAAAAAAAAAUGACAUGGAAAAUCAAACUCUAAAGAAAGUUCUUCAUCACUCAACAUAACAAUGCCACCUCCACUAACAUAAGUGUUAACAAAGUUAAUACGUUAGCUACACAUCUUCUCCAUUUAAUAAUUUACUCCAAGUGCGAAUAGAUCAAGUAACAAGUUAUAGCAAAUGAAUGCUACAACCCUUUCUAACAAUUUAAUGGGCAAAUUCUCAAAAAACAAAGGUACCAAUUUAAGUUUAGCAUAAUGAAUCAUCAUUGAAAAUCUAAUUAAAUUUAUUACAAUGCUAUUACAUACAAAUAGAUUAGCUUCAUUAUCAACUACUUUAGGGUUGAUUAUCGUUUAACCAAACAACUUCGCAACACAUUGUUCACUAUCACAUAAAUAUGAUAUAAAAAUGAUAAUGACUUAACCAUAAAUUGAGUAACACCACAAGCAAUGCUUAUAUCACUACUACAAAGGUUUAUAUGAGUAUCAAGUGUCAACUCAAUUUGACAAAAUGCAAUAUAAAUGCCACACCCACAAAUAAAGAUUUCCAACACCUAACACCACUAACUUUUGUUCAUAAUACAGACAAACUCAUACCACUCUCUAUUCAACCAAACUCAAAGCUAAUUUAACACCAAGAUACUCAAAGAGCACUAGCAAAGUUCUAAAAGAAUUAAACAUUGUAACCAAGCCUUCAAUAGCAAACCUAAACAAAAUGGUUUAGCACUUUAUUGCUAUCCAUCCCACAACUUACCACUUGUAAGCCAACAUGUAUUAAGAUAGGGAUUCUUGAUUGCAUGAUGUGAACAUAAGCAAUGAGUUAAUGUCUCAUUGUAAAUCAUACAAUGAGCUAACACCUCAUUGUAAAUCAUAUCUCCAAGAAGAAAAAGUGAUUUAUGUAUUUGAUCUUUCGUCCUUGAUAACUUUUUUUUAAGCUUCAUCUUGAUUAAACCUCAAACUUGCAUUUGCACUAUAUUCAGUCCAAUCUAAGAAUAGUUUAUAAAAGAGCACGACAAUGAUUACUUGAACCAAAAGAUUAAUCCCUACAGUCUUGAUUGAUCUACUUAUAAUCAUGCCUAGGAAGAAUCCAUUAAUGCCAUGCUAAACAACUAUGGAUUAGUCUAUUUACCACUCAUAACAAACCCAAGAGAGGUUUACUUUUUCUCACAGUAACAUGGAACAACUUGUAGAACCACUGGAACAACUCAUGGAAUCACCAAUAAGCUAAUAUUAAUCUUGCCAACUUAAAGUGCAACUUUGAGUUGUUAAUGUGCCUCACUCAUGAGCCCAAGCACAAACUUGUGCAAAAGGUACACCUCAAAUCCAUCCUAUAAGCCCAAGUGCAAGUUCAUACAAUCUAGUCUGAAAAAGUAACUAAAGUCCAUACCCAAGGAAUAAAUGCGAAGUUUUAGCACCCAAAUGUAUACCCACUUGGAUUAUCGUUUUCAUCUUUGUAUAUAUAACGAGAUUAGUUGCCCAAUCUCAUUGGAUAGUACUUGCUAAGACUUAUCCUUUGAUACCAAAUAUAGCUCAUGUGAUUUUCACCCUUAGCCACCCUUAGUAUAGGAUAAGCUUGAAAAUUACUAAAUAUAGAAUGACUCUAGAUUGCGAAUUUGGAAAUAGGACUAACACCAUUAUGUUCAAGAGAAUCUCUAUAUUUUGUAAAUAUACCAAAUUACCAAAUCUAGAGACUUUCCAUAAAUAGUAAUUGGGACUGAAUAGGAUUAACACAAAAGGCACGAUAGCAAGGGUGUUUGGCAGACACAAUAAAUUAUCAUCUGGUAAUAUUGAGAGACUAGUCUCAAUACAUAAGGAUUCUUAUCAAGUCAGUGCAAGAUAGAGCACAAGAGAACUAAGAGCUAGGCCAAGUAUGCUUAGUAAGAAAUACAUAGGAGUUCCUACCUUAUAUUUAUCUAGCUAAAUAUAAAUGCUAAGCCUAGUUUAUUAACACUUGAAUAAGAGGGAUUGAUAAAGGGUUUAGCAAUACCAACCUCCUACCAUCGUGAUAGUAAGGAAAUAAUUGUAAGCUCAUGAAUUUGGACUUCUCAGGAGGUCACCCAACCCAGUACUAUUCAAACCCAAAGACGCUUAACCCGAAGUAUCCCAAAACCCUUAACUGAUUAAAAAAGGGGGUGCACUCUUGUUCAUAAGCCCUUUCCCUCUAUAUUUGAACCCUAUGGAUUGUCUCUCAAGUCGUUCCCUUUGGUUGCUUAUAAUCCACCACACUUCUCUGCAAGUUCACGCCCUCGUGAACGGAAGCUGAGAGUCGCAACUCCCCUGAGAGCCCAGCUCUCCUAACACCCUACCCCUCGGGUCGAGCCCAGCAGGAGCAAACUGGACCUGCCAGAUGUCAAUUAACAUGUGAUGCAAUUCCCCUACCCAACCAACAGAGUCGGACUCGAGACCUCUCUGAUACCAAAUGUAAGCUUUUGAGUUUGGACUUCCCGAAAGGUCACCCAACCCAGUACUAUUUAAACCCACUACAAAUAUCCCAAGACCCUUAACCGAUUGGAAAACGGAGUGCACUCUUAUUCAUGGGCCCUUUCCCUUUAUAUUUGAACUCCAUGGAUCAUUUCUCAAGUCGUUCUCUUUGGUUGCUUACAAUUUGCCACACUUCCCUGCAAGUUCACGCCCUCGUGAACGGAAGCUGAGAGCUGCAGCUCUCCUGAGAGCCCCGCUCUCUUGACACCCUACCCCUCAGGUCGAGCCCAGCAGGAGCAAAUUGGACCUGCCAGAUGUCAAUCAAGUUGUGGUGCGAUUCCCUUAGCCAACCAACAGAGUCAGACCCGAGACCCCUCUGAUACCAAAUGUAAGCUCCUGAAUUUGGACUUCCCGAAAGGUUACCCAACCCAAUACUAUUCAAACCCAAGGACACUUAACCCCAAGUAUCCCAAGACCCUUAACCGAUUAGAAAAAGGGGUGCACUCUUGUUCAUAAGCCCUUUCCCUCUAUAUUUGAACCCUAUAAAUCGUCUCUCGAGUCGUUCCCUUUGGUUGCUUACAAUAAUAUUUGAAAGGACUAGCCGAUAGGUAAUUUUUGCUACCAACAAUCAUAUUCGCAAAAUGGUAAUAAGGAAAGAAUAUCCAAAAAGACUUACUAACAAAUAACUUUUAAUACCCUCAAUCAUAUUUGCAACAAGUAUUUAAAGUGAGACUUGGACAUAUGGAGGACUUGAAUAAAGUGUAAAGUCAAUAUGGCUCUAAAGCCACCUUUAUGGUUGUGGUAAAUAACCCAAGUUGAGAUAAGGACCUAUAGAGGUUAUGAAUAAGACUCCUCCAAGUGGUUAAAAAUGUAUUAAUUGACUAAAGUAGAAUGAAAAAUUUAAUCAAUUACAAAGUGUAGUUGCUAAACACUCAAACCAGAUUUUAACCUAUAAUUUUGAACUAAAACAUAAGACUUUGAGAGCCACUAUAAUCCAUAAAAUACCAUUGUAGCAAAUGAUACAUUCUAUCUCUAUAUCUGUCUAAAUCUCCUAGACUUGCAUUAACUUAAACUCAUAACUUUCAUCCUUCUCUACCACUACACAUGGGAGGUUAUAUUCAUUUUUUUCAUGCUUUACAUUCUCCUUAUCCUCUUUUGAAUGAAAAAAAGUUUUGAAGCAUAGACUCUAUUUGAACUUACUAUGCCUAUCUUCACUCUGUUAUUUAGUUUGGCUUCACUACAUUAAUGUAGCGCAUAUGAUCAUGGGAUGAGAUUUGAAUAUAUUAUCACUAUGGAUCCUUGGAACCUUGGGGGAUAAAUGGGGAUAAAAUAGCCACUAAAGGCUUUCUCAUCAAGCAAUUGCUUCAUUUUCAAUUGGUUUAAGGGGAGGGAGAUAGAGUGUACUAUAUGUGGUAUCAGAGCAAAUGACAUAAGUUCGAUUCCCAUUGAUUAAUGACUACUUAAAAUAUAAUAUACCCUUGAGCAAGGUAUAUUCCUACCCCUAAAUUUAAAAUUGUAUUGUGAGUGCUUGAAAUAUAGAAAGGGAAUACAGAAAAUGUGCAUAUCAAUUAGCCCAAAAACCCUAGCUUAUAUACAAUCUAGAUUGAAACCAAUCUAAUGGCAACCAAAAUCCCACUACGCUAAUAUUAGUAUAUGCCAUUAUAGCCGUACACUUGGCCCUCACAUCAUCCCCUCCUCUCGGAAUAAUGGAAGACCAUCAGGGUUCUCUUGUAAACGGGCCAGCAUCUAGAGGAACGUCAGGAGGAGGCAUUAGCAAAUCUGUUCAAACGUUGCACAUACACAAUCUAUAGAGGAUUAGCCUACUGGAUGUCAUGCCGAACCUCACAAACUUGUGGUCUAACUUGCCGCAACACCCAAUACAAUCCUUUCCACUACGUAAAGAGCCCGUUAGAUAAACCACAUACUAUAAGAUGGAAAAAACAGACUUUAUCCACUUUAUACUUUGCAGGUGGAUGAUGAUGGGAGUUGUAGCAUUGUUAUUGUCCCACUUGUAUGUAUCCUAAGUGUUCGGCAAACUCUACUCAAACAAGUGGAAAAAUGCUCGUCAAAUAUUGAUCCCACAACCUAGCAUCAGUAGCUCGUGGCAAUCGUGAGGUAAACUCAGCUCCGUUGAUAAUAUUGGAUCAUGACUAUAUAGGAGCUUAUAUAAUGAUGCACCAAUAGAACUUUGCACCCCUGUGACAUAUGCAUACCGAAGAGACGGCAAAUAACCAUCCCAAUCCGAAUGUUAAAAAUUCACAUACUUCACAAUCAUCCCUUUGAAUGUCCGAACGAGCCGUUCCACCAGAUUGUCUGAUUGUGGAUGAUAAGCACUUAUGAAAGUGUAGUGUAUCCCCAACCGAGAUGUCAAAACAUAAAAUGCCUCAACCAUAAAUGCGGGACCAUUAUCCAAAAGAAUCCGCUCUGAACAAGAAUGCUGGAACACCACUCGAUUGAGGAGGAAGUAUCCAACAACAGUUGUAGAGGUGCUAGCAAGAGCACCAACUUCCACCUGACAAGUUAAGUAGUCAAAGGUAAUAAUAAUAUACUCAUUGCCAGCAGUCGAUCGUAGAAAAAGUCCCAUAAGAUCAAAUGCCACCAACUCAAACGGACAAGAAGUUGCAAUUGAUUCCAACCGUCCUUCCACAACACGAGGGGUAGUAUUAUGAGUUUGGCACCAAACACAGCUACACACAUAUUGGAUAAUAUCACCUUGCAUCUCCGGCCAAUAGAAAGACCUGCGUAACUUCUCAAUUACACGACAAUGUUCCAUAUGCCCACCUAGAAUAGAAGAAUUAUGGUAGGCAUGAAGAAACCACGGAAUAAAGACAAAAGGCACCACCAGCUGUAAAUGAUCAUCAAAAUUCGUCCCCACAAAAUAAAGAAGGUUGUCUUCAAGGCGAUAUUGAGAAUGUAAAUGCCGGAAAGGCAAGUUAUCAACAAGUGAUACAGGAUUCUCAAACCCAUCUCGAAGCCUUCGAAUCCACAGCUCAAUCUUUUGAGCCAUGCAAACCUCAUCAAAAGAAGGUAGAUCUUGUUCCGCGCCUUGUGGACACUGAACGUCAAGUGUAGCAACUACCGAUAACAUACAAUCCUCGUCUAGAAAAUCCACAGAUGCUGGAACAAUAUGCUCAUCAGAAACAUGAAAAGAGAGUGGAGAAGGAGGGGUCACUGAUUUAUUCGCGCAAGGUCCCUCCAUUACUCGUGCGACUCUUCGUUUCUUGGAUGCAUCUCGGUGUCCAAACCUUCCACUACAACAGCACUAACGAGACGUUACUAACACCAAGGUCUCUAGCCAGGAAAUGGAGGUCACCAAUCUAGAAAAUGCCGACAACACCAAUAAGUGUGACCAACUUCAUCACACGCCCAGCAGCAAACAUCAUGGCUAUGGCCAUGACCACGUCCUCGCCCUUGUCCUUGGACUGAAGCAGCAACAGCAUCAACCUCCAUUGGAACAGGACCAUCACCUAUAGGAAGUGGAGCUAAAGGACGUGCAGCAAGAAGUGGAAGAGGCAAUGUCUCAUAAUGUUGUGCCAAGCAAAGAGUAUCAUCAAGGAUGGCAGGAGCAAGUGCAUGCACAAGUCCGACAAGAUCUUAAAGAAGUGUUAGCCACAACAUUCCUAGCUUGAUGCGCUCUGACAUAUUUAGCUCAGCACAAAGCAAAAGACUUCGGAAAUGAACGCCAAAUUGCACCACCGACUCAGAUGGCCCUUGGCGAAGAAGAUGCAAUUGUUGGAAGGCAUCAUCAUAGUCAUUGGCACGUCCGAAAGCGUGUUUGAAGACGUCCGGGAGAACACUUUAAUCCCCACGAGUGGCUGCACUCAAACCAUUGUACCAUUGCAAUGCUGUCCCUUGAAGACACGUGGGAAACUCAUGCAAAUGUCGAGUAUCAUCCCAAAAAUGAUAUGUGGCAAUCACCGUGAAGUGAUCGAACCAAUGGUACACAUCAUCCCGAGGAUUCCCACAAAAGAACUCCUGCCAAACGCGAGGAUUGGCACCAAGAGCAAGAGGAGUUGUACCACGUGCCGUGAACACCGCCAUCAACUGAAUUUGAUUGUUCAAUUGCAAACAUAUAGCAUCAAGCAAUUGUACCAACUACUACUCCAGAGUCAAAGGAGGAGAUUGUUGAUCUGCUAUGAAGAAGAAUGAAAAAAGAGCAAAAAAAGAGAAAUAACAAAAAGCUAGAAGGAAAUAAUAAAUCUAGACAAUGCAAAAAGUUAUAUUUAAACCAAAAUCCUAAAAGGAAAGAAUAAAAGAAAAGAAAUGGAAAAAGCUAGAUCUAAACCAAAAUCCCAAAUCCAAGCACUCCUCAGGGACAAUCAAAAGUGCCCUUUACCUCCACUAAUGUGAGUGCUUGGAAUAUAGAAAGGGAAUAUAGAAAAUGUGCAUAUUAAUUAACCCAAAAACCAUAGCUUAUAUACAAGAGCAAGUGGUUCAGAUUGAAACCAAUCCGACGGCUACCAAAAUCCCACUACAUUAAUAUUAAUAAACGGCAUUAUAACCAUACAUUUGGCCCUCAUAGUAUGUAUUGGGCAUCUAUGUGUACGUUCUUCCUUUUGGUGGAGCAUAUAUGGAUGGAGCAAAUAGCACGAGUUUGAUUCCAUUAGUAGCUACUUAAAAUAUAAUAUACCCUUGAGCAAGGUAUAUUCCUACCCCUAAAUUUGAAAUCAUACGUAUUGGAUGCAUAUGUCCUUCCUCUUGGUGGAGCAUACACGGAUGAAGGCAUGAUUAGUUGCCUCACAUGGAAUAAAAUGAAAUAACCAUUUAAAAAGGGAUAAAAUGUGUGUAAAACUUAGAUAACAAAAUACCUUCUAUUAUAAAAGACUCUAUCUAAACAAAAAGGUGAAUAACAAAAGAUAUCUUGUUAUAAACUACAACAUAAAUAAGAGACUCACACUACUCAACUUCCUUAAACACACAAUUUGAUACUUAAUAAAAUCAAUAGAAUAGAAAAACUCCUCAAUAAAAUCACCAUUGCCGCUACCUCUUGAACCAUCACUUUAAGAAGAUUUUCCUCCCACCACCAAUAACAAUAACUCUGAAAUCUCAAAACGAGGUACUUCACUUCAGAAUUUUAAUAAACUGGAUACUCAAACAGUAAUGGCUUGAGAUGAGACAAAGUUCACUACCAAGACACUCGUUUUUUUUUUUUUAAACCAUUCUGCAUUACUAUGCAUUCAGGAACCAACAACUUUUUAGGUGAAGCAUUUUGGGGACCAUAACAUUUUCAUUGGUGAGGAUGAGUAUCAUGCUUGGCUGGAGAACAGUCCCUAGAUGCUUGUUCAACCAUGAGGUUUUGAGCAAGGCAUUAAUUAUAGGGUAAGUGGGUACACAAGCUAAAUACAAGGAGAAAAGUGAGAUUAAUUGAUAGAAGGUAAGAUUAUUUGCAAAAGAUUACAAACAAUGAGUUGGAAUUGAUUAUAAUGAGAUAUUUCACCAAUAGUUAAAAUGGUUUCUUUCCACUUUGUUCUUGCAACUGCUAAUCAUUUGGAUCUUGAGGUUGAGCAGAUGGAUGUUAAAAAUACAUUCCUCAAUAGCAAGCUAGAGGAACUAGUAUAUAUGUGUCAACCUUCAAUCCAAGGAAAAGAGUGUUAUAUUUGCAAAGUCCAUCAAUCUAUUUAACAAUCACCAAGAAUUGGAAUUUAUAUUAUUGUUUUUCAGAUGAUUCUUGUGUGUGUUUAUGUCAACAAUCUUAUCAUGGUUGGAAAGACAACAAGUCUAUAUUGGCUUAAAGAACAGCUUUCCAACAGCUUUGAAUGACCUUCUGUUAGGCUUGUAAAUAAUGCGUGAUAGGGAAAGUUGAGUUCUAAAGAGUCAUCAACAUAAGUAAAAUCAGGAAAUACAGUUAUUUUUUCACUACAUGACCAGCUCUGACUCCAGUACUACAAUUCAUCAAACUCUCCAGAGCCAAUCAACCAUGUUCCUCCCAAGGGGGAGAGGAAAGAGAUGGCUAUGCUACCAUAUCAAAAUAUGGUUGGAGCAUUGAUGCAUUUAGCCACAUCAAGCAGAUUGAACAUAGUUUCCAGAGUGUCCCAGUUCAUGCAGAAUCCUGGGAAGAGACAUUGGUAUGCAGUGGUAAAUAUGUAAGUCAAACUUACAAGAGAAAUUGGAUUGGGCAUAUUUAUGCCGUACGGAAUGGUAGAUGCUAACCUCGCUGAUGAUCUAGAUGGUCGGAGACAACAGCUGGGUAUAAGUUUAAAUUUUCUAAUGCAGUUGUAUCAUGGCACAGCCAGAAAUAGAGAAUGGUGGCAUUGUCCACUUGUGAAGCAGUUGUUACAGAAGCUGUCAAGGAAGCUUUAUGGAUUCGAUACUUGUUCUAGGACAUCAGUUUAGCUGCAAGCAACACUAAACGUUUACAACAAUAACACAGCGUAUCUUCAAUCUAUCACGAACCAGUGCGUCAUGGGAGAAAUAAACAUUUCAAGAUGUUCUACUACUUUAUCAGGGAGAGGAUUGAGAGAGAAGAGGUCAAGCUGAAAUACAUCUCCAUGACAUGACAGCGGAUUUGCUCAUGGAGCGUCUGUGACAACAACUCGGACUGAUCUCACAGGGGGAGUAGCAAUCUGAUAAGAGACAUCAGAUUGAGGGGGAGUGUUGGAGCAAACAGCAGCAGAUCAAGGAGAGAUCAAGGCACAAUCUAAGGAAACCAGAAUGUGUAUGUAAACCAGGUGAGGGUUGCAUCAAUACACAAGUAGCUUUUUCCCAUUUAUGCUGUGUCCAUCAGGCCAUCUGGGAUGGGCAUUGCUAGCUCAGGAGCAUUACCGUCUCAUGCUCAGUGGGAGCCCUGGUCUACAACAAUGCAUGGACUUGGAGGUCAUACAUGUCCACCCAUGGGUGUUGCGGCUCUCAUUUUUUAAAACUGCUCAUAUAGAGUUGCAUAGGCACUAUUAGCUCCAACUUGGAGUGCUGCCCAUGUAUGUCCUUUUGAUAUGUAAAUCAAGUGUAUGACAUGCUUUUUCUAUGAGAAAGUAACAGCCACUGCGGAACAUGGAUCAGUCCUAGCUUGGACUAUUUGCCCACCAGGUGGCACAAAAGCUAGAAGGCCUUCGGACGUUUUCAUGAACUGUGAACCACAUCCUAACUCAAGGUGUCAGCCGAGUACUAUAAUCAAGCAAGCUUGCAUUGGCUCCUAGGCCUCUCUCACCUGGAGAUGCCUCACACGACAGUAUGAAACCCUUCCAUUCUCUCAUGCUGGGACACCACUAACUCGAGUAACUAAGAGAUGCCAACUUCUCUGAUCACGAGUUACACAAAGAUUCCAACAGAUCUAAGAGCCUAGUUUUGAUUGUGCAAAUCCAAAACCCUAGGCCAGGAUCACAAUUCCCCAACACACCACGAACGGUAUGCCAUCCAUGCUCCACAAGCUGCAAGCUCCGUGUGGUUGAUGUCCCUAUACACACUUUUUCUCUUGCUCUUUUACACUCACAUUCCCUUUCAAUCCACACAUAAACCAUUUCACGCAUCACACGUCCAAGUUCCUCAACUAACUGGUUCCUGUGCUCUUGAUGGCCAAGAAACCGGCAAGGCCUAGGAUACCCGGCCAUAGAAAUGUGAGUGGAAGUGGACCCGUACGUCUGUUCUGUUCCAAAGACUUUGUAGAGUUUACAAAGCCGCGUAAAGGAUGAAACCCUAAACCCUUGGUCAUGGAUGAGCCGAGCCCUACGAUCAUCACGAUUCCUCAGCACGCUCGCCAAUCCAAGCGUGGACGCGCUCAUCGAUCGCCUGGAGCAGGGCAGCAUCGAUCCAAGCUACAACACCCUCGCCGGGCUCCUGGGAUCUUGCGCAAAUCCCUCGCAGGUCAAUCGCCUCCACCGCAUUGCCACCAAAGAUCGUCAUGGGAUCAAUCCCUUCCUUGGAAAUCAGCUCCUCCAGAUCUACGUCAAGAUGGGCAACGUCGAUUCCGCCGCUCGGAUCUUCCCCUCCCCUGCCGCCUGGAGCGUCGUCUCGUGGACUUGCCUCGUCGCAGCAUUUGCCCGCCAUGGGCAGUUUUCCAGAGCAAAUGCCCUCUUUCGCGAAAUGCUGCUCCACGGCGCUACGCCGGACAAGAUCGCGCUCCUGGCUGUGAUCCAGCUCCUCCAGCACCCCCGCGAUCUUGAAUUCGCGAGAACGCUCCAGGGAUGGAUCCACGAGGCCGGGCUCUCGACCGAUCUCGUCCUGGGCAACGCGCUCAUCGCCGGAUACUCACGGUGCCAGAGCCUGAUCGAUGCGACGCGGGCGUUCCAUCGAAUCGCCCGCAAGGACACGAUCUCCUGGAACUCGAUCAUCGCCGCGCACGUCUCCUCGCAGCUCUUGCCCGUCGCCACGACGAUCUUCCACACGAUGCAGCACGAAUCCAGCUCCAGGCCCGACGCCGGCACUCUCAUGACGAUCAUCGCGACGUUCGUGGCUCCGGUGGAUCUUCCCCGCCUCGAGCGAUUCCACCGCGUCAUGAUCCACGACGAGCUCUUGCGAUCGGACACCAUCCUCGCCACCGCGCUCCUCACAGCCUAUGCCAGGAGCUGUGGCAGCCUCGCCGGCGCUCGCGAUGUCUUCCGCAAGAUCGAUCGCUUGGAUCUCGUCUCGAUCAAUUCCAUGAUCGCGGCAUUCGCUCACCACCACCGCCCGCGCGAGGCGAUCGAGCUCUUCCACCGGAUCUCCCCGGAGCUGGGCGUGCCCCCGGACAAGGUCAGCUUCCUCAACACGCUGGGAUCCAUCGCGAGCGCUGAGCAGCCCCAGCUCCUGGGCGAUGGAUUCAUCCUCCACACCAUCGCGAGAUCCUCCGGCCAUGGAUCCGACCUCGCCAUCGCCACCGCGCUGGUGGACAUGUACGCCAAGUGUGGCGAUCUCGCCGCCGCUCGAGCGGUCUUCGAUUCCAUCCAGCUCCAUCGCCGGGAUCUCAUCGCCUGGAACGCGAUGCUCUCGGGCUACUCUCGCGCGGAGCGAUUCGCCGAGACGAUGGAGAUCUUCCAUGCGAUGAGGGCCGCGAUCUGCGACGAGCUCCUGCCGACGAGGGUCUCGAUCGCUGCCGCGCUCACUGCUUGCGCGAAUCUGCUCGAUCUGGAGUCCGGGGUGGAGAUCCACGCGCUGGCAGCGCGAUCCGGGGUGGAGGCCGAUGUGGGCGGUCUCUUGAUCCACAUGUACGCCGCCUGUGGAGAUCUGGAUGCUGCCAAUCGGGUCUUCGAUGUCGCCAUGGGCGGAGCUUCGAUCAAUCGCGACUUGAGCUCCUGGAACUCGAUGAUCACGGCCUAUACCGAUAGGAAUCUCUGGGAGGAAGCGCUCUCUCUCGUCCACCAGAUGCACCACCAGGGCAUGGCCUUCGACGACAUAAGCUUCGUGACCGCUCUCAACGCCUGUGCCGCCGCGGGAUACCGUGGGAUACCGCACGGUACAUCCGUACACCUCUGCGUCGCCGAGGCCGGGCGGGAAGAGGACGUGAUCAUCCGCACGGCGCUGCUCAACAUGUACGGCAAGUGCCGCGACCUGUGCCGCGCGGACGCCGUGUUUGACGCGCUGCGGCGCUCCGGCCAGAGGCUGGAUCUCAUCGCGUGGAACGCGAUGGGAUCGGCUCUGGCCCAGCACGAGGAAUUCGAGCGCGUUCUCACGCUCUACGGGGAAAUGCUACUCGAGGGCGUGACGCCGGAUGAGAUCUCGUUCGUGAACGCCCUUACCGCCGCCGCCACUGCUGGUCGCGAGACGUUGGCGGCGGUGCACAGCCACGUCGUGCAGCGCGGCAUGAACCGCGACGUCGUGGUGGCUACCGUACUCGUGGCGGCGUACGGCAGUGCCGCGGAGGUGCGCCGCGCGGAGGAGUCCUUCGCGGCGGUACCGCCGUACCGCCGCGACGUCGUGCUGUGGAACGCCAUGAUUAAUGCCUAUGGCGGCACGCCGCCGGCUCUCCGUACGUACGACUCCAUGGACAUCGCGCCGGACAAGCUUACCCUAGUUCUUGCGCUCAAUGCGUGCGCGGGCAUGGCGGAGCUUGCCGCCGGAGAGAGAAUCCACCGCAGGGCGAUCGAUCUCGGCUUCGAUCGCGACGUCGGCGUGAUCACAGCACUGAUCCACAUGUACGCGAGCUGCGGCCGGCUGGAGCAAUCGCAGGAGAUCUUCCACGGCGCUCAAGAACACACGAUGUUCAUGUGGAACGCGCUGGUGUCUGGAUUCGCGCGGCGCGGCCAGUCGGAGCGAGCGAUCGCGCUGUUCGAGCGGAUGCAGCAGAGCGGGCACCGCGCGGACGCGAUCGGCUUCGUGAGCAUCCUCAGCGCUUGCAGCCAGGCGGGAUUGAUCGGUCGCGGGUGUGGAUAUUUCGCGUCGCUGCUCCACGAUCACGGGAUCUUGCCCUACCGCGAGCACUACGCUUGCAUGAUCGAUCUCUUUGGGCGGGCGGGCCGGCUGGAGGAGGCGGAGGAGUGGCUGCGCAAGAUGCCGGCGCACAAGCUGAGCAAGAGCGUGUGGGAGACGCUGCUCGGGGCGUGCUCGAUCCACAGCGAUGUCAAGCGCGGGCGGCGAGCGGCCGAGGAGCUCUUUGAGAUGCAGUCCAGGAAAUCGUCGCCCUACGUGAUCAUGGCCAAGCUCGCGAUGCUUUCGUCGAAUCGGGGCGAGUCGUGAGCUCGGACGGAUCGAAUCGUGAGCUCGGAUCGAUCGAUCGAUCGAUGGAAAUUUGGUCUUGGGGAGGGAGCAUAUUCUCGGAUCUAACAACGCUCGGAAAUCGUGGCGGCAUUUCCAUCGUCCGAUGGGAAUUUGGAUCCAAGAACUCUCGCGCGCUGCUAACGCGAUUUUAGGGUUUAUCGGAAUGAAGCGCUUGGCGCCCAGCGAUGGAUUUGAGACCAGCCACUCCACGGCGAGCAGUGACGGGCGGAGAUCUAUCUAUGGUACGCUCCUGGUUUUGUGAUUUCGAGAAUGUGAGAGAAUGCGAGGUCUUUGUAGAUCGGACGCUGCAAAAGCUCUGGGCGGGAAUGCAGAGUUUCCAAUUCAAUCUCAAGAACACAAUAAUGGAAGUACCACCUCCAGAUUUUUUGGGCAGUGAUCAAUGCUUUCGCUGCAAGUAAGGAAGAUUUUCUCCUUCCUUUCUCCCUUUCGAUGCUUUACUUCUUAUUUUUUCUUCUCAGGAAGUUUUUGAAUGGUUUGAUUACUUGCGAGGGAUGUGCGGAAGGAUUUUGCUCCUUUUGCUCCAUAACCAGGUCGGAGAUUCUUUCUUUUCUCUCGUGAUUUUUUCUAUAAUGUUACUACAGUUUCGAAGAGCAAAAUGAUAGAACCUUUUGCAUGGAUUGCAAUGCGAAUGAUCUCGAUCGUAGGCGAAAGCUUGCUCGUCAACAACGCUCCGUUUCUAAGGUAUGCGUAAAGUCUCCCGGGCCGAGUUGAGAACAUCCUUUUCUAGCCUGUGAAAAAAAAGGUUUUAAUCCUUUAAGCCUUUUUCGCUAUAUAAUAGGUGUCACCUUAGGUCGCUAGAAAGGUUUGGCCAUGGCCUCGUCUUCGACCGGAGGCGAGCAGCCUGCAAAAAAAGUAGCUCUCCAUCGACUUGUGGUCGAUGAUGCAGUCCAUGACGAUAAUUCGAUCGUAACUCUUCACCCAGAUCGGAUUCAAGCUCUCAAUCUCACGCCAGGCGAUACCGUUCUCGUCAAGGUGAGUGAUGGUCUUAAUUCCUUUACUGUAGGAUGCUAAUCCUUUUAUGAAUGAGCAGGGGAAGAGAAGGAGAGAUACUGUCCUCAUCCUUCUUCCAGACGAAAAUUGUGAGGAAUUCAAGGUGAGGAUCAACAAGGUCGUCCGGGUGAACCUGAGAGUCAAGCUCGGAGAAGUCGUCUCGAUCCACCAGAUCCAAGAAGUGAAAUACGCGAAGAAGGUUCAUGUUCUUCCUCUGGAUGACACCAUCGAGGGCCUCACAGGAAAUCUCUUCGAUUCUUUUCUCAAAGGUAAGUCCACGGUUCUAUCAAGCGUUUGCACUAACUUUCUUUUUGUGAUCGAAGAUUACUUCACUGAAUGCUUCCGGCCAUUGAGAAAAGGUGACCUCUUUUUGGUCCGUGGAGCGAUGCGAGCAGUGGAGUUUAAGGUGGUGGAAAUCGAUCCUCCGGGAGAGUAUUGCUAUGUCUCUGCAGACACCGAGAUCUUCUGCGAAGGAGAGCCGGUCAGGCGAGAGGACGAAGAGAACAAGCUCAAUGAGAUUGGUUACGAAGACAUAGGUGGAGUUCGCAAGCAACUUGCUCUGAUCCGCGAGGCUGUCGAGCUUCCACUGAGGCACCCAACGCUCUUUCGAACGAUUGGAGUGAAACCACCGCGAGGAAUCUUGCUCUUUGGGCCUCCAGGGACUGGAAAAACGAUGAUUGCCAGAGCAGUCGCCAACGAGACUGGAGCCUUCUUCACAGUCAUCAACGGACCCGAGAUUAUGUCCAAGCUGAACGGUGAAAGUGAGAGCAAUCUUCGCAAGGCGUUUGCAGAGGCCGAGAGAAACGCUCCCUCGAUCAUCUUCAUAGACGAGGUGGACUCCAUUGCUCCAAAGCGAGAGCAAGCUCACGGAGAGGUGGAGCGAAGGAUCGUCUCACAGCUCCUGACGCUCAUGGACGGAUUGAAAACGCGCUCGAACGUUGUCGUCAUGGCAGCGACGAACCGGCCGAAUAGCAUCGACCCCGCUUUGCGAAGAUUUGGAAGGUUCGAUCGAGAGAUUGAUAUUGGUGUCCCGGACGGAGUUGGCAGGCUAGAGAUACUUAGAGUUCAUACCAAGAACAUGAAACUAUCCAACGAUGUAAGUUCUCCUCAAAGGUUUCUGCCAACUUACUCUUGUGUCGUUGUUUUAGGUGGACUUGGAAUCUGUCUCCCAAAAUUUGCACGGUUUUGUUGGGGCGGACUUGGCAUCACUUUGCUCUGAGGCUGCCAUGAACUGCAUUCGCAAGAAAAUGGACAUCAUCGACUUGGAGGCCGAGACCAUCGACGCUGAGAUUCUGAACCUGAUGGCCGUCGACAAGGACGAUUUCCAGCUCGCAUCUGGCGUCAGCAAUCCAUCAGCGCUCCGAGAAACAGUGAGUAUAGAUCUCCUUACCCAAUCGUUUCUAACAAUCGAUUAUUUUUCCGCAGCUCGUGGAAGUUCCAGACGUUUCUUGGGAAGAUAUCGGCGGCCUGGAGUCAGUGAAGCGAGAACUCGAGGAGACAAUCCAGUAUCCGAUCGAGUUCCCCCACAUGUUCGAGAAGUUUGGCAUGUCACCGUCGAAAGGAGUUCUCUUCUACGGCCCACCCGGCUGCGGCAAAACUCUCCUCGCUAAAGCCGUGGCGACGAUGAUCCACUGCAACUUCAUCAGCAUCAAGGGACCGGAGCUUCUCUCAAAGUACCUCGGCGAGAGCGAGGGCAACGUGAGGGAGGUGUUUGACAAGGCCCGGGCGUCAGCGCCGUGCGUCCUCUUCUUCGACGAGCUCGACUCCAUCGCCAUACAGCGCGGUAUCUCGGCCUAUGACGCCGGCGGUGCCGUGGACCGUGUCCUCAACCAGCUGCUCAUCGAGAUGGACGGUCUUACUGCCAAGAAGACGGUGUUUAUCAUCGGUGCUACCAACAGGCCGGACAUCCUCGACUCGGCCUUGCUCCGGCCUGGACGAUUGGACCAACUUAUCUACAUUCCUCUCCCGGACGAGCCUUCUCGGCUCAAGAUCUUCCAGGCGUGCUUGAGAAAGACUCCGCUGUCAAUGGACGUGGAUCUGGCUGCUCUUGCGAGGCACACGCCAGGAUUUAGCGGGGCUGAUAUCACCGAGAUUUGCCAGCGAGCUUGCAAGUUUGCGAUCCGAGAGGAUAUCGAGAAGGUACUUCAAAGUUUUUUUUUUUGUAGCUGGCUUGAGCUUAAACUCUCUUUGUUCCUUUCAGGACAUGAAGAAAGCUGCUGAGAAUGGUGGCGAAGACAUGAUGGACGAGGACAAUGCGGUGGCUUAUGUUGAGCCGAGGCAUUUCGAGGAAUCGAUGAGGUUUGCUCGGCGGAGUGUGAGCGACGCGGAUGUUCGCAAGUACAAGGCUUUCUCGCAGAGCCUCCACCAGUCUCGAGGAUUUGGAGAGUUUAAGUUUCCAGGAGCCGAGCACCAGAUGGUCGAUCAAAAUGAUACUGCCCAAAUGCCCGAUGAAGAUUUGUAUGCUUAAGAACAAUGAUAUAUUUAUUAAUAUUGAUUUAUUAUGUUUAUUAUUCACCUUUUAUUUUAUUUUCCUUUAAUGUUGGGACAGGAAAAAAUACAAAAAAAAAUUUGUCAGUUCUUAAGAUUCCAGUACCCCACCGCUCACAGUGGAAUGCGAUUAUUAUUCCAUAUCUCUCUGGAUAAGAAUCCAGUAAAACAUUUUAAUAGUGGGAGUAUUUCCAAUUUAUUAUCGCAAAGCAUGAUGCUGCUAGACUGGACCCUGCAAUGUGAUGGAUUGAAAUUUAUCGAUGCUGUGUCAUUCGAGCUUUCCAGUUUGCUUCCCAGAGUGUCCCAUCCAAUUUUUGGAGAUUUUUUUUAAGGCUAUGGCCGCCCUUUCUUUGUGAGCAGUAGCCAAACUAUCAUGACGACGAUUGGCGAGCUCUUUACGCUGUUUAUAAUUCAAUUGUUUUGGAUAUUUAAUCAAAAGGAAUUCAUAGGAAAAGUUUGAGAUGCUUGCACAAGGGGUUUAGACCGUAACACUAAACACAGAUGCUGCUGGUGCUUUAGGUGCUGCUUCUUCAACUGCUGCUGGUGGAUCUUCCAAGCUCAGCUCUUUGGUUUUCUCCUCCAGCUCAGGUGUAGCAGCUGGAGGAGCAGCUUCUUCACUUGGAACUUCAGGAGCAGCCACUUCUUUUGCAGCUGGAGCUGAUGCUUCCUCAGCUGACGGAGCCACUUCCUCAGCUGGAGGCACUUUUUCAGCUGGAGUUGGAGUUGGAGUUGUUACUUCUUCAGCUGGAGCUGGAGUUGGAGUUGGGGGAGGAACGUCCUUUACCUAGACAAUAAAAAUAAGUUCAAAGAACAGCAAAAGAGGAAACAUGUUGUUAAACGAUGUCAAGAAUCUUAAAACCAGUCAAGCAGCUCAACAAUGAUCAAGGGGAGUAUAUCAGGGGAUAUUCGGUUCCAGGUCAGUCUCUCUCGAGUUAGAGUCAUUUAUCUUCCUGUUUCUUUGGAACGAUGGUCGAUCCACCAAAGAACUGAUUGAGAUCGGGGCCAGAUCCAGAGAGUGGGGAGCCAAGGAAGUAAAAGGGAGGAAUGAAUCGAAAGAAUCAAACAGAGCUCUCGAGCAAAAGAAGAGGAAGAUCAUCUCACUCUCAUUCUCACAGAUCUGUGCUUGCCUCUUCAGAGCUCAUUGUCAAAACUCUGGGAUGGAUCGAUGGAUCGGCGAGGAGAGCGAGCGAAGAAGCGAGCGAGGAAGAACCAAGAGAAAACGCUGCCCCUGUGUAGUGAACAUACAUGAUAGAGAUUUAUAUACAAGCAGCAAAAACCCAGGCAGUAAAAACUCGAGGUGAAAACCCGGGGUAAAAACUCACCAGCCGGUUACCAUUCACGUAAGGUUAAGCGGUCCUUUCGAGAAUGGGCGGUGACCUGUUUUUCCCAAAAGCUGGAAUCUCCAGCAAAAAGCCCCGUCCCAAUCCCUAUAUUUUAUUUCCAGCCAAGUCUUGCCGCCAUUGUGGGCCACGUGUCAGUACAGUGAAUGGACUACAGCGCUGUAUGAUGACGCCACGUGGGUACCCAUGUGGGCGCCCACCUGGCAUAAUGUUUAGCUGGCUCUCAGCUUACGUGUCAUAAUGUAGGGUUCUUGGUGGAUUCUCCAAGCUCGAUGGCCAUUGGAAUCCCUUCGUCAGUAAGAUAUUUCUCAUUCUUGACAAGAUCUCUGGAAUCUGUGACGUAAUCCAUUGUUUCUUGCUGGAUCUCUAUCUCUUCUACUCUCUUAUCUCUUUGUGAAAUCUUUUGGAUCUCGGAUCUCUCUCGAAAUAUCCCUCAGUCUCUUCGAUUUCUAUCCAUCUCUGGAUCUAUUGGAUUCUUGCAUUGAUCUCUUAGCAGUCUUGCGUGAAAUCUCUUGAAUCUCUAUCCAAUCCCUCUCGAAACAUCGCUCAAUCUUAUCCACCUCCGUCUUGGAUUCCAAUGCCGUGCUCCUCCUUGAGGCAUCCAUCCGCCAUCAAUCCUCUCAGCGCCUCGCCAUCUCCCCGGCGGUCAGAAGCAGCGUAAGUGCUCGAGAGAGCGAUGACAGCCGCGGUAGUCUUCUCAUCCAGGCCGAGAAUCUGCGCUGCCGCUCUCUGCCCGCGACUGAUAUCCUCGUACGUCUUGCAGCCCGCCAGGAACGCCAUCCAUACCGCCGGGGUGGGCUUAAACGGCAUGGAAUCGAUCACACACUCGGCCUCCUCCAGCCGCCCCGCCCGAGCGAGCAGAUCCACAAUGCACCCACAGUGCUCCAGCGUCAGCUCGAUCCCCUCCCGGUGAUCCUUCCGCAACCUCGUCACGAACUCUUUCCCGAGAUCCACCAUCCCGGCAUGGCUGCAAGCCGCGACGACGCUCACGAAAGUCACGUCCACCGGCCUCACUCCCUCGAGCUGCAUGGCGCAAAAGAGCCUGGCGGCGCUGGAUCCGUCACCAUUCUGGGCAGUCGCGGCGAUGAUCGACGUCCACGAAACCACGUCCGGCUGCUCCAGCUCUCCAAAGAUCCUGGCCGCCACCUCGAGGCUCCCACACUUCCCAUACAUGUCGAGCAGCGCCGUGGCCACCAUCGAGCUCGAUCUCUCCAGCUGAUAGCCAAUGACGCAGUCGUGGACCCAUCGCCCUUCCUUGAUCGCGCUCGCGCCCGCGCAAGCAUUCACCACCGUGAUCAAGGUAACUUCGUUCGCUCUCACGCCCUCUAGCAGCAUCUCCCGGAAGAGCUGGACGCAUCGCUUGAUCCGCCCAAACUCCGCAAACGCCGAGAUCAUUGUCGUCCACGAGACGUGAUCCCGCCUCUCCUUUAUCUCCACGAACGUCCGGUACGCUUCUUUCAAGCUCCCACACCUCGCGUAGGCUCUGAUGAUCGCGUUGCUCACAGCAGUGUCGGAGUCGCAGCCACCCCGGAUGAUACACCCGUGGAUCCACCGCGCGGUCGCGGCGCUGGAGCAGGCAUUGAUCACGGUGAUGAACGCGAUCGAGUCGGGCUCCACGCCGUCGUCCUCCAUGUCCCGGAACAGCCGCAGCGCGUCGUCGUGCCGCCCGGCCCUCACCAUCGCCGCCAUCAUGGCUGUCCACGAGACCGCGUUCCUCACGGGCAUCCUCUCGAAGAGCUCGCUGGCGGUCUCGAAUCGCCCGGCCUUGGCAUGCAUGUUGAGGAUCGCGUUGCAAACCGGGACAUCGGAUCGAAGCCCACUGGCAAAAGCUCGCUCGUGGAUCGCCGCUCCCUCGCCCGGAUCAUCGCACCAGGCCAGCAGCUCGAGGAGAGUGAUCCGGUUCGGCCGCGUCCCCUGGAGCUGCAUCCUCCGGAAGAGACCCAUCGCGGCUGGAAAGUCCCCGGCCCUGGCAUUUGCUGCGAUGAUCGAGGUCCACGACACCACGUCCCUGUGAUCCAUGGCUUCGAAAACCCGAGUAGCGUCGGCGAGGCUGGAGCACGCCGCGUACAUCUUCAUCAGCGCGUUCGCCACCACCAGGUCGGUAUCAUAGCCCGUCUCUUGGAUUCUGACGUGAAUUCUCCUUCCCUGUUCCAGAUCCUGGAUCGCGCCCAGCACCGCCACAUACGUGAUCUUGUCCGGGAGGACGUGGUUUCUCUCCAUCUCUGCAAAAAACUGGAUCGCCCGCGAGAAGUCUCCAUGCUUGGCGUAGCCCGUGAUCAUGGCUGUCCAGAUGACCACCCCGGUUUUCUUCGUGGUGGCGGCGAAGGAGUCUUGAGCGUCGGCCAUGCUGCCCAGGCGGACGAAGGUCUGGACGAUGUGCCUUGCCAGCGAUGGAUGGUGGUCGAGGACAUUGUCGCGGGUGGCGUAUUGGCGGAUCCGGCGGGCGUCCGCCAGUGUCCCGCAGCCGCGGAGGAGGUCCGAGUAGAGCACUGGGCUGCCGGAGAUGGAUCCAUUGUCGAGAGCCGCUAGAGUUUCCUGGACCGCAUUGAUGGUGGCGGUGUAGCCUCUUUUGCUGCUUGGCCAGUGGAGCUUCAUUCCUUGAGGUGGAGUAGCCGCGGCAUUAUCGAUCGAUGAUUCACUAUCGUCCUCUCUGGAAAGAAAAUAGGAGUGCUGUAAGUAAACACGAUGAAGAGGAACAUCAACCUCUCUCUAUAUACUCUCGCUUGUCCUUGGCCCUCCAUUCUCUGUUCUCUUGGCUGUACCCAACAAACCAAAAGAAGGCACAGCAAUGGAAUGCGAAGCUCGACUCACUGGUCAAAGAAUCGCUUCAUGCUCUGCAAGUACCCCUCAAAAACGAGCUUCAUGUGACUAAUAGCGAUCUCAUUCUAUUGAAGAAUGGAAACUAAGUUCUUGCCUGGGAUCUUUAGCUUUAGAUGGGAUUAAAUGCCGGCUAUCUUUUGGGAGAUUUCCAAUCAGUCCAUUCCUGAGGAGAGAAGAAAAAAAGAAACUGUAAAUGAAUGUACUCCAAAAAGUGAUUGCCUACCAGAUCAAAUCAAAUGCCGGAGUUGCUGGUUCUCCUUUCGAAGCGCUUGAAGUUCCUCCAUCAUUUCAGCUUGCUUCGCGACUAGCUUUUCCACACAGGACGCCGUCUCCGUCUGCCAAAGGUAAAAGGAAAUCAUGGAAACAAAGUAAGAAAAAAAGUGAGAGUAUCAACAAAGUAACAACCUGUUGGAUGUGAAACUGGCGUAUGAGCUCUAGGUGAAGGUUUUGCACGUCCUCGUGUAUGGCUCGCUGGACGGAGCCAAGGCUUUCCUCGAGAGCACGUUGCACAAGCUGGAGCGCGAACGAAGACGAGGACGGCUGUGGAGGUGAAACUCUUGAGGGAGGCGAGUUUGGUGACGACGCCGAGAGCCUUGGAGGAAGUUCUAGAGCCAAGCCUUUAACAGCCGCCAGAUGCUCUCUAGCUUUGGUGAGUCGAGUUUGAUGAUCGUUUGGAGACAGUUCUGCUGCAUUGCUAGCCUCAACACGCGGAGACGUGGUAGGAUGUUCGUCCUGUAGGAGGAACGUAAAAGUGAAACACACACAAUGGAAGAGUAGUCAACUACUUACUUGAUGCGAGGUUUGCUGGAAUUCGUCUGAGUUUGCUAUUGCCGAGGGAGGAGAUGGCUUCUUUGUUUCGCCGAGUCCGUCAAUGAACGAAGAGAGAGGUUGAACUAUCGGUUGCACGUCCACGAGAGGAGAAAAAACCUCCAUGUCGUCAACACCGCUCGGGGUAGCCUUCGACGAGUGAAGGAUGAAAGAACCACUAUUGGACCACACGCUCUGGUUUGAUGAUUCUUCUGCCGCUGCUGCAUUCCUUGGAUUUGCCACAGUCAGCGAUUCAGGCCGUCCAAAAGAAGGUCUAUUUCUUCCGGAAGCGGGAAGUGGAUCAGGCAUUAUGGCCGGAGUCUCCUCUCCAUUGGCACCGAGCAAAGCCACGUCAGGCGACCAGCUUGAGGUGCUUAUUGGAACCGGGUUUGUCCGUUGCCAGCAUACACUUGCAACAGCCUAAAGAAGUCAACAGUGUCACAAGUUGAAAACGAAUAGACCGUCGCACCUCAGAUGGAUUAAAAGCUCGAAGAACAGCCAUGGGUUGGACUUUGGUACGGAUGUCAUAGAACAUAAUUCUCCCAUUUGUAGUACCGGCUGCGACAGUCCAACCAUCGUCUUUCAAUGCUAAAGAAGAGAAUGGCGCAUCGCAAGAAAGAGAGUGGACAGCCUUCUUUACGCUGGUGUCGUAAGUAUGCAAUCUUUUAUCAAAGCCCACGCUUACUAUGACCUGGAAGGAGAUCAGUCUCAGUCCAUGACGACAAACUUCAACCUCAUGCAUACCUUUUCAUUUGAAAAUGAGAAACCGACACCGCUUGCAGGUGCCAGAUGUUGUCGAAUCCAUGAGGCCUAUCAACGAUGAGCAAAGAAUAAAUUGGCUGAAAAGCAUUAGAUGAAGAAAGCGACUGACCGUACCUUUGGACUGCGUCCAGUAGUGUCCCAAAGAUGCAAUGACCCAUCGUCCCCAGCAGUAACCAGAAGAUUUCGGCUCGAUCGAGAAUACUCCAAGAGUCUCAAAACCUGCUCCAAAGAAACUCAGCAAUUCCCUGCCACGAAAAACGCUCAUGAUGACCAAAGAGAUACUCUACGACCCGCUAGCAUUGCAAAAAACUCUUGCAGGAUACGAGACGCCGAAGAAAAACUCACCUGAUUGAAGGGAUCCUUCACUUCGGUGAUUCGAGACCCGGAAGCAAGGCUGUAGAUGAUGAGAUCACCCCUGGUACUGAUGGACGCAAGGUGCUCGUCUUUGCAGUUAUACAUGACGCCAGUGAUCGUGUCAGUGUGCCCCUUGAGCGAUUUUAUACACUUCUUCCUUUGCAUGUCCCAGAUUCGCACGACUUUCCCAGUUCCACCAGAGCAAAGAUAUCUCGAUGACUUUGAGCUGAAGUUUAUGGCCAGUAUAGACUCCUGGAAGGCAAACGAAACACACAACAAUCACGAGAAAGAAAGAAAAAAUCCAAGAAACACAUACGUCUAGAACAUCGGCUGGAUCGGACUCUAGCUGCGGCACAGAUCCUAGAAGCUUGCCUCCCUUGAGCCACAGCGAAAUCCUGCGAUCCUCCCCGGAGCUCGCCAGGACGUGAUCUGGAAGCAAAGAAACAUCGAAAUAUCACCAGGACGCGCAAUGCAGGCAGCUAGAAGCCGCGAACUGAGAUCUUACUGGUGUGAUUCCAUCGCAGAGCGUUAACCUGGACGCCGGGCGCCGGGAGGAACUGCGAGACGCAAGGAUCCGCCCGGCCCUCGCUCGCGGCAGCGGCAUCAAAGAGCUUCACAUUGUCGCCCCCACACGCCGCGAUCAGCCGCUGCUGCAUCGCCGCCUCGCGGAUCCUCAUCCACUUCGAAAAAUCCCUCUCGCAACACUGGGAGAGAAAAUAAGGGCUCCCGUUAAGAACCAAAACUAUUUCCACCACCCCAGGAAUCGAGCCUGAGACGUCCAAGAAGAUAGACAAAGGAAUCGAACCCAAAACCUGUUGGGACUUCAGAUAUUUCUCUCUCGUUACUUCUUCUUGCCCGCUUUGCCUUCUUUCCUCCUGAUAACUUCGUCCGCGUAUUUGAUCCCUUUCCCCUUGUAAGGCUCUGGAGGUCUCCACGAUCUUAUGAUCGCCGCGAACUGGCCCACCGCGCACUUGUCUCUCCCCGAGACUGUGAUGCGAGUGUUUUCUUCGACUUUGACGCUGAUACCAUCCGGGAUCUUGAUCUUCACCGGGUGCGAGAAGCCGACGUUGAGGAUGAUCUCGGUGGGCUCGACCGUGGCACGGUAGCCGACCCCGACCAUCUGGAGUUUCUUCUCGAAGCCUUGAGAGACGCCAACGACCAUGUUGUCUGUGAGCGUUCUGGAGAAGGAAGAAACUUAGAAAGAUGAGAGAUGUCCAAUGCAAAUGCGAGAACAUCUAGAUCUUAGAGCUGAGAAGCAAAAGAACUCGAAAUCGGGAAAAAAAAAAGAAAAGCUGGAGACAUUCAAUGCAGCUAGAAAGUUCUAACGAUUAAGAAUGCGUGGAAACAGGCAAGCUAUGAAAGGAAAAAGAGUUUUGGAAAACUUGGAAAGAUGAAAGAUGUCCAAUGCAAAUGCCAGCACAAAUGCUGGAUCUAGAACUUAGAGCUCAAAAGUGCGAGAUGGUAGAACUCGAAUCGGGGAGAAACUGGAGAACUUCAAUCCAGCAAGAAAGUUUUAACAAAAACUAGAACUCGAGAUCGUGGAAAAACUGGAAAACUUCAAUGCAGCUAGAAAGUUCUAACAAGAACAACGAUUGAAAGCCAAGAACAAUUGGAAACAGGCAAGCUAUGAAAGAAAAAAAGAGCUUUGGAGAGAACCUGAAAAGGCCGUGCAUUUGGCGAGCGCGCCGUGUUUCCAGAGCCCUGGUGACGACAAUCCUCCCAGACUCAUCCCUGGUGAGGCUGACCUCUCGCGGAUAGUAGCGUGUCAGCUCUCCCAGCGGGCCCUUGACGGAUAGAUUCGGGCCUUGGAGCACCACAUUCACCGAUUUCGGCACCUCAACCGGCCUCUUCCCGAUCCUGGAUUCCUUGCAAAUCACUCUCAAAGGAAGAUUGCCGCUGGCGCUGCUGCUGCUACUGCAAAUACUGGCUCCCAAAGUCUCGCCGGAGAAAUUACUCCGCAGGCCACUGCAGUACAGCCGCAUUGCAAAUCCGGAAGCUUGGAAGGCGAAAAUCUUACCUCAGUGACAAGGCGCAGGAUAUUGCCGCCAUGGCCGCGUCAAGAGCCCUAAAUUUUCAAAGCGAAAGAUUUGGUUAAGAAAUUUUGCUCCCAGCGAGGUUUGAACUCGCGACCUUUGCCUCAUAAGACCAACGCUGAGCUAAAGGGAGCUUACCACUAUAACCGCAAUCCAUAACCAACGUUGCCAUGGAGUAAAAACGCCGAGAAGAAGACCUAGUAGCGAUGUCUGAGGAAGUUCCAGAGGUUAAAAUCGACGUAAGUUUGCCACAUUCUUCUGUUUAAUCCUUUGUCCCCAAAGACAAACUUUCUUCCAGCCGAGGUUUCUUCCAGACGAGAUCAAUGGUAUCAUCAAAGACGCGCUGGAUCAAUCGCUCGGAAGCAACCAGUUUAGGCACGACAAGGUUUGCAACAAGCUCCCCAACUUUCUCGGACGGAUCCAAACUCCAUCCAAGAAAAAGAUUUUCCAACUUUCUUGGAGGCAUCACUGAUCUUGGAAAACCCAAAACACAAAAGGUGACGGAUUGGACAACCAGCGUCUGCGAAGUUUGUCUCAACAAUCUUGUCAAGCUUGACAAGCCCUUCAAAUACGCCGGUGAGUAGAGAAACGAGCAAAAUCUCCCCUCCUGAUUAGCCACUAAUCACCCACAUUCUCUCCUUGUUUAAGUGACGUGCUUGAUAAUGCAGAAGAACGGUGCGGGGAUGGUCACCGCCACAUCCUGCUUCUGGGAUACCGCGGCCGAUGGUAGGCAUAUUCCUCGAAUCUUUCCCAGAAUUGAACACACCCGUCCGUACAGGGAGCAAAACCAUACGGUGGGAGAACAAAACCAUGUACUGCAUUGUCACAGUCUUUGGCCUCCAGAUCUAAAAUGUAAAUACCAUGUUACCAUGGUAGUGAAUAUACUAGGAAUAUGCCAGCUAUUUAAAUUGGUAUAUGCUUCCUUUGAGAAGAAACUUGGUCGAUCGGAUUUUACUUUUGCGAGUAGAGAUUAGCAAGCAUUACCAUCGCCCUUCCAUCGCCCGGAUUAAAUUCGAGGGCGAUCUUGCUCGCCUCUCCUCCUCGCCGGAUUUCUCUCUGGCUGCCGCAAGCGCCCACCAGGCACAUCAAUUCGAUCCUGCUCGCCUCAAAGGGCAUGCUCUCCGCGAGAUCGAUCGCGCUGUCCAGCCGACCCGAUCGCGCCAGGAGAUCGAUCAUGCAGCAGUAGUGCUGCUUGCUCGGCACCAAUCCAAAAUCCAGACUCAUGGACACAAAGCAAUCCCUCCCUUGCUGGACCUUCCCGCCGUGGCCGCAAGCGAUGAGCGCGGACACGAUGCUGACGUCGUCGGGCGAGAAGAGCAUCUUCAUCUGGCCGUACACGUCAGCGGCUAUCGAGCGGUCGGAUUGGACAUACGUGGCGAGAAGUGUGGUCCACGACGCGGCGUCAGUAUCGGGCAUCGUAUCGAACAAACUCUUUAACUGAAACAAAUGCCCUGUAGCGGCAUUUGCUGCCAAGAGGAUAUUCCACGACACCUGGCUGUGAUCUGGCAUAUUCAGGAAUAAUUUUCUUGUGUGCUCUAAUUUGCCUGAUUGAGUGUAUCCGGCCAAGAAAAUAUUCCAUGAAGCGAGGCUCCACUCUGGUAGGCUGUAAAACAUUCUCUCCGAUUCCUCUAGAUGCCCCGAACAAGCAAAUGCAGAAAGCAUAGAAUUGUUAGAAAUGAUAUCUUUGGGCAGAAUUUUGUCAAAGAAGUCCUUUGCGGCUUCAAGAUUUCCAGUUUGAGUGUAAAGAUUUAGCAUCAAUGUCAAAGAGACGUUGCUGUGAGCAGGCAUUUGAUCAAAAAAAGAUUUUGCCUUGCCAACAUCUCCACUUUCGGCAUAGCCAGAGAGCAUGACGUUCAUUGCCACCAGAUUUCGUUGUGGCAUUUUGUCAUAAACCUCAAUAGCUUUGACAAGAUCAUUCUCUCUUACGCAAAUUGUAAGAAUUGACACCCAGGAGAUUAAAUCCGCCUCUGGCAUUUCCUUGAAGAACGCUUGCAUCUGAGAAAACACUCCCAUAUGAAUAUGCGCUCCAAGCAUUGCGUUAAAACACACAAGAUUCCACUCAGGCAUCACAUUAAACACUUGUAUUGCAUUGCUUAAAUCCAUCACCACGACAUAAGCCGUGACCAUACACGUCCAUGACACGAGAUUCCUUUCCGGCAUGGCUUCAAAGAUCCUCUCCGCUUCCCGAAUAUACCCAAUCUGGGCAUAUGCGUUCAAGACACAAGUCCAAGAGAUUAGAUUCCUUCCAGGCAUCAAGGCAAAUAUCUCUUCCAUUGCCGGAAUCAAACCCUCUCGCGCAUAUGAAGCCAAUAUUCCAUUCCAGGAAACCAUGUCCAGCAGAGGCAUGACAUCAAAUAUCCUCUUCGCAUAUUCCAGAUGCCCAUUUCUGGCAUAUGCCGCGAAUAUGGCGUUCCACGCCACGAGGUUCCUCUCGGGCAUUCCAUCGAAUAUCCUCCGGGCACGCUCCAAUUCGCCCACCCUGGAACUCGCAGUCAGCAUCGAAACCCACGCGCAUUGUUCUCUUGUCGCUAACACGGAGAGCAUAUGCCCCCCGGCAGGACGAAUAUGCGCCACCUUUUAAAUCCCGGUGCCACCCGCACGGGUGCACGCCGGGAUCCGUGGCAGGAUCCGCGGCGAUGCUCCCAUGCCCCGCAUGGCCAUAGAUAUAUCCCGCAAUGCCCAUCAUGAGCCAUGACACGACGUCUCAACCAGUCGGCGGUUCAAUCCUCGCUGGGCGGCAUUUAAAAAUAGUCAAGUUCGGAGGGAGAUCAUUUUCAUACAGUUGGAAGAAAGCAAGAAGAACUCUUUGUCUUCCUUCAACACCGAAGGAAGUAAACAAUGAAACCAAGCAAGGAAGAACUUCGAUCAAUCAGUCCAAUCCCAACAACGAUCCAAUUUCUUGGAGAAUAGAAUUAGUUGGCUUGAUUUGUCAAAAUGCCCGGGAAAGGGAUUUUGGGGUCACGCACACGUGUGCCCAGCGCACGUACAUGGGCUGUUGGUGGCUGGCAUUGGGAUUUAUGACCUAACUUGACCUAAUUUGUAAAGCUUUGUCGCACACGUGGGCCACCCGGCCGCUUGGUCCGCCGAUAAUCUUUCUCUUUUGAAAUGAAUAGAUUGAUCGCGAGCGAGCGAACCGCAUGUGUUGUAACGUGCAAGUUUUACUAUAAUCUAUGUAAUUUGAUCAAGCCAUUCAUUUGACGCGAUAGACAAAACAAAUAUAUGCCAUCUUGACUAGUCCAAGAUUCUCGAGCUUGUGAAUGUAUUGCUAUACUAAUAUAUAUUUUAAGGUCUCACUAAGAAGCACUACUAUACUAAUCGCGAUAAAUUUAAUCAAGACAUGCUCUUGACAAUGUUGGAGGGCGGGAAUAUUAACAAGACCCCAUGCGGUGGACACGCUAACGUGUUGUUAACGAUCUCCAGAGCUGCGGGGCAACGAAAGGAUGCGUAGAUUAUAGAGCUCCAUGCGUCCAAGUCAUCGGCAGCGAUGAAAGUCUUGGAAUCUCUCAACAUCUUUCCUUGGGCAUUGAAUGUGCGCCUUGCAUAGUUUGCGCCCUCGCGAUUAAACAAGACGUCCUCGCGAUCAAACAACGAUACUGGCAAAAAAAUUGCUACUUUUACAAAGAUCAUGUGAUCGCUGAUUUUAAGUGUCUCUUUCUUUUCCAGCAAGAUUUUCAGAUGUAUAGGAGAGCGUCCCGGCUCAUUAUAUAUGAUUUCUUCCUCCCCACACACAACACGGCUCAAUCAAUCACAGGGACAAAAAGUAAACAGUAAAAUAGUGGACUUUUUACCAACAGAUGCGGUACAAGGCUACAGGCUAGCCCAGAUAUCUACGUGUACUCGGAUCAAGGAGGGUAAAAACCCAAAAGUGCAUGGAGAGUGAAUGCCUCUCUCUCUCUCUCUCUCUCUUAAACUCUCCCCAAGUUAAAGAGUGAACCGCUCACGUCACUGAAGAGGCGCGUAUGAAAAUACGUACGCGAGAUGUCUAGCGUAGAGAUGGAGAUGGGUGGGGGAUCGAUCAGAAAUUUGGCAAUGCCAGCAGGUGUUCUUCGGGAGUUGUGGAUGCUGUCGGUAGUUCCAUUUGGACCGGCCUUGUGGACGUGGGGCGGCCAGUCCAAUCCCACUUACUCUCUUCUCUCCUCCAUUUUUUUUUUCUCAGUUUUUUAAUGGUAUUUAUAUAAUAAAUAAGUUAUGCGGGAUGAGGGUUACGGGGUAUAUUCUUCCGGGGGGCGGGAGGAAUAUACCGCGCUCUGGCCAAAAGCCUGGGUUUUUGGGGUCAGGCUGGGCGAGUGAGAGAGCGUAUGUUGAUGCCCGUGUGCAGGUGCAACAGCAGACAAGGCCAACUCCGCGCAUUCAAAAGGUGGACACACACGCAACUUUUGCCCGUGCUCUCACCACACACAAACAAAAAAAAAAAAAAAAAGAAGAAGAAAAAGAAAAGAUAUUUAGGGAGUUUUUGAUCUCUAAAUUCGUUGUUAAAUUAGUUUUGUCAAUUUCUCUAGAAACUUGAAGAAUAGUGAUGGUUUCCUUUUGAAAUUGCUUGCUCAAAUUCAAAGCCGUAAGUGAGCUUGAAUGGAUUCCAAUGCAUCAACCACCAGGUGUAUAAUAAAUUCGUGAUUAUGUUGUGCAAGUUUCACUUUGCAGAAGUUGCACAAUCCGACAAUGCAGAUGAUGCGGCCAAAGUAAUCCAAAUCCCAUUCUUGCAUCCAUGCAAUGCUUCCUUUCAAAAUUUACAUAAUCUCUGGUAACCUCCAUUGCAUAUUACCUUUAAGGUAUAGAGUUUAGGGUUUAGGAGUCUAAAUGUUCCGAUUUCACUCGCCAGACAGAAUUUGCCGUGUCGCGGCAUUUGGGCACCAUGUCGGCUGAAACCCUCUGUCUUUUGCGUCAUCGGUUAUCCACAGCCCCUCGUGGCUGCGUCUCUCAGUUAGGGUUUAUCACCUUUAUUUUUAUAUCUUUAGAGCCAGCACUUUUGUUUAUAUAUCUAUCACAAACUUCUGUACAAAUAAGUCUCUGUCUUUGCCAUGUGCUUCCUGCCUGUCUCUCCAAACUUACACCACCUUCUUUUCCCCUCCUCUUUGUCAAUCCUCGCCUUCUUCUUGGGCGUUCUUUUCUUUUUCCCCAGCCGUGGAUCGAUCCAUCGAUUGCGUCUCGAUCUUCCGUGCGGCGAGAGGAUUGAAUGAGGGCACCGCCACCCCGAUCAAAUUCGUGUUCUUGUGAUUGUCCCUUUGGAACCCAAGGAAUAAGUUCUAGCGGAUCAAUCAGUCGAAAGAAAGAGAGAGGUAAAGAGAGAGAGAGAAAGAGGGAAAGAGAGAGAGACAUAGAGAGGAAUGAGCUUUGAGAUCACGAGAUGAUGACGAAGAGGGUUUUCGGGAAAGGAUCUGGGCGUGGCUGAUCGCGAUUAUAAAUGCAAAUCCCAAUGUCGGGGGACAGGGGGGGAUUGGGGGUCGUUUUCUGGGAUCAGCCUCGCACUGGGCCGCGUCGUCACUAGCUAGCUUCACGAAACAAGGCUGUGAAAGUGCCUCUUCUUCUUCUUCUUCUUUCUCUUCUACUUGAAGAGAGAGCUCUUCACUUCACUCCCUUUCUCCUUUGGCUCCUUGCUCAGAGCUUUGCUCGGCCAGAAGAAGAAAGAACACGAGGAAACGAUCAAUCCCAGGCCUAGUGGGACUGGAAAAAGCGAGGGUGUAGAGAAAGAUCGAUCGUGCAUUUGGGGGAUUUCGUCAGGAGCUUGCCUGAUAGAGAGGCUCUGCGUUUGUUCUUGUGCCUUCUUUCCGCUCGAGGAGCUACCUACAUUGGCUGCGAGGAGAUUGGGAGGGAGAUAGAUUGGAAACAGCGGUCCUAUGGAGGAUAGGGAGAUGGGGCCUGUAGAACGCACACGAAAAUGCCCCAUCCUGGAGCACCACCAACAGGCGAGUAGCAGCAGCGGUGGAAGCUUUGGAUUUCCAGCGUCGCCAGUGUGUUCCCGGCUCAAUCUCUUGCUCCUCAUCAGCCUCGCGUCGCUGCUGCUCCAGGUUCCCGGUGCCUACGCCACCCGAGAUUUGGAUCAUCGCCCAGGUAUACAACACUGCUCUUUCUUCUCGCUUCUCUCGGGCGAUUCGUCGCCAAUCGCGGCCCUCGAGCCUGCCCCGGGCACGAGCACCGCGAGCGGCGAAUUGGGCUGUCAAAUGCCCCCUUGAUUGGCACCAAAAUGCGUGCCAAUUUCGCCCCAGAGCACGAGAGAAAACAGAGCAUCCCCUGUUCUAUGUGUUCUUCGCUAAUUCUUUUCCUUUUGCUACCUAGCAGAUGAUCGAUCUCUCGUGGGCCGCGCCACUUCACUGUCACUCCAGCAAGAAAUGCAAGCGUUGCUGUCCUUCAAGGCCUCGAUCGUCGCGCACAACCCCGGGAAGAGCUCGAUCCUCGAUGGCUGGAACCCUAGCGAUGGCGAUCCUUGCAAGUGGGGUGGGAUCCAGUGCAGCCAGGGCCCCGAGGGCGUCCACGUCACAGCCAUCGAUCUCUCCUCCAACAAUCUCGCCGGAUCCAUCCCCGAGGGCCUCGCCAAUCUCUCCUACCUCUCCUCGCUCUCCCUCGCGCUCAAUUCCUUCUCCGGCCGCCUCCCAGGCGAUCUCUCCCGCUGCUCCAGCCUCGCCGAGCUCGAUCUCUCCAGCAACCAGCUCCACGACACGAUCCCGCCAUCGCUCCUGGACGAGCUGCCCUCUCUCGCCACCAUCAAUCUCGCCUACAACGAUCUCGUGGGCGGGAUCCCCGACGAGUUCUUCUCGCCCAGAUCGUGCGCCAAUCUCCAGGCGCUCAAUCUCUCCAGCAAUCCCGGCCUGGGCGGACCCCUGCCGGGAUCUCUCAAGAACUGCCGCGCGAUCGAGCUCCUCGACGUCUCAAGCUGCAAUCUCACAGGAUCACUCCCAGACGACACGAUCGCGAGGCUGCCGCUCCUCUCCAAUCUCGUCCUCCGCGAGAAUGGAUUCGUGGGCGAGGUCUCGCCGGAGUUCUUCUCCAGCUGCCAGAACCUCGAGAGCCUGGAUCUGGCGCUCAACAAUCUCACUGGAGAAAUCCCCGCCCAGAUCGAGAACUGCAGCAAGCUCGUCAAUCUCGCCGUCUCGGCGAACAGUUUCCACUCCCUGCCGCGGGAGAUCGGCGGGCUAUCGGCGCUGGAGCGCCUCCUCGCGACGCACAACGGGUUCACGGAGCUCCCCGCGGAGCUGGAGCGGUGUUCCAAGAUUAGGGUUCUCGCGGUGAGUGGGAAUUCUCUCUCGGGGCCACUGCCUGGAUUCAUCGCCAAGUUCUCGAGCCUGGAAUUCCUGAGCGUCUACACCAAUCGCUUCGUGGGCGUCGUCCCGGCGUGGCUGGGCGGGCUGCGAUCGCUGCGGCACCUCGACGCCAGCAACAAUUUGUUCACGGGCGAGAUCCCGGUGGAAAUCUCCGGCGCCAGCGAGCUCCAGUUCUUGCUCCUGGCAGGGAACGCGCUCAGCGGCGAGAUCCCUCGCGAGAUCGGCAGCAAGCUCCUCAAUCUCCAGGUGCUGGAUCUCUCCCACAACCAAAUCUCGGGCAGGAUCCCUCCAUCGCUGGGCAACCUCAAGUUCUUGCUGUGGCUGAUGCUCGCGAGCAACGAUCUGGAGGGCGAGAUCCCGGCGGAGCUGGGGAAUUGCAGCAGCCUCCUGUGGCUCAACGCGGCCAGCAAUCGCUUGUCGGGAUCGCUGCCGGAAUCCAUCGCCUCCAUCGGGAGUGGCGUCAAUGCGACCUUCGCGCUCAACGCAAGAACCCUACCGCUCAUCCCCAAGGGCAUGGGCGAGUGCGAAGCGGUCAGGCGCUGGAUCCCCUCCCAGUACCCUCCCUUCGAUCUCAUCUCCACGGUCAUGACGGUCGAGCGCUGCCGGAGCUUCUGGAAUUUGCUCCUCCGCGGGAUCUUCAUGUAUCCUCUCUGCCCCAGCCGCCCAUCCGAGGAAUCCAUGGGCUACAUCCAGCUCGCGAGCAAUCGACUGACAGGACCCAUCCCAGGGACGCUGGAUCGCUGCCGGCACUUGGGGCUCCUCUUCCUGGAUCAAAACAACCUCACUGGAUCCAUGCCCCAGAGCUACUCCAUCGCGCUCACGGGGCUCAAUCUCUCGCGCAACGCCCUCUCCGGAUCGGUGCCGCGAUCGAUCGGCGCGCUCUCCUGCGUGGUGAGCCUGGACCUCAGCUACAACAAUCUCAGCGGGAGGAUCCCCAGCGAGCUCCAGAACCUCUCCAAGCUCAAUCGAUUCAACAUCUCCUACAAUCCAGAGCUCGUCGGCCCAGUUCCAAGCGGCCAGCAAUUCUCCACCUUCGGCCCCAGCGUCUACGAGGGCGAUCUCAAGCUGUGCUCCUCCUCGUCCAACGUCAUGGGGAUGAAGAACCCUAAUUCUUCCCUCCCAUCUUGCGGGAAGCUCGGCGAUGGCGAUGGCGAUGGAGGCGGCGGCGGGGGCGGAUUCCUCCCGCGGAGCUCGCGGAUCGCGGUGGCGACGGUGGUGGGGAUCAGCCUGGCGUGCACGCUAGGGCUGAUCGUGCUCGCACUGCUAGGGUUUUGCCUCCUGGGCAAGGCGGCGCCGCCCGGGCCCGGCGGCGCCGCCAUGGACUUCGUCAUGGUGGGCGGCAAGGAGCACCACCGCCACUUCGCGCCGGAUCACGCCGCCGCCGCCAGCGUCCAGGUAUCGCUCUUCUCGGUGGAGCUCCCCAAGCACCUCACGUACUCGGAUCUCGUCUCCGCGACGAGCAAUUUCGACGAGACGAAUGUGGUGGGCAGCGGUGGAUUCGGCAUCGUCUACAAGGCCAAGCUCGCGGAUGGAUCCACCGUCGCGAUCAAGAAACUCAUCCAGGAGGGUCCCCAGGCCGAUCGCGAGUUCCUGGCAGAGAUGGAGACGCUGGGUCACUUGCACCACGAGAACCUCGUCCCGCUGCUCGGCUGCUCCAGCUAUGGCACCCAGAAGCUCCUCGUCUACAAGUACAUGGAGAAGGGAUCGCUGGACGACUGGCUCCACGAGAAGCCGGGAGGAGCGCAAGCGCUAGAGUGGCCGAUCCGGCUCAACAUCGCACUGGGGAUCGCGAGAGGAUUGAAGUUCCUCCACCACAAUUGCUCGCCGCCGAUCGUCCACCGCGACAUGAAAGCUAGCAACAUCCUCCUGGACGACAACUUCGAGCCGCGGCUCACGGACUUUGGGCUGGCCAGAGUUCUUGGAGCGCAAGAGACGCACGUAAGCACGGUGGUGGCCGGGACGCUGGGCUACGUACCGCCGGAGUACUGCCAGACGUGGAGGGCUACCGCGCGGGGCGACGUUUACAGCUUUGGCGUGGUGCUACUCGAGCUCGUCACCGGGAGGAGGCCCAUGUCCAUCUCGUUUGGAGGCGAGAACAAGGAUCACGGGUGUGGGAACUUGAUCGAGUGGUCGGCUUACCACGUGAAGAAGGGGAUCGCGGCGGAGGUUUGCGACCGGAUCGUGCUGCGCUCGGCGGCUCCCGGGGAGCUGCUGGCGUUCCUGCGGCUGGCGGUGGUGUGUACCGCGGAGCUGCCCAUCCGGCGGCCGACGAUGCGGGAGGUGCUCAAGGUUUUGGAGGAGAUCAAGGCGGGGAACUACGCAGCGAUGCUGCAGGGAUCAUCGCAGGGGGGUCACCAGUUUCGGUGAAAGUGUAUGGUUUUAGAUCGAGCAGGGCUCCCGGUUCUAGACGAUCAAUCAGAAGACUCUACGAGGCAGGUUUGAUGAUCGAGCUCUUGGAGAGGGAUACCUUCUUGGCUUCCAUCUCUCCCGGAGAUCAAACUUUAUCUCCCAGUAACAGGCAAAGAUCGAGCUGGAUCUCCUAAUCGGAUCGAUCGAAACAAGCUAUGGGAAGUUUGACCAUUCCUUUCCGAGUGGAAAGAAAGGUGGCGGAUCCAACAGACAGUAUAUAUCAACAGGACGACGGACGCUGCAGCAUUUAGAAGUUGACGAGACCAGUAGAACCAACACCAACUUGAAUGACAACUUCUACUACUUGGGCUUUUAAGAGUGUUAAAUUUAUAAUCCAGGGAAGAUUUGUAGACAGUUCCUUUUUGUCCUUCGCUUUUUUCUCUCUUUGAAGCUCGAACCCUGCAAUGCUCUCUUGGUACGAAGAACAGAAACAAAAGAAAAGGAAAAAACACUGACACGGUGACUCAAAAUCAAGAGAGCUCGAGACGAGCGCCUGCUCACUAGUGCCCAAGAUCAAAGUUACAAUCUUUGAAAAACAGCAAGUUACGAAGAACUGGGAGACGAAGCUCCUCCAAAUCUUUAGUCCAGCCGGUCGUGCAUAAACCCCGCUUUAGCGAGUUUCUUCUUGUACAGCUGCACUCUGACAUUCACCUGUGGAGCUUCUGCACCCGAUAGCUGCCAAAUCCAAUAGCUCGUCUCAUCCUUCCUCGUUGCUAUUCCCAAGUAGCCGUCUGUCAACAAGCCAUAUCAACACGUAAUUAGCACACAAACAAACAAGAACCAUUGAAAGACAUAAACAAGAAACACUCACCACGAGAGAAAACAGCACCCCCAUCAAGUUUUGCUCCACUGCCGACACCGAGAUGAGCAAACUUUUGCUUGUAAAUGUCCGCAAUCUUCAGGCCAGAAGGAAGCUCCACCCACUGCAUUUGUCCCCAGUGAGCUUCCAAGUCUCCAGCCUCGUUGCAACCGAGUACUACGUGCUCGCCAAGGUCACGAGAGAGCGUAUCCACGCAUGUGAUGCUGGGAGUGAUGCGGUCUUCCGUCACAAGCACUCGCGCUCCUGCUGCUGGAUCGCCACACAUCUCAUAGGCCUUAAGCACGUAGCCAACAGUACUCUUCUGCUGGGACCUGGGGAACUGGAGUUCAAGUCUCUGAAAAUCUGCCAAGCCGUCUCUUGCCACCACCACACAGGCAUUCCCGCCGAGAUGGACUGCUAGAUGGCCAUACUGAUCGAAUCCGACGACAGCUUCAGCUUUGGCAGCUUUCCAGAUGCGCUCCCAUCCAGCAUACCACCCAUCCACGAUCUUCAGGACGGGUUCUUCCUGCACAAACGAAAAAGAAAAGUCAUGAUCUAUGGUAGAGGAAACCUAUCUAUCUAUCUAUCUGUUGUUUUUGGUCUCGUGGUGCCCAUCUUGAAGCAUGAGACAUAAUGAAUGUACAAAUGCACAAGUGAGAAAACCAAAAGUUCUUACCUUCGAAAAGCCUCCCAAGAUCUCCUCCAAAGAAGGCUGUGGAGGUGGCGCUUGAGACUGGAGCAGCUGCUGGAGCUGCCUGGAGAGUAGCUUCUGCUGGGCAUCAAGCCGUUGAACAUGGUUCUCCAGCCUACGAACAUGGUCUUCCAGCCUAUUCUGCUGCUGAAGUUCCUCUGAAUUAUCCUCCCUUCCUACGUUUAGUCGAAUGUCAUCCUACACAGAAAGAAACAGGGCCCUCGUUAGGGGACAAGAGAGAGAGGACGAAUGGUAGAGCGCAGCGGGGAUGCCAAAGAGAUUCACCUUGAGGAGAACGCCGCCCUCCAUUCGCGCUGUCGCCCAAAACCUAUCCAAGAUAACUUGCUCGUCAACUUUAAAAAGGCAAGGAAAAAUUUCUGACAGCCUUCAAACCCUAGCCAAGAUAACUUGCUCGUCAACUUUAAAAAGGCAAGGAAAAAUUUCUGACAGCCUUCUUUCCAAGUUCCUUGUCACAAAUCUCGCUCGGUGGUUUGAGCGUUUAGCGAUGGCGCGGGUGCGCAGGCUUGCUCCCCAACUAUAUGGGAGAGUUCCACGACAAUUAAACGCGCCAUCUUUGGUUGAACCAGAAACAAAAUCCAUGGCUGUCUCGUCGUCUUUUUCUGCUGCGACCUGCUCAAGCCAUCAGAGCAGCCACGACAGUCCGAGCAUCAGUCAAAAGAUUUGUGACAAGAGAAGAUCCUGGAACUUCUAGCUGGUUCAUAUUAUAAAAUAGAGAAAUAUAACAUACAUUGAAAUUCUUAAUGGCCUCCCAGCAUUCCUAUGAUCACAAAGCCAGACACGAAAACACAGCACUCAUCACCAUCGCUUAAGCCAAUGUUCAUGCCGAUGAGAGCUCCAGAGUCACUAAAAAGCCCACCACCACAUCCAGAAUCACGCAAAAGAUGUCCGGUGUCUCGCCCCCUCCACUUGGUGUCUCGCAAAUCCUCAUUAUACCGGUAGAAAGUAUUCCAUGCCUUACACUGGGAGAUCCACGUCCGGGUAAUAACGGAACUCACCAUUCCUCCUUUUAUAGAGGAUGAUAUCGGACUUGGGAGUGACCGCUUUAACUUUGAGAUCAAUGCUAUCUUGCUCCUCAUCGCCAGCAGUGAGUGCUUGCUUGAAAUGCAAGAUCUCUUCGACUUGUGCUCUUGAGUGUCCGUCGUGCCAAUAUGUAAUCACAUAUUUGGGAGCGAUCACAGUUGCUAGUUCUUGAUCCCCUUCGCCUCCCACGAGAAGAUAUUUCUUACAUCGCUCAACGAAUCUAUUAGCCAUGGAGAACGCACAAAAGAGAUAAGGAGAAAACCUUGUGAGAAUGGAACGGAGAAGAAGCAAAAGAGCCAAGUAGAAACUUGUGAGAAUGGCAAUGAGAAGAAAAAAGCUACUUAGAAAAAGUUGAAGCAAAUAGAAUGGAAAUGAGGAGCAAGAAAGCUAUGAAAAACUUGUAUUUGAAAUUUGAAAGUCGUGUCUAUGUAACAAAACAUCAAUGAUGCACAAUGGAAAACAUGCAAUCAAGAAGGACGUAGAGUGCAAGGAGAUUCAGGGCAGUUUCGAAGAAGGGGUAGAAGAAGCCGCAAAAAAGAAAAGGAGGUGCAAUAGGACUUUGGGGCUGCCGUUGAUCUACACUGGGAAACAAUAGAUAGACAACGUGGGCAUCACUGAGAUCUACAAGAUCAUCACAGGAGAUCCAAAGAGCACACAGCUAAAGUUAUGGUGCUCACUUGGUGCUAUGCAGCUUGCGUCUCAACUUCGAAAAUGAGACAAGGAAGGUUGAAGGGUGGUAGACAUGCAACAAUGAAAUCAUCAAGAACUGCAAUAAGCUUCUCUCAAAAAAUGGUAGAUGACAAAGGUUGGAUCUCAACAGUAUACUCAAAGGAGGACACUUAUAUUAUCUUUUAACAGAUCUGCACAUCUAAACUCAAUGUUAUCUAUCUGGAUUGACUGGCAUGACCCAGCCUUUGGGACAAGAAGAAGGGGCUAAAUCCCAUCCUCACCUCACAAAGUAAGUAAAAUAAUGCAAUUCCUCUCAUAUUCAGUUAAAUUACUAUUGCGGCACAGCUCAUAUUCCCUAUCGGUGGGUGAACAAUUCAGCACUUCGUGAAUUUUGCUUCACAAUGAUAGGAAGAGUUGAUGUUGAAAGAUCAAAAAGCAAUGCCACUAUGAACACUUGGCUGCCACAAGCAAAUUAUCCAUAUGGUAACUUUUUUAACACCUCUAGAAAUUCAGAAACAUUAGAGGAUCAAUAGGGCAUGCUUUCACAUGUAUCUAUGCUGAAAAUCAAAAUCAAAUGAGAUUUUACUAAGAUUUCUAACAACAAGCUUUGAUUAGUGAAAUCUCAACAAUGACUUCUUUGAUUUUUGCAAUGAGGAAGUUUUAUCUUUAUUUGACAAGGAGAAAAACUUGCUCCAAAGGUAAGAAAUCAGCUCUGAUUUCUCAUGUGCUGCACAACCCCAGAGAAGGGGGUCAUUUUAAAUAUCUUUUGUGGAACAGGAAAUACCUUGAUUGCAGCUGCAAACAAUGGUGGACACAUUCUGACCCUGGAGUGUGAUGCAACAAUGAUCCUGCAGAUCAGAAGAAGUAAACUGAAAAAUGAAGAUAUCUAGAGCAAGGAAAACAAGGGAAAGAACAUGAAAACAACACCCCCCAAAGGUUUUGACAAAGAGAAGAUUGCAUUAGGAAUCAGAUUUUUUAUUUUGUAAUUAUGUUUUAAAAAUAAUUAGUUUGAUAGAUCUCCCAACAUCCUAUGAAUCAUGUUGUGGUUCUGCUAAAUUGUAGCUCCUUCUACAAGCAGGCACCUUAAAUCCUUGAGCCCAACCCCCAAAAUCUUUGACUCUGCCACAUCAUCCUUCCAAGUGGAUCAAAUCCAACUUCCACUAAAAUAUAUAUAUAUACAUACAUACAUAUAUACAUGUAUAUAUAUAUAUAUGUAUGUAUGUAUAUAUAUAUUAAAAGAAGACUUAUAAUACCUAGGAUAUACUUACUGAUGCUUCAGAGAUUUUCACCUUAAAGUUGGAAAUCCUCCUGUCAAGUACCCAGCACUAGUGAAAUUGGAAGAAUCUGUAUCCACAAAAUGAGAUUAAUUUGUUGCAUAAACAUUUAAGUUUAAGAUUUAACUAAUUACUUUGAAUACUAUUUUUUUAAGUGUAAAAAAAUAAAAAUUUAUUGCACAACAAUGCUUGGUUUGCUCAAUAAUUUCACUUUUAUUUAGUAAUUCAAAAUUUUAUAAAAAUAAGAUUAAUAUUAUUAUAUAUCAACUAAAAUAUACUGGAAAGAGUUUAAGAAAGUUUAUGAAUUAUAAAUACUAAUAAAUAACAAUGGUUAAAGUCAAAUGAAUGAGAAAACCCCUGUUCUAGGGUUUUGCGGUAGGGCUCUUGUUUGGAGGUAUUGGAUGAGAUCGAUCAGGCGUGGGCGUUAUGCAAGAGAUGGCAUUGUUUACAGCACCAGUGGUUUUUUCCGUCCUAGGAUGGCCCUUGAUUUACAGCAUUGUGGAAUGUCGCCAAGGUCGCAAUGCGCGGGUUAACCUCCCUCGCUGGUGGAUCUCAUCCUCCUUCUUCUUCCUCACGCCACUGAUUUUUGGAAUAGCGUUCCAAUUCGUUGGAAACGUGGUUUUCCGGAUUCCAGCGAGCAACGCCCGGCAUUCAUCGCAGUGUAAAAUACUAUCCAAAAGUUUGUAGCUCCAUUUCUUAUUCAUCGUUUCUUCUUAUAACUUUGUUCUUGUGAAUUAGGCGUGGAUGUUCGUGUUGCGAAAACCUGUCUUUCGGGUGACUUAUCUCCAGUUUCGAUCAGACUGUUUGGUAUACCCGACCCUUCGAAAUUCCGCUGCUCUUUGGAUUACUAUUGGGUAGCAGGCCUUGAGGUAGAAAAAAUGGAAUGGAAGAUUGUUCUAAGUUGUUGUUCCCAGGUGGAGUUUAGUAUCUUGAAUUCGUCCAUUCGAACUUUAUUCGAAGAGCCCAAAGAGGUUCUUCCAAGUCAUUGCAGACCCGUUUUUGCCGAUGUUUGGAGAAUAGCGGAAAGUUUCCAGGUAAUAGUUUCUCAAGUUGUGGCUCUUUUGCGAUCUCGUUUCCUUGCAGGCAAACCGCAGCUACCGUUGUAUCCAUACUGAUAAGACCAUUUAUUCUAUAGAUGGUAUAGUACUUCCAUCUCAAGAUCGCUGUAAGCCAGAAUCACCAUCCACAUUCAAGCUUCUUCGGGACUACAUCGUACUGUAAGCAAGCGGCACGAGUUGUUUACAAGUUCCUCACCUUGUUGUUUGUGCUCGUUUGCAGGAUAGCAAGUUCCUACAACCUUAAGCAGCCAGCUUCGGCUGGCUAUCUGUUCUGGAAAGGAGUUUACGCGCUGUUAGUCGGACUUGCCUACUGCGUAAUUCUUACAGGCGUUACGAAGCUCUCAUCCUGGUUCCAGUUUAAAGUGGUCGAUCCAGGCCAUCGCAACUUUAUCGACGUCUUAGUUUUUGAAGUGAGAUUGCAAUUAUUGUUCCUUAUUGUCUCCAUCUCAACAGCUGUGGUUUUGUCGACGAUACGACUUGAGCAACUGCGCAUUGGAUUCCAUUUACUUACUGGGAUUGAUUUCAGAUCGAAGACUUUGGGACAGUGGUUGGAAACUAUAUUCAUCUAAAGCAGCCAGUUAUUGGAUAGACAAUUCCAAGGCCAUGGUUUGUAUUCUAAGUUUUUAACAUAUGCUCAUCGAGGACGGCCGAAAGGCUCGCGUUUUGUCAAGCUACGAGUCCUGCAGAAAGUUCUCCGUGUCAGAAGUUCUUGGCUAUGGCAUUCUUGUCAAUAGUUCAUGAAGCUUAUGAUUGAGACGUUCACCUUCUUCAAUAGAGCCUUUGGAGCUCAGGGGGCUGGCGACAUGCUCCUUCUCCGCCAGAACUUGAGUCUUCGUCGUGGUACUUACCAUCUCCGUUUCAUGCUCAAUACUGCUGCUGUCAUCGUUCUGCUCCAGUUUCUCGUACUCCGAGAACGUCAGCUUCCUGAUUUCAUUAUAGAUGCUCUCCACGUCCAAAGUGGGACUGCUCAGCUUCGCUGUGGCUGCUGCGUUCUCUUCCAUCAGGUCUUUGGUGAUGUCUAUCUCGUCCAGAGCAUCCUUGAUACCGGCGAGUGCAUCAUUCUGGGACGAAGCUGAAGAUGACGGGGGAGACAUGUUGUACUCUCCGGAUCGAAGGCCCAGGUAGUAUUCGUACAAUCCUGGUCUUGGCGAGUGACCCUUUCCCGCAAGUUUUGCAGGUGCUGCGGUGGCACUGGAUUGCUUAUUGGCUUCAACACCUGCAUGCUCACAAGUCAUUUGGUGCAAAGAGCGUUUGCAAACUCGGCAACUUACAGGAAAGAAUUGUUUCAAGGUGAGUUGACGUUCUUAGCUCUUCGAGGUUUUCACUUUGAGUUGACAAGAUUUCAUCAGUCUUCUCUUCUUUGCCAGGUUCCGGUUCGUUCUGCCAAAAGCGAAAAAACAGUGAUCUAUCUAUCUAGAUGCGAUUUCAGUGGCGUACCUUAGCUUGGUCCGGAAUUGUGUCGGAUGUCUUUUUUUCUUCGUCUCGCACAAGGUCGUGGUGAGUGACAGCCUUUUCCGCUAACUCACUGGUCACUCUCUGCACAAUGGCUUUCAGAGCAGCUGCCGCAGACGCCGAAAGCAAAUCGCCUUCCUCGUCUCCAACACCGAACGAAGCUCUUGUCGACAGAGCCGGUGAUUUAGACGAGGCUCUGCUUCCCGCAGCUGGCGAAGGCGCAUAUGGCGAGACUUUUCCAUUUCUCUCGGAUACAGCCGGUGAACUUUUGCUAUCUUUCAACGAAGCCAACGAGGCCCUCGACGUGUUUUUGCUCGAGCUAUCUGCGGCGAUGUCAGCUGGAACGGUCUGGGACUUGAAAACCUCGGGAAGUGGAGCAGGUGAAGCGCUCCUGCUGCUAUGUCUCUUGGCGAUCUCGACUGCCACAGCCGGUGAGGAAUGUCUACUAGCCUGACUUAUAAUCUGUGCCGGCGACGGGCUUCUGCUAACAUGCCUCCUGAAACUACUCAACAGUUGCCUAGGAGAGGAUGCUCUGGAUUCUACGUCUGCAUGCGCUGGUGAUGGUGCUCGAGACGAUGCUUUCGACUCUGCAGCAGAAUGCAACACCGGUGCCAGCGACAAACCUCUAGACUCGAGGGUGGUGAUCUUUGGUGAUGAACCUCUGCACUCGCAAACCAGUGGCCGAGGAGCGGGCGAUGGUGUCCUGCUGCUAAGUCUCCUCAAAGUGGAGUUUGCACUCUCUUCCAACUUUUCCUGACUGACAACCGGAACUUCAGCCGCAGGUACUUCGGAUGGCGGCGAUGGAGCUCGCGGCGAUGGAGCUCUUGACGAGGCUCUGGAUGAAGCUCUCGACUCGGCGGCUAAGGCUGCCGAGGCAACGAGAUCGUCGGGAGGAAGAAGCUCUUGUGAAGCCGCGACGAUCGGCUCAGCGGCAGGAGAAGCUGCAGUGCUUUUCGGUGUCGAGGCUCGGGAAUCCGUGACGUUUGGCUGCGGAGCUGGUGUUCUGAUAAGCUGCUGUCUCCUCGCCGAGAGUAACGAAGAGGUACUAGUGAAGUUUAUAUUCACUGCUACAUUCCUCUCCUCCAACUUCUCUAUCACCGAUUGACAGGAGUAGCAGAGUUGGAACUCGGGUGGUGGCGAUGGAGCUCUGAUCAAUCCAGCAGCAGUGGAAGUAUCCAAAGCAGGCUCCAGGAUCUCGGCCUCCAAAACUUGGGCGGUUUCCACAACCUCGGCAGUGUCCACUACUUCGGCAGUAGCGGAGGAAUCCAAGCCAGGCUCGGCGAAUUCAGCAGCAGCUGGGAAGUCCCCGGAGUCGAGAGUAGCGGCGGAUUGCACGUCACUUCCAAGUUGCGUCGCGAUUGAAUCGCUCGUAGGCCGGGGCGAAGAACUGGAAUCUCUGAAACUCGGGCCAAUCUGUGGCCGUGGAGCCGGCGAGGGCGAUCGAGCGGCGACUUCUUCGUUUCUCUUCGCUGCUGCCAAGGCACAAGAGGUGCUUUUGUUGCAAUUCGCCGCUCUCACACUCUGCGCGACGUUCCCUACUGCUGUUUCAGUGCUCUCUUUCGAUGCUCCACACCCCAUUUUCCACAGAAAAGAAGAAUCUUUGCUCUCGCGCUCGCGCUAGAAGAAGAUGGCUCCUUCUCCUUCGUUCAUCGUGCCCUAAAAACCAUAACUAACUAUCGCGCGGCAUUUUUCUCUUUUGAAUGCCAGCCGUUGGAUGGGAGCGACGAAAAUCUUCCAUACUAGGAGAGAGCAUAUUCUCCGGGGUCACCUACCCACAUUUAGAAAAGCGCGCCUUACGGAUAGGAUUUUUAAUCCAACGGUCGAUCGCGUGGCGCAUUCCGGAGUGCCCAAUCGUGCGGCUGGGACGAGCUGACGGUACGGGUACGGCAGACCCCUUCGUUCUGCCGCAUCCUUAGUGCUCGAGGCUUUGAUCGUCCGUCGCCGGGGAAAGGAAAGCUCCCUAGGGCACUGGAUCUGGAGCGCACAGCAGCGGCAUUGCCAGGGCCAGAUCGAUCUUGCUCGUCGCGGCGGCCAGGAGUUUGUAGCGCGCGGCCGAGGUUUGUAGGAGAGAGAGGGAUUUCCCGGCGGAGCUGCUAGCCCGCUGUGUUGGCGGGAUCUCUCCGGCUCCGGCAUGAGAGCGGCAUUCUAAGGCGCUAGAAUCUCAGCUAGGGCUUUGCGAGCGCGCGAUUCUCUUUGUCGGAAAUCCCCCGGUCUUUCUCGAGAAUCCUGCCAUGGCGACGACAACGGCCUCCCCAGAAGCGGCCAUAGCGGAGGCGUCGCUAGUGGCGGAUAGCGACAUUGUCCGAGAGAUUGGGCUGGUUCUCAACAGCGCCGACUUGUCCACCACGUCCAUGAGCGACAUAAGGGCGGUGCUGGAGAAGAACUUGGGGGUGGAGCUCGCCCACAAGAAGGAUUUCAUCCGGCAGCAAGUCGAUGAGUUCCUGGCACACAACACGAGCCUGGGAUCCUUGGUCAAGGGCGACGAGGAGGCGAAUGCCACUGCUCCGGCGCAGGAGGAGCAGCAGGGCACUGCCGAGGAUUCGCUUCCAAACGAUCAGGAGCUCGAGCAAUUCAGAGAGAACAUCGAGCUCGCGAUCGAAGACAGGUAACUCUCUUCUUUUCUAGUUCGUUUGUUUUUCUUUGUUUUGUUCUUUUGGGUUCUAAUGCCGCUCUUGUGUUGCAGUACUCCCAAGGAGAAGAAGAAGCGGGGAGGACUUAACAAGCUCUGCCGUCUCUCGCCGGAGCUCCAGGCAAUUAUAGGAGAGGAAUCCUUGCCUAGGACCCAGGUAGGCUUGUUUUUCUUUUCCUGAAAGCAUUUUUUUAGCUUGCUUGCAUUGCUCGUCUCGUCGUCAGGUGGUGAAGCAGCUCUGGGUUUACAUCCGUGCUCACAACUUACAAGAUCCCGAGAACAAGAGGAACAUCAUUUGCGAUGAUCCCUUGCGUGAGCUGUUUGGGACGGACCAAACUGACAUGUUCCAAAUGAAUAAGCUUUUAUCCAAGCACAUUUGGACUAUAACCGAAGAGGGUGAGUGUUUUGGCUUUUGCCCGAGUCAAAAUGGUGACCACAAAGAUUGCUUCCUUGAUUGUGCAGGGGCCGAAGAUUCGGAGCCCAAGACAAAGAGGCAGAAGAAGGAUUCCGGGAAAGGGAAAGCGUCGGGAUUCCUUGUCCCAUCUCCGAUCUCAGACGCCCUCCAAAAGUUUUUUGGUACUGGCGAAAGCGAGGUGACGAGGAGCGAGGUCGUAAAGCGGAUUUGGGACUACAUUAGGAGCAACCAACUUCAGGUAGCUCUCAACGACAAAACUCUCUCUUUUCUCACAGGUUUAAUGUUGCGUUUACUUGUGCGCAGGAUCCUACCGAUAAGAAGAAGAUCCUCUGUGACAAUAAACUACAGGAGCUUUUUGAAUGCGAUAGCUUCUUGGGGUUUACCAUGCCCAAGCUUCUGGCCUCGCACUUCGUGACAUCCUCCUGACUGACACAACCGGUGAGCAAUUUCAUCUGCCUAGUUCCCAGAAACUUUGUCUAACGUCGAGCUUUCCCUGGCAGGUCACAAUAAGGUAAAGGACAUAUACACUAUACUUCCUUGCUCGCGAAGCUACAAAACACUCACACAGCAGACAGGAACUCAUAGGUACGUGAAUCGUGAUCUUCCUCACGACAUAGUAUAUUUAUAAUUGCAGAUAGACAGACUUCUGUUACUACUACUGAAGCUUUGUGCUGCUGCUGGUGGCUAUUGCUUCUAAGAGAAGCAUUUCAGCUCACAGGGGCAGUAGAACACUGACUGUAAUUUCUAUUAACUUUUGUAUUCAUUCUUGGAAACGAAAGACUGUCUAGAGCUCCGGGAAGAUGAAAACGAUCGAUAAGAUGUUGGAUCUCACACUUUCUGGAGCUGCCAAAGCUGAUUAGUCAGCCGAUCAGGAUGGCAGUCUUGGAAGUCUAUAAGCGAACUUCCUAUUCGAAAAAAGCAUAGAAGUGAGAAUCUUACCACCUCCUUGGGUGCUAUUCCAUGACGCAGGUAAAGACCGCUCCUUUCAUUCAUCAGAGCGAAUCCAAAGCCACCAUAAGCAUCCUGGAAGCGGCCCAAACGGAACGAUUGCUCCCAGAUCUAAACAACAGGAAACGUAAAUUGUGAGACAGACAAACAAACAAGAAAGGAAGAACGAAAACCUGAGCGUCGUCCCCAUCCUUUAAGUUGGUUAGAAUCGCAGACCCAUUCUUGUCGAUUGAAACAACUUUAGAAGACGUUGAAACGAUUCUUAGCUUCUGGGAUGACGAUACUUCAUCAAACACACCAACAAGAAGAAGAAGAAGAAGAAGGAAGAAGACAACCAUGUUUUUGCCAAAGGAGAAGAAGCCCUUGUAGAAACAAACACAAGAAAAACGCUUGAGGAAGAUCGAAAAGAACUGGCUGCGAACUUGGAGGUGAAACACAUUUUGUGUUUGUGUCCUUUGUCCUCUCAAGGACAAAACUAUGUGAUCAAUGGAUUCUUCUUACUUCUUAGGAAUAAAAUCACUCUAAAGUUUUUGUGUUAAGACAUAAGCGCAUUGCGAUAUGUAAUCCAUGGAUUUUUCUUGCUUCUUAGGAAUAAAAUCGCUCUAAAGUUAAGACAUAAGCGCAUUGAGAUAUGUAAUCAAUGGAUUUUGCUUACUUCUUAGGAAUACAAUCACUCUAAGCAUCUUGUGCUAUGCUUGGGCCUUCUUGAGUGAAUGUAGCAUCCUGUUCUUGUUCCUGGGCUUGAGACUCAUCUGGCUUAGACCCAUGCUUUGCAGCAGCUUGCACCACUCUGUCCUGCACGGCUGUUGUUGAUGGAGAGGUUGCCAACUCCAGUUUACUUGUCCUGGGCUGUCCUCCAAGCCACUCAAGAAUAACCCUGAGUGGCGCUUGCAAAACUCUGGACAGAGAACAAAAGACAAUGCAGAGACUUUUAGAGCUGCAAGGCCCAAAAAAGCUUCAUUUCUACCUCAGAUCAGCGGCAAAGUCGUCUGCACUCUCGUAUGACUGAAGUCGUUGAUAGAUUAACUACAAAAGAAGCACCGGUUAUACAAAAUUGUCGCUCGAAUCAAAUCGUCUUUCGGUUUAACCUGUACGAUAGCAAUCACUCCAAGCAAUUGAAGAGUUUUCUCCCACUCUGCCAAGAUAGAUGGGUAUUACCAAUGGAGUAAUUUCUCUCUUCUUACCAGACAAAGCAUAAAUAGAAGCAAGAGAUCCCUGCAUUCAAGCAGCGUGAUAAGAAUAGGAUCUUAAGAGCUUGAAAACAUAACCACUGACCACAGCUAUAGCAGCUAUUCCAGCUGGUUUGAGUUCCUCCACAACUGCCUCGGUUUCCUGGCACGACAAAUCUUUGUUACCACACAGCAGGACAACUUGCGUUGAAAUACAAACCUCCUUGAGAAUUUUGAGUGGUGUUUCUUGUCCUUCAGGCUUUUGUCCUAGGCCGGUUUUCAACCAGGCAGCAAAUCCACCCUCUAGACGAUACGAUCUCUACAUGCAAAAUUGCAACGUCAGUGGAAGAGAGAUCAAACCGGCGAUGCCUACUCUUAUCCCGACUUUUCUCAAUGCUUUUGCAAUUUUCUUCGAUUGAGUACCAUCAGCGUCCAUGACGACAACCUUUGAGGUGGACUGCAUUGCAGUCAGAAAGAGUUAGAAAUGGAGGGUUUGGAUCCGAUUGCUACUCACCGUGACGUUUCUCAAGUUGCAAAUCAAGGUUGCUGUUAGCAAGCUAUUUACAUCAUCUGCACUUCUCAAGAGAUCUCGCACAGGACGCUCUACCUGAACUGAAAUUUGUAUGCAUCAGGAAUAGAGAUAUAUGCAUAUAUAUCCGCUUACCUCCAGGCCAGUAAUGCUCGCAAGCUUAAAUCGAGCUCCUCUUCUGACGUCCGGAACACCAUCUCGCUCUUUUAAUUCCUGGAGUUUUGGCGAGAGAAUGAACACCCCCCAAUAAUCAAGAGUUUGAGCUAACCUGCGGCCGUACGUCGACGAGCACAACCUUCUCCUUUUUAAGCAUGUCAAACACAGUAUCUGCCGAAAGAUCGCCAGCAUAACCACCAUACUUCGAGUCCCAAAGUAAAAACCUGGAAAGGCAAGCCACUCGAUUUCUUUCAGUGUUGCAUUUACAAACUUCUUACCCCACGUAAGCACUUCCACCUCCAACCAGAAAUAUCGGAAUGAUAGGAUUUUCGGGAUCAAUACCCACGGCUUUUUCCAAGCUCACAGCAGCAUCAAAAGACUGUGCAUUGUUCCAAAGCAUGAACUAGAGAGAGAAAGAGAAAUCACAAAAUACCUGAUGUAGUACCGAACUCAAUGGCGCAAAAACGUUUUGCUCCGCACUGCUCAGGGCGUUCUGUACUUCGGAUGGCGCUGAGCCUUUCGCUAAGCUGUACACGUCCGAUACAGCAUGGCCAACUCCUCCAACGCCAUUCUUCACGAAUAUGACGACCUCCUUGAGCGCAUUGUUGACGGGAGUUCCAGUCCGAAAGGGACUCGUAAGAUCUAUCGAAAGACCGGGGGGAUUCGACGACGGCUGAUCAUCAACCUUCUCCCCAGCUCCCUUUAUCACCCUCAAGAUGGAUCCGUUGAUACUGUCAUACGCGUCCUGGAUAGAGUUCUCAGCCUUGUUUAUAGAUCCUGUGAUGGAGUCCCUGAUCCCACCGAAGAAGUUCGCGCCACUCUCUUGGAUCUCGGACAGUGUGCUCGAGACAUCCUCAGCCGCGCCUUUCAACGCAUCGGAGGCCUCCUUCGCGGCCGAAGAUAAUGGAUUUCCACCCAGCUCUCCUCCAUCCGGUACGUCUAGAACACCACCACCUUGACUCUCUUCUCCAGGAGCCAAUGAAAAGUCUGGUAUCAAGUCAUCGCCACCUUGGGGUGGUGCUUCCAGCUGAGGAGCUUCCACUGCAUCACUGGAAAAAAUGCCGGGCUUGGGCAAAUCGCUGUCACUGGCAACCUCUGGCAAAUACAUCGCUCCAGUCCCAGAAGAAAGACUAGAGGCAUCAUCUCCUGGAAAAUUUGAUGCUCCAGCACUGGAUGAGACAUCAUCGGCAAGUACUUCAUCGACGAAUUUCAAACCACCGCUGUGAAUUCCCUUGUUUCCUAAACUGAAAGCCCUCCACCUCGCAGCAAGCUUGUCCGAGCUAGAAGCAAGAUGACUUACAAACGGUCCAUGGGACCGAUUCCAGGAAAUCUGCGAAGAAAACCAUGAAUCCGCUACUAGAACACGAGCGAGAGAACUUACCUGAGAUCCUGGCGCCGACGCCACAACCGGCUUGUAGAGAUUGCAAUUCACAGCAGCAGUAGCAGCAGUGGCCAUGGCGCAUUCUUUUCCUUGCGCCUCAGAUCAUCGUCCCCAUACCAUCGAUCGAGGAAGAGACCUCGAAAUAAAUCCCAAACGCUGACGUGGAGUUUGGUAUCUGGCACUGCCCAAUAGGAGCCGUGACUACGUGGCAGUUUCUCAGCCAAUAGUACACCUACACGAAGGCCGUAGCAUACACAUUGGCUAGCAAAAUGUAAGUCGUUGGAUGCCGGGGAUCGACGGCCGAGAUUUGUCCUGCGGCUCUCUGGGCCCUCUCCUCGUCCCCUUGUACGAUACAAGACGAGAGCAAUGCUCUCCACGCGACUCCAUCGGCCUCGUACGGCAUGUCUAGGACGAGUUCUUGUGCUCGAUCGAUCUGGCCGGAUCGUCCCAGGAGGUCAAUCAUACAAAUGUAGUGAUCGAUCACGAGAUUCACACCAAAAUCCUUGAGAAUUCCCCGGAAAAACGCGAAUCCCUCGUCAAACAUCCCGCCAUGGCUGCACGCCGACACAAUCGACACGAGGCUCGCGAAAUUGGGGCCGAUUCCUUCGAGCAGCAUCCGGAAGAACAACUCUAGCAUCGAUCCCAGCUCGCCAAUUCGCGCGUACCCAUGGAUCAUCGCGUUCCACGCCGCCAAAUCCCGCCUGGACAGCUCCUCAAAGAUGGAGCUGGUGAGGGAGAUAUCCCCACACUGGGCAUACAUGUUUAGCAGGGCGGUCUCGAUUUGGGGGUGGGAUUCGAAACCCCGACCUCCCUCUGUGAUGCGGCGGUGGAUCUCUUUGCCCUGCUCCACGUCGGAAAGAUUCGCACAAAUCUCCAGCGCCACCGCGAAUGUGACUCGAUCCGGGGAUACAUCCAUGGCGCGAAAUAGCGCCAGCGCCUCAUCGUUUCUAUCGUCCCCGGAAUAUGCCGAUAUCAUCAUGUUCCACGAGACAACGUUCUUUUGGGGCAUUUGAUCGAAAAAUCUCUCCCUUGCCACGUCAAUCUCUCCAAGGUUUAUCAAUCCCGAAACCAUGGAGUUCCACGAAACCACGUCCCUCCGUGGCAUUAGAUCAAAGAAUCUUUCAGCAUGGUCGAAGUACCCGUUCUGGGCAUAUGCCGCUACCAUGGCAUUCCAGCUUACCAGAUCUCGCCCGUCCAUUUUCCUAAAGGUAAUUUCCGACUGUUCGAUCUGGCCAUUUUGUCCGUACGCCGCGACCAUCACGUUCCAAGAAAAUAUUGUCCACUUACACAUUCUUGAGAAUAGGGUUCUUGAGGAGUCCAGGUCGCCAUUCUGGGCAAACGCAGCGAUCAAGAUGUGCCAAGACACAAUGUCCGCCUUUGGUAGAUCUUCGAAGAGCUCCUUCGCGGCGACCAUAUCGCGCGCCUCGGCCUCGGCGGUAAGAAUCGCGUUCCAAGAAACGAUGUCGGUCGCAGGAAAUCUCUCAAACAGGCCUUUGGCAUCGAGUAAGCGGCCGAUCUGGACGAAUCCGGAGAUCGUCGCGUUCCAGGACACCAGAUCCCGCUCAGGCAUCGCGUCCAAGCAGCGCGUCGCCUGGUCCAUGUCCCCGAUCGAUGCGUAGGCCGUCAGGAUCGCGUUCCAGGAAACGAUAUUUCGGCACGGCAUCCUCAAGAACAUCGUUCUUGCCCAGUCCAGCUCCUGGUUCUCGGCGUAGCAAGUGAUCAGGAUCGUCCAGGAGAAGACAUUGGUCUCGGGCGAGAGAUCGAAGAGAAAUUUCGCCCGAGGCAGCUCGCCGCUCUCGGCAUAGGCAGCGACGAUCGCGUUCCAAGACACGACGUUCCUGAGCGGCAUCCGGUCGAAGAUCUGGCAGGCCUGGAGGAGAUCGUCGUGCUGCGCGCACGCCGUGACGAUGAAAUUCCAGGACGUGACAUUCCUCUCCCUCAUCGCAUCGAAGAUGGCCAGGGCGCGGCGGAGAUCUCCGCUGUGGAUGUAGGCAACGAGCAUCGCGUUCCAGGACACCACAUCCCUCUCCAGCAUCGACGAGAAGAUCCUCUCGGCGUCAUGGAUCUCGCAGCUCUGGGCACAGGCCGUGAGCAUCGAGUUCCAGGACACGAGAUUCCGGCACGGCAUUCGCUGGAACAGCGCCCCAGCGUGGUGGAAUCCAGCGGAUUGGAGCGUGGCAGCGAGAAGGAUCGUCCAGGAGUAGACAUUGCGAUCGAUGAUCCUUUCGAAGGCAGCGCGGGCGUCUUGGAUGCUGCCACAGUCGCCAUACAUUCUCACCAGGAGAUUGCCCAGGUAGGUGUGGCGAUCGAAGCCAUAGCUGGCGAGAUGCCCGUGCAGGUCCCUAGCGUCUUGGAGAGACUUGAGGCUCCCACACUCGCGGAUCCUUGAGGCAUAUGCCUCGAUCGUAUACAUUCUCCGGCUCUUUCUAACCUGAAGUUUAUUGGUUAUGGUGACCACAUGAAGGCUUAUAAGCUCAACAGCCUUUCCAGUUCAAAAAUCCUUCACAGUCGUGAUGUGAUCUUUGAUGAGCCUCGGACUUAUCCUACUCCCAGUCUUCCCACAGCCAUCGAGCCCCCAGUCAAGCGUCAACAGUUUGAGGCAAUUAACAGUGAUGGAGCACUUGUAGCACUAUUCGGCAUUGGAAAUGGAACUCCACUCUUACUACUGGACACCAGCGGCAUCCAGGCACAGGUGAUGCAGCCUCGGGAGUGCAUGACCUUGCUAAGGCAGGAAUAGGGGAGUUAGGCUUAGGUGGGAGUACUUCGCAUCCUCAACCUCACAGAUCUACCAAACUCCACAAGCUCAAGCUAGGGAGCAUGCCCAGAUUGAUCCUAGCAACUCCGAUGCUUUUUACUAUCCUUCUGCUCUUCCAACAUUAAAGCAAACCAUCCUCAAGCUUCCUCCCCAGUUUUUCAACUACUCUUCUCCGAAGGGCAAGAUAUUCUAGCCCCCAAGAAUUUGCAUGAAAGCUUUCUCCAGUCCAAAGUGAUAGCAGCGACAGGCAGCUGCAAAUUUGGAGUACUCAUCCCUGAUGGAGAAUGAUACUUCAGAGCUUGUUGAUUUACCAAGUUAGGAACCAAUCAAGAUGAUGUGAAUUUUUCACAUGGACAGUAGUGUUGUCAAAUAUAAGGCCAGAUUAGUAAGAAAAGGUUAUUCUCAGAUUACAAUGAAAUGUUCUCUCUAGUUGUGAAGAUGCCUCCAUCUGCAUGCUACUUAAUCUUGCUGCCCAAGAGCAUUCAAAGUGGAGCAGCUUGAUGUCACUACACCAUUUCUCUAUAGCAAUUUCAAUGAGGAAGUUUAUGUUCUUCAGCCAGAAGGAUAUAUUGUCCCAGGCCAGGAGCGCCAGGAGUGCUUAAGAAGGCUUUAUAUGGACUGAAGCAAUCUCCAAGGCAGUGGUAUACCAAGACGAUUAGUUAUCUCCUUUCAAUUGGCUUUCUUUAACACUUCAAGUGACACAAAUGUCUAUUUAGGCAAGUUAAAGGUUUGAUUUGCUCUAUAUGUGGAUGACUGUCUCCUCUUUGGUCCCACAAGAAAAAUGUCAUAGCAGUUUAAAUGUGAGCUUCAAGCACGCUUCAAGAUGGUGGAUCUCAGCCUUGCUUGUUUUUGCUUAGUCAUUAAGAUCUCAGGUAAUGCAGCUCAAUUCAGCAUUAAGAUUUCAGCAUAAGGAUAUAGAGGAGAUCCUUGCUAAGUUUGCAUUAGCCAAGUUGAAGCCCAUGGAAGCUACACUUCAUCUCAGCAUGACACAAGCACCUCAAACACUUGAAAAACAUGCAUAGUAGUCUAGUGUAUUUUAUGGUGUCUAUACAUCUAUACCUAGUGGUUGCAGAAAGGUGCCUUGUGCCACAUGGCUCGCCCAUGUGGAGAGACAUGAGUUUUCACUAAUUCAUUAUAUUAUACAAAAGGUUGAUUUUAAUUAUUUUGAAUGGGGAUUAAUUGACUAGUCAACUGUGAUUAUUGAUUAGCCGUAAAAGUAUUAAAUAGUCAAUUGGUUCACAAACUUUUUUUGAUUGAUGUCAAAAAAGUAUUUGUAAAUUUCUCCACAAACAUUCAAUAAGUUUAUUCUUGAACAUGAAGAAGAAUGUUUAAAACAUUACAUGCUUCAAUGUAAUACUCAGAAAUUUUAGCAAAAUGUACCUUAAUUCAUUUUGGAAAACCAUCAUAGUUAAACAUUUAAUGCUAAGCUCCUUUGCAAGAAGCAAGAUAAGGAAGUGGACAAUACAAGCAAGUUGGGCAACAUGGGAUCAUGCCCAAUUAGGUACCAUUAUUCAACUGUGCUAGAAUUGCUAAAUGCCAUUGUUCAAUUGCUAGAAUUUAAUUGUUCUUAACUUGCAUUUUAGGGCACAAAUUAAGUUUUUGUACGGAGGGUGGUCAGUCUCCCGGCCAAACACAGUCACGACCAACAAUGCAUAUGCAUUUCCAUUGUACAAUUUCACCUUUCGUUAGAUGGUAUUGGAGCAAUGCCUAGAGAGCAAGAAGAAUUUGAAACCGUGGGAUCAGGGCAACACUUGGUAGGGUGAAUCAGGGCCAUAUGGGACGACUAAGAACCUGGACCUAAACUUGAACGACUGGGAUUGGGUGUUGGCACCCAUGGCAGCCACUGUUCCUACAAAUCUGCCUCCAAAUCCACCACCUCAAAUCCGACUGUGCACCAAAUCUCUUCAACAUCCCAUUGCAUUUUUCUAUAGAAGCAGUUUCAUGCACUGGUGAUGGCUGAAGGGGACAACCUCAAAGAUCAUCUUGCUACUGUGCAAACAAUCCUAGAUGAUCUGAAGGAUGGGGAAGCAAAUAUAGAGGAUGAAGAAGAAGCAGAGUUGGUGCUCGUCACCCUUCCUCCAUCCUUUAUGCUUGCUCCCACAUCCUUAAGAUCAUUUAGGAUUGUUUGCACAGCAGCAAGAUGAUCCUUGAGGUCGUCCUCCAGCCAUCACCAGUGCAUGAAGCUGCUUCCAUAGAAAAAUGUGAUGGGAUGUUGAAGGGAUUUGGUAAGUCUGUUUCAUGGCCUCCCAUGCUUCCUUUGCACCCUUGCACCAAUGCAAUGGAAUUCUUGCCCCUCCAGCACUGCGUGGAAUUUGCCCAAAGCUCUCUGGUCCUUGCGAUACUUGGCAGUUUCAUAGAUGACUACAGUCGUCACACUAUGAUCUACCCUAUGGCUCGCAAAUCCCAAUCGUUACACUACUUCCAGACUGGGAGAAACACAAACUGGGAAAAUGCUCAAGCGAUUGAUAAGUGAUGGUGGAGGCGAAUUCACUUCCAAUGCUUUCAACCAGCUGUGUGAGAAAGGUGGGAUUGUGCGAGAACUUACAACGCGAGAGACUCCACAACAGAAUGGCGUAGCUGAGCACAAGAAUCGCACGCUAGUGGAGAGUGCUCGGGCAAUGCUACUUUCCAGUGGUUUAAGCUUCUGGUUUCACGCUGUCUUGACGGCGAACAACCGGCUCCCCACCUCUGCGCUCGCUGGCAUCACUCCUGAAGACCUACAGUUACGCAUCUGAGAAUAUUCGGGUGUGAGCGCGCAAGAAAUUGGACCCCAAGAGCCAGCAAGAUCCAGAGAAUCCUUGAUCUCGGGCUACAGCCUCGAUCACAAAGCCUAUCGCCUCUGGAAUCCAAUCACGAAGCAGGAGAUCCUGAGCAGAGAUUUGGUUUUCAACGAGAAUUCGUUUCUUCCUUCCACAUCCAGACCUACCUUGACUGAAGAAAAUGACGUUCAAGCGGAACAAGAUCAGUUGAUUGUCUGCACGAUCACUGUGCCGCUUCAAACAGUCCCUAUGCAUCAACCCAUGCCCGCUUCUAUUCCAACACCACCAAUGCUGCUACCUCCUCCAAAUCCUCCACGCAGAUUGAUCCGCAUAAGGCGGGUUAUUGAGCGUCUCAUCGAGACAAUGGUCUCAUCUCGUGCAGCUAAAACUCUGUAUCAAUUAAAAACCUAGGCUCAAGGGAUUCUGACCUUAAACCAAAGGCUGCAUCGGAGCCAUAGAUUAAAUCAUGCACAGCAUAUAGUAUAUGUUAGCAGUUAGAAUUGCUAACCUUUCAAAAGGGGGAAUCCAAAUUGUGGAUCCCUAUUUCCAUUCCAUCAUUUUUUUUAUCAAUACAUAGCAUUCUUUUUCUCGUGCUUCUUCUCAGCCCUUGGAGAUGCAAGCCCUUUUCUCUUUUGUUUUCUUACUAACAAUAGAUUUCCAGCAAAGAGGAGUUUUCACACCUCUUCAUUUGGCAACCACGGCUUUUGAAUUCCCCUUCAAGUUUACAAAUUCUUCCGUUCUUUCUCCAUUCUCUGUGCGUAGAUAGCAAGAAUGAUCAAGCAAUCUACCCAACUCGCCAAAAUUCACUACCCAAUUCACCACCCAAUUCGCCCAAAUUCAACAAGCAAAUGCCACCACCAACAUGGAUCAACGGCGUCCAAGCGGUUGCCACCCAACGCAGUAGAGGCAGACGCUUCCCAAAGGAGAUCUUUGAAGAAUCUGAAAGCUCUCUCUCAAGAUCUCCGAGUCUAAUUGUCAGGAAUCCCCCAAUUCUUGCCAUAUUCCUGACUCUCGCCGGAUUCCUGACCUGCAGACCACAUUCCUAACUCUCGAGACACUUCCCUAUUCCUGACUCUCAAGACAUUCCUAACUCUCGAGACACUUCCCUAUUCCUGACUCUCAAGACACUUCCCGAUUCCUAAGUCUUGAGCCACAUUCCUGAUAUUGAUGUGGCGCCUCCUCGACCUCAGCUAUAUUUAGGCCGUCCUCGAUCCAAGAGUGGUGGAGCUUCAUCAACUUAUAGUAUAUAUAGGUUAGCCUUGUUCCAUUUCUCCACAAUCUGAAUCAACACCAGUCUAAGGCCUCUUCUUUGUUUUCACUAGCUUUUUAUCUUUGUCUUUAGCAUUUUCCAGUCUUGAUCUUGUUGGGGGUCUUGACAGUUUGAUUCAGAUUGUGGUUUUUGCUUUUCUUUUAGCUCGCUUUGAUUCUUUGAUUGCCUUUGUCUUUUUCCCCCUUUCUUUUCUUUCUUCUUGCCAAUGGAGUCUCCAAGCCAUCCUGAUUUCUUUGCCGAAGUCCUUGCAAAAAUCCAGUUUGAGAAUACCGAGCUGAAGGCGACCCUUCUUCGCAUGCAGCAGGAGCUUGCUUCACUUUCGGCUCAAGGAUCUAGCAAAGUUCCUGAACCGAAGGUGAGUUUCCCGGCAAAAUUUUCAGGCAAGCGUUCGGAGCUUCGUGGAUUUUUGAACCAAAUGGAGCUGAUCUUUGCACUUCAACAUCAGCGGUACCCCACUCCCGAGUCUCAAAUCGGCGCGAUUGGGACGUUGCUCGAGGGUGCAGCUUUGUCAUGGUUUUCUCCUCUUCUGGAGAAGAGCAUGAAAGGGGUCGUGGUUCCGGAGCUGAUGGAUCUUCAAUUGUUCAAAGAGAAGCUUGAAGCAUGUUUUGGCGAGACGGAUCGGGUUCGGGCUGCUACCACAAAGAUGAGACGUCUCUCUCAGGGGUCUCGUCCUGCCUCGAUCUACGCUGCAGAGUUCCAACUCCUUGCCUUGGACACUUAGUGGGAUGAGCGAGCCUUGAUUGACCAAUUUCGUUUCGGCCUCAACAACGGUGUCAAGGAUUUGUUGCUCACCAUGGAGGAUCCCAAGGACCUGUCGGACGCCAUCAACAAAGCUGUUCGAUGUGACAAUCAUCUCUUUGAACGUCGUUAGGAAAGUCGCCGCGCCGCUGUUUUUCCGUCCCAGACUCAGGAAUCCCAGCUUGAGUCUUCGGGGCAUAGUCCUGAGCCUACUGCUUCGGUCCCAAUGGAUAUUUCUGGUACUCCCCGACUCAUUAGAGGGAAGUUGAGUCCUGCUGAGAAGCAACGUCGAAUAUCUCAUAAUCUUUGCCUCUACUGUGCUGAUCCUAAUCACAAAGCAGCUGUGUGUCCCAAGAAGCCUCCCCGAUUGCUCGAGUUCACUUUGCCUCAAAGUCCACCUCUGUUGCAGUCGGGAAACGACCCUGUCCAAACAAAGUAGGAGCUGUCUGUUUGGACUCCCUGAAUAAAAAUCACUUUUCUUCCUUAUCAAGCUCCUCACCACCUUUCAUCAAAGCCACCACCAAUUCCCGCAACUUCCGCGUCCCAUGUCUCCUUUCUUUCACCGGACAAUUAGGACUCAAGGCUUUGGCGCUACUGGACUCGGGUGCAACUUCCUGCUUCAUGGACACGGACUUUGCUGCCCGACAUCACGUUCCUCUUUCUCCUACCAUACGGGAUCUGAGGGUUGAAGGCAUCGGCAGGCAUUUUGUGUCUCCAUCUUCUGGACUUAGGGAAACGUUGCCCGUUCGAGUACACAUUGGGUCCACUGUCACCGAUAUCGCCUUCAACAUCAUCAACAGCAAGUCCUCCUCUAUGGUGCUCGGUCUUCCUUGGUUCCAACUACAUCAGCCUCAGAUUUGUUGGAAGGACUUACAGCUCAUCUCUCCCACAUCACCAUCUCCCACGGCUUCCCCUGCUGUUUAUCGAGUCCGAAUCAGGAAAAGUUCCCUAAACUCAAAUCGGGGUUCUGUUCCUGACUCUACGAAGUUUUCACCCUCUUCUUUUCCCUCUCUUCCAUCUUACACUGGACAGUAUCCUCGUCUCAUCAUUCCAUUUAGUCAUACACCUCCUCCUAUCUCCACAAUCACUAUGCAAGAACUCCUUCAUGAAGAACCUAUUUUCCUUUUUGCUUUGCAUGUUUUUCCUGUCAGUCUUCCUGAGAAGUAUCAUGAUUUUGGGGAUGUGUUUGACAAGAAAAAAGCUAGUGUAUUGCCUACUCAUCGGCCUUAUGACUGUCCUAUUGAUUUACAGGAAGGAGUGUCGCCUCCGUGGGGGCCUAUCUACGGGUUAUCCCCGUCCGAGCUUAAGGCCCUCAAAGAGUACGUGGAUGAGAACCUUGCCUCAGGGUUCAUUCAGCAUUCGCAGUCCCCAGCUGGAGCGCCUGUCUUCUUUGUCAAGAAGAAGGAUGGGAGUUUGCGGCUAGUCAUCGAUUACCGAGGUUUGAACAAUGUGACUAUUCAGAACCGUUAUCCGCUGCCCCUGAUCUCAGACCUGUUGGAACGCCUCGACGGUGCCCGCUUCUUCACCAAGAUUGACCUCUGUGGCGCAUACAACCUGAUCCGGAUCCGGCCUGGUGAUGAAUGGAAGAUUGCGUUCCGAACCCGCUAUGGCCACUUCGAGUACACUGUCAUGCCAUUUGGCUUGACAAAUGCUCCAGCAGUUUUCCAACACAUGGCGAACGACGUCUUUCGGGAGUUUCUUGAUCAGAUGGUGAUCGUCUACCUCGAUGACAUCCUCAUCUACUCAAGAACUCAGGAGGAGCACAACGAACAUGUACGCAAGGUGCUAGCAAAGCUACAAGAACACGGCCUAUACGCAAAGCUUGAGAAAUGUUCCUUCGAUCAGCAGUCUGUGGAGUUCCUUGGGUACAUUGUCACUCCUGAGGGUAUCACGAUGGAUCCUGCCAAAGUCAAGACUAUUCUCGAGUGGGAGCCUCCACAAUCAAUGUCGGACGUUCAGGUUUUCCUUGGCUUUGCCAACUUCUACCCCAAAUUCAUUAAUCACUACUCUAACAUUGUCCUUCCUCUCAUGCAUCUCACUCGCAAGGAUGUUCCCUUCUCUUGGUCUACUGCUGCCCAGCACGCCUUCGACACUCUCAAGGCAGCCUUUAGUUCUGCUCCCGUUUUGAUCCAUGCUGAUUCCUCACAACCUUUCUUCAUCGAGGCUGACGCCUCCAACUUUGCCAUCGGUGUUGUGCUGUCUCAACUCGGAGCGGAUCAAGAACUUCAUCCGGUCGCUUUCCAUUCUCGGAAAUUCCAGUCUGCGGAGAUCAAUUACGAAAUCCACGACAAGGAGCUCCUUGCCAUCGUGGAUUCCUUUGGAGAGUGGCGCCGUUUCUUGGAGGGGGCGGGCCAUCAAACAACAGUCUGGACGGAUCACAAAAAUCUCGAGUACUUUGCCACUUCUCGAGUUUUAAGCCGUCGUCAAGCAAGGUGGGCACAAUUCCUGAGUCGGUUUGACUUUGUUAUCAAGUACAGACCUGGAAAGCUUCAAGGUCUUCCUGAUGCUCUUUCAAGGCGCUCCUAUCUCAGUCUCAGGCCUGGUAAUCCUGCCUUCGAUCAACAGGAUCAAAUUAUCCUCGGUCCUAAUCGGCUUCAAGUUAUGGCAAUUUCCCUGGCCCCUCAGGACUCCUCCUUGAUGGAUGCCAUCAGAAACGAUCUUCAAUCCGAUGAUCUCGCCAGCGACAUUUUCCCCCAUCUUCAGGCUGGACACCCUGUGACUCCCGACUGCCGGCGAUUUGACGAGUUCGAGUUCUUAGAUGGCUUAUUAUACCAUGGGGAGCAGCUUUACGUUCCUGAAGGUGAUGCUCGAAGGUUGGUCCUAAUGGCAUGCCACGAUAGCCCGACUGCUGGUCACUUCGGCAUUGCGAAAACCUAUGAGCUAGUUGCACGGGACUUUUGGUGGCCUCACAUGGACGACUACAUCAAAGCUUUUGUUACCUCCUGUGACACUUGCGCCCGGAAUAAAGUACCUCGCCACCUUCCUUCAGAUUUGCUUCGUUCCCUUCCAGUCCCUUCAGGUCCUUGGGAAUCCAUCUCCAUGGAUUUCUUGAGUGAUCUUCCGAGUUCUAGAGGCUUCAACAGCAUUUUAGUCGUGGUGGAUCGCUUCACAAAGAUGGCGCACUUCUUGCCAUGUACCAAGGAGUUUUCGGGCGAGGACAUGGCAAAACUGGUAUUCAGGGAAAUUUUCCGACUUCAUGGGAUUCCUACAGAUGUGGUUUUGGAUCGGGGGCCUCAGUUCAUCUCUCAUUUCUGGCAACGGUUUUUGCAGCUGCUUGGAGUGAAGGCCAACCUCUCUUCGGCGUAUCAUCCUCAAAUUGAUGGGCAGUCCGAGCAAACGAUUCAGACGUUGGAACAAUUCUUGAGGUGCUUUAUCAACUAUCAUCAGGAUAACUGGUUCGAUAUCCUUCCCCUUGCUGAGUUCUCCUAUAACAACUCUAUUCACUCCUCUCUUCGAAUUUCCCCCUUCUUUGCAAACUCUGGCCGAAAUCCCCGAUUCAAUCUCUCACUUCUUUCUCCAUCCGAAUCCUCUCAUUCAAAUCCCCGCUCUAAGGCAUUUGUCUCCAACCUCCAAGAAAUCCACAACUCCAUCUCCUUCCACCUCCAUCGUGCUCAGGAAUCUCACAAAACAUUUGCCAAUGCCCAUCGUCAGGAUUGUCCCCCUUACAAUAUCGGGGAUAAAGUUUGGCUCCUCAGGCAAAAUAUCUCCACCACCAGGCCCUGUCCAAAACUUGAUUUCAAACGCCUCGGUCCUUUCCCUAUCACUGUCAUCAUUAAUCCUGUCACUUAUCGCCUUGCACUUCCCUCCUCAUAUCAAAUUCACCCCGUUUUUCAUUCCUCUCUCCUUGAGCCUUAUAUUCCCAGUCCUAUUCCCAAUCGGGUCAUUCCUCCACCUCCACCAGUGCAGCUCGAGGAUGGGUCUGAGUACGAGGUUCAGGACAUCCUUGAUUCCAAGAUUUCACGGUCUAAACUCUACUAUCUGGUUGACUGGAAGGGUUACGGGCCUGAAGAACGCACUUGGGAACCUGCGGACAACCUGAUUCAUUCUCCUGACCUUGUUCAGGACUUCCACCGCCGCUAUCCUAGUCGUCCCAGUCCUCAUUCUUUUUCUCCAUCUCCCAUCCCUCACCGCUCAUCUCAUCCUCCUCGUCGUUCUCAUUCACAUUCUCGUUCCACUCGUUCUUGAGGAGGGGGUGCUGUCAGGAAUCCCCCAAUUCUUGCCAUAUUCCUGACUCUCGCUGGAUUCUUGACCUGCAGACCACAUUCCUGACUCUCAAGACACUUCCUUAUUCCUGACUCUCAAGACAUUCCUAACUCUCGAGACACUUCCCUAUUCCUGACUCUCAAGACACUUCCCGAUUCCUAAGUCUUGAGCCACAUUCCUGAUAUUGAUGUGGCGCCUCCUCGACCUCAGCUAUAUUUAAGCCGUCCUUGAUCCAAGAGUGGUGGAGCUUCAUCAACCUAUAGUAUAUAUAGGUUAGCCUUGUUCCAUUUCUCCACAAUCUGAAUCAACACCAGUCUAAGGCCUCUUCUUUGUUUUCACUAGCUUUUUCUCUUUGUCUUUAGCAUUUUCCAGUCUUGAUCUUGUUGGGGGUCUUGACACCAAUCACCAACAAAGACCACCAACAGCCCUCUUUGACAAGAAACUCCAAUUUACCAGCACCUUCAUCAGCACAUGCCUUUAGCAGCUUCAUUGGCGAACUCCAUCUUCGAGCACAAGACCACCCACUCCAAGCUCGAGACCUCAACCAGCGCACUUGACACAAACCGACACCACUGCCGAAACGAACCCAUCUUUCGUGCAGUCGUCAAUCCUAGUGCUCCAACACAAUUCCAAUUCCUGCGCCCACUCCAAAUACCAAAGCACAUCCUCAAAACCUACACCAAUGAAGAACCCAUCACUCUGUUACCCGGUAUUGGAGAACUCGUCGAGGGACAACUUGACAACGCACCACCAAUUUUUCAACAACCCCUCUGACAGAGUCAGCAGCUCAGCACUGAAACAACAGUCCGAACUUGGUUCGAAAUCAACAUGUUCUCUGCAACAACUCUCACCAAUCACGCCAUCACCCAAUCCAGACUCAAAUAACUAGAUGACAUUAUCGAAGAAAUCAUUCCAAACAAACAAGAAUAUCCAAAACUCUUCAUCGAACUCCAUCUCAGCACCAGCAAGUGGAAGACCAGUCUGCAUAUGGCACCAGCACACUCGACCAACACAACUCGGCUGAACACAACCCAACCCAACACACACUACCGUCGAUAUUUGCACUGAAAAGAAAGAACAAGCUCACAACGACUUUAUCGACAAUUGGCCCACCAACAGUCUUCCCGAAGUUCUGCCCGAACUGCAUGAUUGACUGCAGACACAAAUCUGACACCGACAACCAGUAGAAGAAUGCAUAUAUCCAAAACCACGAAGAACAUCCAGCAAGUUGGAAGAAGACCAACAAUAGCUUAUCUAACGUUUAGAUAGAGAUUUGAAGAAUUUAGAAACAAAGAGAAGUUAAAUCAAGUUGUUAGACCCUCCAAGAGAGAGAAUUACAUCCAACACAAAUUAUUACUGCGACCUAACUCCGACAAAUUAGUAUCGGACAUCUGCGAAGAAUACAACAACUACACAACACCACCGGACACACCACCGGCAGGACCCUCGACGACACCCACUGAAGUGCCCAAGCCUGAAUCAACACCCUCGACAGCACCCACCAAAGUGCCCGAGCCUGAAUCAACACCCUCGAUAGCACCCACUGAAGUGCCCGAGCCCGACCGAACAUUUGAGCAGUCAACACAGACUACGCCUAAGCAACAAAACAUUUUUCAAGCAGCAUACAACCACUUCAAAGGUACAUUCACCAACCCCAUCUACAGUGACGACGAACGAUGAAGUUUCCCACCCAGCUUCAGACCAGCACUAUUUUCACCAUACCGACCGAUCUUCACAACACCAAUAUAUUGUGAGUGAGCUAGAGACUCUCCAACCCAGCACGUCUCUUGCACCUCGCUGUGACCUCAGGCUGUGCUUAGUUGGAGAGGCAUACGAUCAAUGCACCCUUCUAUUCCUUAGGGAAGUCUGAUCACACCAUAUAUUUUACACAUGAUUUUAAGAGCGUUCAAAAUGAUUGCUAGGCAGUUCUGAAGUUUAGUGUGGUUAUUCAGGGCAGCAGUGUGCCUCCUAGUUUUUUACUCCCAUUGGAAUUUUCAGGCAGCCAAAGAGCGAGGAACUCGGAGAUGGUGAAGAUGCGCCAGCGUUGUCAGAUUGAAAAGGAGAAUGAGCUUUGGCGGAGACUGAGGGAAGUGCCCAAGUGGCCAAUAGUCAUCCAAUCUAUUUAGUCUUUCAUUCUGAUGGACUCACCGACAAAUCUCCCAAAUUUUAGGGCAACAAUCCUAAAACUAAAACAAACUCUUAAAAGUAGAAAAUACAAGAUAUUAGCCACACAUAAACAGGGCAUCAAACCGAGAUUGAUUUGCUUUUGCUAAUCGAAUCAGCUUUGCAAUCCAGUCUGUGGCCAGAAUCUCUUCCACCUUCAAGCUUGCCAAUGGGAAUGGAACAAUCUCUUUUGCUUUGAGACAUGCCUCGUACAAGCUUGGAUCGCGGGGAGCCUCAUACGCUGCUAAAAUCUCUGCAAGCCCAUCAGCUGGAGUCAAGAAACCAUCAUGAUCUGUGUCGACUGAGUUGAACCUCAUGAAGAUUUCAGUCUGAUUGUUAGGCUCUCGAUGCGUACAGAAGUUGUUAUGGUGGUAGUAAACAAAAGCUUGGCUAAACUCACUGAAGUCGAUCCUCCCAUCUUUGUUUGCAUCUUGCACGUUGUACAACCACAUUUGCAAUUUGCUGCCACUUUUGUCCUUGAUCCUCUCUGGGCUCAGGCAGUUCUUGAACUCCACCCAAUUAAGGACCCCAUCACCGUUUUCAUCACAAGCAUCAUAAUAGGAUCGAUGAUAGUGUUCUGACAAUAGGAAAAACUGAAAGCCAAAGCUUUUGUAUGGGAUUGCCCUGGGUAGCAUCAUCAUCUUCCAAUCCAGAUAAUCCAUGGCAUACUCGUACCAACCUAAAACACCAUCCUUAUUUCUGUCUUUACGUUGCCAGGUAAACUGGUCACGGAUGUCAUGCUGCUUAUCAAACCAAGCAUCAGCCUCUUCCCUGGUAAUAUUACCAUCUCUGGGAUUUACAUCCAUCUCAUCAAGGUAUUCUCGAGCAGUCAUCUUUUCGAGCUCAGUUGGUGGAACAUGUAAAUUAUAAUAACAAUGAUUUUCUCUUUCUGCAAGAUUUGUUUUUAAUACAUGCAAUUAAGAAUUAAAGUUGCCAACAACAUACCUGAUCUUGUUAUUUUACUUUGUGCGCCUUGAGUAACCAUGGCCAACACAAACAUCACCACAAUCAAAUCCAUACUAGCUUAGGGUUACUCCAAAAGCAUGGUAUAUAUAUGCCUUGGUAAAACCAUAUAUUAAGCAAAUAUCUUUUGCCUUUGUCAUUCCUCGGGAGCAGGAUGCUCUUGUCCAAGGCAAGGAUUUCUCACUGUGGAAGAAACUUAUUGAGGCAUGUCUGUGGAGUGCAUUUGCACCUACCUUAGCCAUGGGAUCUUACUCAAGUCAGACAUGGAGCAAGGAGCAAGGAGCUGACCAUCUCUGGAAAUGGCUGAAGGACAUGUAUAUGGCAAAACGUCUGAUUUGGAAGUGAUGAGGCUUCAUUCAGUCUUGGACGCUUUCAUCUUUGAAGAUGGUGGGGAUAUACAACAGCGGGAUUCUUUGAGUAGGUUUUCUCAAGGCAAGGAACACAAGGUUCUAACUAGAGCUGGACCUCCUCGUUUGACGAGGCAGCAAUGAAGCUCAUGAACACUUCUCAGCUGCAUAAGGAAUGCUCAAACUUAUGAGGUACACCAUGCCAUGUUUGCAAAAAGGUUAAAGAUGAGCUCUACCCGUGGAGGCUGUGGGAGGCCAGACAUGACUGGAGGCUGUCAUGGGUGAGGAGGGCGUACCUCCUAUAGUGGUAGAUCUACCACACAGCAACAUGGAGGACGUCCUGACAGGACGUUUUGCAGUGGUCAAGAUGCUAAUCGUGAACCGAUGCGUGUGGUCGAGAAUCAUAUUUGGCUGAACCGGUUCUCAUGCGAACCACCUUUUGCCAAACCAGUUUGGCCAGGUCCGGGGUGAUGUUGCACGAAAUGGCCAAGAUGGUGUGGUUGUUUUUUGUAAAUUGGAUUCUUUGGUCGGCACUGAAGUUUUUGAAUUGGUUUUAAGCUAGAUUCUAGUUUUAAGGUUUUGCAAAAGGAGGGGCGCGGCAGGAAAAUCUGGUUUUGGAACCUAUGGGUAAUUCUUUCGGAUAAUCAAUCUGCUAUUGCUCUUUCAGAAAUUAGAGAUAUUACAAAGCAUAUAUGGGAGGAUCAGAUUGCUGAUUUAUUCACAACGCUUGGAGUGUGAACCGUACCUUAUGCUUGGUUCUAGGGAACUGGCAUGCUUUUUAUAUAUCCUUCAACGGGAAGAACUUUAAACCACCAACCUACAGAAAAUCGAAUUAUGUGGUUUUUGACUCUGGUACGAAAAGUUCAAUCAGCUUUAACAGCCAAUCAUCCAAGAAUCAAUUACUUUGAGACGGAGUUGUGCUUCACGGCUUCAAACAACUUGCGGUCCAACUGCCAUGGCCUCACAGGAAGCGUCUUACUGGCGUGUAGCAAUGGAAGCCGAGAUUUCUUCACAGCACAAGAACGAGAGACAUGUUCUUGUUUCUACUGUGCCUUCCAAUAGCCAGGCGCGAUUUGUGGCGAAAGGAUGCUCGCAAGUUCCUGGACUUGACUACAACGACACCUUCGCUUCAAUGGUUAAGCAUUCUACUCUUCGUUCCUUGAUUAAUUUUGCUGCGGUGGGAGACUUUGAUCUGGAACAGAUGUGACCACAGCGUUUCUUUAUGGCGAGCUUGAAGAAGAAAUCUAUAUGGCACAGCCAGAAGGAUUUCUAGCCGCUGGAAAAGAGGAUCAUCUCUGGCUUCUCAAGAAAGCUGUCUACGGCUUGAAACAAGCACCGGUACAAACGCUUUGAUGAUUUUAUACUAAGUGUGGCCUUUCCCGUAGCGAGGCAGGCCCGAAUCUUUAUAUUUGGGUGGACGGUGAAUCAUUUGUGAUCAUCGCUCUUUAUGUUGAUGAUACUCUUGUCACCCAUAAUCAUCGCUUACUGUUUCUCCAGGAUAAGCGAGAUCUUUGCAGCCAAUUCGAGAUGAAAACUCUUGGCUAGGCUUCCUACUUUCUUGGCAUGGAACUUGUGCGUGAUUGCUCUCAACGCAUCACCAAGCCAAGUAUAUAGAAGAGAUGCUGGCCAGGUUUUCUAUGACGAGCUCUAAUCCAGUGGCGACACCAAUGGAACCAGGCUGCCAACUUUCCCGAGCCAUGUCGCCUGAGACAGAGGACGACAAGAGAGCCAUGGACUCCAUCCCUUACAGACAAGCUGUUGGCAGCCUCAUGUAUCCAGCUGUUUGUAGGCACCCAGAUAUUUCUUUUGCCGUGAGCAAAGUUAGCCAAUUCCUGGCUAAUUCUGGAUCUCAACAUUGGGCAGCGGUAAAACGCAUCGUCAGGUACCUUUGUGGUACUACUUACCUUGGAUUGUGCUACCAGGGAAAAGAGCUUACCCUCACGGUGCUGAUUUUGGGGGAGACUGUGACACACGCAAGUCCACCUCUGGCUAUGGCAGUCUCAUGGUGCAGCAGGAAGCAAAGUACAGUGGCAACUUCUAUCACUGAAGCAGAAUAUUUGGCAGCCUCACAAGCUACCAAAGAAGGUGUGUGGCUACGCUCACUACUUUCUAACCUUGGUGUGAGUGUGCUCUCAACACUCCCACUGGCACUGUGGCCAUCACGAGUGAUGCUCAUCAGUGGAGAAAGUCCCAGCCCUUCGCGAUGGACUUGAAAUCGAUAUCGGGGUAGUGCUUUUGUGAAGAUAUCUGCAACCUGAGUGGUUGUGUCGCAGUAGAUCAGCUCAAUUGUGCCAUCUUCCACUUUCUCACGAACAAAAUGAUGAUGAAUCCCAAAGUGUUUGGUGCGUGAAUGAAAGCGAGGAUUGGCCGCUAACGCAAUGCAGCUUUGAUUGUCGCAGAAGAGGCGAGUGGGAGUCUUCACACUCACACCAAGGUUAGAAAGUAGUGAGCGUAACCACACACCUUCUUUGGUAGCUUGUGAGGCUGCCAAAUAUUCUGCUUCAGUACUAGAGGUUGCCACGGUACUUUGCUUCCUGCUGCACCACGAGACUGUCGCACUACCCAGGGAAAACGAAUAGCCAGAGGUGGACUUGCGUGUGUCACAGUCUCCCCCAAAAUCAGCAUCACAGUACCCCGUGAGGGUAAGCGCUUUUCCCUGGUAGCACAAUCCAAGGUAAGUAGUACCUCGAAGGUACCUGAAGAUGCGUUUCACCGCUGCCCAAUGUUGAGAUCCAGGAUUAGCCAGGAAUUGGCUAACUUUGCUCACGGCAAAAGAAAUAUCUGGGUGUGUACAAACAGCUGGAUACAUGAGACUGCCAACAGCUUGUCUGUAAGGGAUGGAGUCCAUGGCUCUCUUGUCGUCCUCUGUCUCAGGAGACAUGGCUUGUGAAAGCUGGCAGCCUAGUUCCAUUGGUGUCGCCACUGGAUUAGAGCUCGUCAUAGAAAACCUGGCCAGCAUAUCUUCUAUAUACUUGGCUUGGUGAAGAUAGAUAGUGCGUUGAGAGCGAUCAUGCACAAGUUCCAUGCCAAGAAAGUAGGAAGCCGAGCCAAGAGUUUU